rnacentral:lncRNA from 1 species
CUUUUUUUUGUAGUGCACCUUACCCCACUGGGCGCGCCCCCUACCUUGUGGGACCUCGUGUGCUCUCCGGACUCCGUUUUCUUGCACGAUACUUCUUUAAGUCGGUAAAAAAUCAUUAUAUAAUCUCCCAAAGGUUUUGACCACCAUAUCACGCAAAAAUCUUCUGUCUUUGUUUCGAGUUGUUUUUCUGAUAGACCUACAGCAUCAUGACAUCACCCUCCUCCAACAAUGAAGACAAGGAUGCUUGGCUAUUGAAGAUAAAGCUAAAGAGAGAAGAACCUGGGGAGAUCAACAAGGAUGAAGGGAUCAAGAAGGCCAUGGAGGAUCAAGCUCUAGCGGCAGAAGAAGAAAACAUCCCUCAACCUCUUCCUAACCUCUUUACCCUGACUGAGAUUGAAGCUUUCAAGAUGAUUGAGUUAGCUCGCAUACAAAACAAGUAUCUCACACAGGAAAAUAUUUUGUUGAAGGAUCAUAUCAUCGCACUUAAGGGCAUUAUCCGCAAGUUGGAAGAACUUCUACAUUCGAUGUGAGACUAUCCAUCAUCACCACCACCUUCUUCACCACCUCCGAGGACAUAAUCACAUGGGUAUGGGCACUCCCCUUGGCAACUGCCAAGCUUGGGGGAGGUGCCCUGGUAUCGUAUCACCAUCACACUCCUAUCUUUACCAUUUUUCUUAGUUUGAUCCUUUUGGUAAUAUCUUGAUCUAGUAGAGUAAAGUCUUGGUAUGAAUUAGUUUUGAGUUUUGCUUUGUGAUCCCUCUAUGUAAUCUAGUCCGGGAGCUAUAUAUAAUAAAGAUUAGUGUUGAGUCAAGGGCUUUGCUGUCUUGCUAUGAUCUUGAGAAAAUAGAAAGAAUAAAAAGAAUAAAAGAGCUCAUAUUGAUCUUAUGGAUAGUAAUGACUUCACAUAUAAAGAGUAUGAUGAUUAAAAGUUGUUGAGAGUUGGUAAACACAGUUUUGGUCAUCGUUGCAAUUAAUAGGAAGUAAUAAAGAAAGAGUGGUUCUUGGACAUCUUUCAUGAUUGUGAGCACUCAUUAAAGUAUGACAUGCUAAAGAGUUGAUGUUGGACAAGGAAGACAAUGUAAUGGGUUAUGUUUUCUCACAUUUCAGUUAAAUUAUAUUGUCAUGGAUCGUCCAACAUGUUGAGCUUGCCUUUCUCCCUCAUGCUAGCCAAAUUCCUUGCACCAGGUAGAGAUACUACUUGUGCUUCCAAAUAUCCUUAAACCCAGUUUUGCCAUGAGAGUCCACCAUACCUACCUAUGGAUUGAGUAAGAUCCUUCAAGUAAGCUGCCAUGUUGUAUGCAAUAAAAAUUGCUCUCUAAAUAUGUAUGACUUAUUAGUGCAGAGAAAAUAAGCUUUAUACGAUCGUGUGAUAUGGAAGUAAUAAAAGCAACGGGCUGCAUAAUAAAGGUUCAUAUCACAAGUGGCAAUAUAAAGUGAUGUUCUUUUGCAUUAGGAUUUUGUGCAUCCAACCAUAAAAGCACAUGACAACCUCUACUUCCCUCUGUGAAGGGCCUAUCUUUUACUUUAUGUCUUUUACAUUAUGCAAGAGUCAAGGUGAUCUUCACCUUUCCCUUUUUAUUUUAUCCUUUGGCAAGCACCUCGUGUUGGAAAUAUCCUGACAUAUAUAUCCAAUUGGAUGUAAGUUAGCAUGAACUAUUAUUGUUGACAUUACCCUUGAGGUAAAACAUUGGGAGGCAACCCUAUAAGCCCCUAUCUUUCUUUGUGUCUGAUUAAAACUCCAUAGCCAUAAGUAUUGCAUGAGUGUUAGCAAUUGUGGAAGACUAAAUGAUAGUUGAAUAUGUGGACUUGCUGAAAAGCUCUAUUAUUGACUCUUUCCUAUGUUAUGAUAAAUUGCAAUUGCUUCAAUGACUGAGAUUAUAGUUUGUUAGUUCUCAAUGAAGUUUUUGAUUCAUACUUGACAUUGUGGAUAGAUUGUUACUUGAGCAUAAGAAAUCAUAUGACAAAUUAUAUGUUGUUGUUAUAAGAAUGAUCAUGAUGCCCUCAUGUCCGUAUUUUAUUUUUAUCGACACCUCUAUCUCUAAACAUGUGGACAUAUUUUUCGAUAUCGGCUUCCGCUUGAUGACAAGCGAGGUCUAAGCUUGGGGGAGUUGAUACGUCCAUUUUGCAUCAUGAUUUUAUAUCGAUAUUUAUUGCAUUAUGGGCUGUUACUACACAUUAUGUCACAAUACUUAUGGCUAUUCUCUCUUAUUUUACAAGGUUUACAUGAGGAGAAUGCUGGCAGCUGGGAUUCUGGGCUGGAAAAGGAGCAAAUAUUGGAGACCUAUUCUGCACAGCUUCAAAAGUCCUGAAACUCCACGAAAGUCAUUUUUGGAAUUAAUGAUAAUUAUUGAGCAGAAGAAGUACUAGAGGGGACCACACCCUGGCCAUAAGGGUGGGGGCGCGCCCACCCUUACAGGGCGCGCCCCCCUGCCUCAUGGGCCACCUGGCAACCCUCCGGUGCCCAUCUUCUGCUAUAUAAAGCCUUUUACCCUAGAAAAAAUCAUAAGCAAGCUUACGGGACGAAACUCCGCCGCCACGAGGUGGAACCAAUCUAGGGCUCCGGCGGAGCUGUUCUGCCGAGGAAACUUCCCUCCGGGAGGGGGAAAUCAUCACCAUCAUCAUCACCAACGAUCCUCUCAUCGGGAGGGGGUCAAUAUCCAUCAACAUCUUCACCAGCACCAUCUCCUCUCAAACCCUAGUUCAUCUCUUGUAUCCUAUCUUUGUACCAAAACCUCAGAUUGGUACCAGUGGGUUGCUAAUAGUAUUGAUUACUCCUUGUAGUUGAUGCUAGUUAGUUUAUCCGGUGGAAGAUCAUAUGUUCAGAUCCUUAAUGCAUAUUAAUACCCCUCUGAUUAUGAACAUGAAUAUGCUUUGUGAGUAGUUACGUUUGUUCCUGAGGACAUGGGUGAAGUCUUGCUAUUAGUAGUCAUGUGAAUUUGGUAUCCGUUCGAUAGUUUGAUAAGAUGUAUGUUGUCUUUCUUCUAGUGGUGUUAUGUGAACAUCGACUACAUGACACUUGACCAUUAUUUGGGCCUAGAGGAAGGCAUUGGGAAGUAAUAAGUAGAUGAUGGGUUGCUAGAGUGACAGAAGCUUAAACAAUAGUUUAUAAGUUGUUGCGUAAGGGGCUGAUUUGGAUCCAUAUGUUUCAUGCUAUGGUUAGGUUUACCUUAAUACUUCUUUUGUAGUUGUGAAUGCUUGCAAUAGGAGUUAAUCAUAGGUGGGAUGCUUGUCCAAGAAAGGGCAGUACCCAAGCACCGGUCCACCCACAUAUCAAAUUAUCAAAGUAACAAACGUGAAUCAUAUGAACAUGAUGAAAACUAGCUUGACGAUAAUUCCCAUGUGUCCUCGGGAGCGCUUUUCUCUAUAUAAGAACUUGUCCAGGCUUGUCCUUUGCUACAAAAAGGAUUGGGCCACCUUGCUGCACCUUAUUUACUUUCAUUGCUUGUUACCCAUUACAAAUUAUCUUAUCACAAAACUAUCUUUUAUCGACAACUUCAGUGCUUGCAGAGAAUACCUUACUGAAAACCGCUUGUCAUUUCCUUCUGCUCCUCAUUGGGUUCGACACUAUUACUUAUCGAAAGGACUAUGAUAGAUCCCCUACACUUGUGGGUCAUCAAUACCACACCUGAGAAAUUAUAUUUCUGCAACAAAGUGUUUAGUAACAUAGUAGUUUGAUGGUUUUGGUAGUAGUGGUAGCAACAGCAAUUAGCAAUAGUAACAGGAACAACAACAGUAGCAGUUUCUGAUGAUUGUAAUAGCAGCAACAAUGGUAACUUAGCAAAGAUCAAUAUAAGAAAAGCGUAGGCAUUGGAUCAACGAUGGAUGUUUGUGUCGAAUGAUAUUCAUCAUAUAAUAGGCACAACCUAAAGCGAUACAUAAUAGCACCAAUUCAUCAAUGUAAUAUAGGCAUGUAUUUUGUAUAUAGUCAUACGUGCUUAUAAUAAGAAAUUGCAUGACAUCUUUUGUCCUACCCUCCCAUGGCAACGGGGUCCAUAAGGAAAUCUAAGGGAUAUUAAGGCCUCCUUUUAAUAGAGAACCUGAACAAAGCAUCAGCACUUAGUAAUCACCGGAAAUCACCUCAUACUAAGGUAAUCACUGGAAAUAAUCCCAAUUAUAGUCACCUUGGGGCAUGUGAAUCAUAACACGUAAUAGGUGCGUACAACUUGCGAGAUAGGAUCGAGAACUCAAAUAUAUUUAUGAUAACAUAGAGGGUUCAGAUUGGCACUCAGGCCCUAGUGACAAGCAUUAUGCGUAGUAAAGUCAUAAUAACAUCAAUCUCAGAACAUAGUGGACACUACGGCCAAGCCCUAAAUUUUUUGACUCGAUUACAUGACAAAUCUCAUCCAACUCCAUCACCGUCCAGCAAGCCUACGAAUUAAUUACUCACUCCCAACGGUGAACAUCAUGGUGUUGUUGAUGGAGGAUAGUUGAUGAUGACGAUGUCAUCCAACCCCCCACUCUGGAGCCCCGAACGGGCUCCAGAUUAGCCCUCCUGAUGAAGAAUAGGAGGUGGUGGCAGCUCCGUAUCAUAAAACAUGAUGAAACUUUCUCUCUAUUUUUAUCUCCAUGAAACGGUAUUUAUGGAGCCGGAAAUAGGGCAACCGGGGGCUUGAGGGGCACACAAGCUCAUAGGGCGUGCCCUGGGGGCGCCCCCUGAGUUUGUGGCUCCUGGGUGGCCCCCCUCCAGUUGGUCCCUUCGCCAAUAUUUUUAUAUAUUCUGGAAAUAUUCUCCAUAAAUUUUCAACUCAAUCCGAGAACUUCUAUUUGUGCACAAAAAUAACACCAUGGCAAUUAUGCUGAAAACAACAUCAGUCCAAGUUAGUUACAUUCAAAUAUUUCAAAUUAAAGUCCAAAAUAAGAGCAUAAGUGUUUGGAAAAGUAGAUACGUUUGAGACGUAUCACUCCCUCCCUCAGUUGCGUGUUUAGGAUGGACUUGCAACCAGGAAAAAUGGAUAAGGUCCAAUGUGUGUUAAGAAUGGACUUGCAACUAGACCCAACCCAUUUUGUCUCUGAUGCAUGUCAAGGUUUGCGUGCACGACAAACAACUCUACAUGAGCGGUUAGGUUAGGACAACAAAAAACUUGAAGCAUAUAUGGAUGGUCAGUAAAAUUGGAUGUGACUUAACUGAUUCUCAUCUAUAUAAGAAUUAGCAUAUCCAUUUCUUUUAAGUUCAUGAAUUUAUAACACACAAAUUUAGUAAACAAUAAUGACUUUGGAAAAGAUAGUAACUUAAAAAGGUUUUAAAAUUUUAAAAAAUUGAGGAAUUCUAAAAAGUAUUUUUACACUUCAAAAAGAGUUUAUGUACCAAAAAUAUCCUGAACUAAAAAUGGGGAAUAAAUAAAAGAAGAGAAGAAAAUCAAAAAUAAAAUAAAAGUUAAAUGCUAGAAAAAUUCAGCACACAAAACUUCCUCGAAAAAAGAUAGCUCAAAACCAUGGCGUGAUCACAAUCACAUAAACAUGAAACGGCAAAAACAUAGAAAGGAAUAAACAAAUAGAAUUCCUUUCUUAGACAUUAACAAAUAGAACUGUAGACAUGGAGACAAACCCAUGUAGUAGAAUGCACUCUUAGUUGGUUCUUCCAGUCUUGACUUGAAAGAAAACCCACGAAAACCAUAUAUGGAUAAAACCAUAAAAUCACAAAUUAAGGAGUACUUUUUGAAAAGAUCACUUCCCUCCCAGGUUGCUACAUGUGCACCACUUGUCGCAACCAGGGAGGUUUUCCUUUUUUCCUUAGAUCCAUCUAUUCAAAAAAAAUUAUCUCUCAAAUAGUGCAUCUCGCGGAAGAAAAUCCCUGACUCCACGAGAAGUAAAUUUGUGCCUCUCGUGGAAGAAGAAAAAUCACAUUUUCCCUUUCCCGAGUGGCACUAAUACGUCUCUGUCAUAUCUAUAAUUUUGUAUUGUUUCAUGUCGAUAUUCUACAACUUUCACAUACUUUUGGCAACAUUUUCUAUUAUUUUGGGACUAACAUAUUGAUCCAGUGCCCAGUGAAAGUUCCUUUUUUUGCAUGUUUUUUGUUUCGUGGAAAAUCCAUAUCAAACUAAGUCCAAAUGCAACAAAAUUUUACAGAGAUUUUUUUGGAAUAUAUGUGAUUUUCGAGAGGAAGAAUCAACGCAAACGGAGGCCCAUGACCUUCACAAGGCAUUAGGGCGCAUGGGGUUGCCUUGUGGGCACCUCGUAAGUUGGUUGGAGUCCUUCUUUGGCUGCAAGAAAGAUUAUAUACUAGUGUGAGUUUUUCAUUAUAGAACUUGGCUUGUAUAUUCUGAUGACAGGCUUCCUCAAAUGCUCGACAUCUUCAUGAGAAAGCAAAUUGGAUGCACACCCACUUAGUUUCAGUAUUGAGCUUUCAUACACUUAUAGAUCUAGUGCAUAUGUUGCAUGCAAUCCCUACUUCUUGCAUCGAUAUCGUUUGAUAGGACUCUCCGUUACCUAUUGAUCCAUCGAGUUGAUGCGAGACUUUCUUCAUUUUUGACUUUCCUUAUGUAUCUCUACCACCACAUUCUAUUCCACCUGUAGUGCUAUGUCCAUGGCUGACGCUCAUGUAUUGAGUGGAGUUGAAAAUCCUGAAGCGUGCUAAAAAGUAUGAUCCGAUUGAUUGGUUUGACACCGGAGGGCUCAUGACUUAUCUUAAUGCGCUGAAGGCAGAGUCAUGCCAUGCUUACAUAAUUCAGUGAGUAGGGAUAACAUUUGCUGAGCAUCAUAUAUUUUGAAAAAGUAAUGAUUAUGCUCUUGUAUUCAUGGAUAUUAUUGUGUUGAUAUCAAUUACUUCAUCAUUUCUCAAUAUUUAUACCAUAAAAGAUUACAUCAUAGACAUGCUAGGUAGCAUUCAACAUCAAAAAAUUUGUUGUUAUCAUUUACCUACUCGAGGAUGGGCAGGAAUUAAGCUUGAGGAUGCUAAUACGUCUCCAACGUAUCUAUAUUUUUUUAUUGUUUCAUGCUAUUACAUUAUCAAUCUUAGAUACUUUAUAUACAAUUUUAUAUUAUUUUUAGGAACUAAACUAUUAGCUCAGUCCCCAGUGUCAAUUCCUGUUUUUUGCAUGCUUUUGUUUUAUAAUAAAUAAAUACAAAAUGAAGUAUGAACAUGAUGAAACUUUAAGGUGAUUUUUUCUGGACCAGAAGAGACCCGGAAGCUUCGAGAGGAUGCCAGAAGAUGUACGAGAGGGCCACAAGCACACAUGGCGCGCCACCAAGGGCGUCACCUGAGCUUGUGGGCUCCACGUAACUUCGUUUGACCUAAUUCCACUUAUAUAAAUUCCCAUAAAUCCCAAAACCAACAAAGAGCCACCCGAAACAUUUUUUCCACUCCUGCAAGCUUCUAUUCUUCCAUGAUCCCAUCUGGAGGCCUUUUCCGAUUCUCUACCGGAGGGGGAAUCCAUCAUGGAGGGCUCCUACAUCAACCUUGCUACUCCUUUGAUGAUGUGUGAGUAGUUCACCACAGACUUAUGGGUCCAUAGUGAUUAGCUAGAUGACUUCUUCUCUCUCAUUGAUCUUCAAUACAAUGUUCUCCUCAGAGUUCUAUCCGAUGUAAUCUUCUUUUGCGGUGUGUUUGUUGGGAUACGAUGAAUUGUGGGUAUAUGAUAGGAAUAUUCAUUGAAAGUAAUUGAGUCUUUGCCGAACUUUAUUAUGCAUGAUUAUUAUAGCUUUGUAUUUCUCUUCGUUCUAUUCGUUUGGUUUGGCCAACUAGAUUGAUUUAUUUUCAGUGAGAGAGAUGUUUUCUAGUGGGUUCAAUCUUGCGGUGUCCUCACCUAGUAACAGCAGGGGUAGCGAGGCAUGUAUUGUAUUGUUGCUACUAAGGGUAAAACAACGGGGUUCAAUCAUAUUGCUUACUUUUAUUCUAUCUACAUUAUGUCAUAUAUCUUCUUAAAGUGUUAUUUUGUUUGUCAUGAACUUAAUACCCUAGGUGCAGGCAGGAGUCGGUCGAUUGUGAAGGAAAUAUGCCCUAGAGGCAAUAAUAAAGUUGUAACUGGAAAUAUACCCUCAAUGCUCGUAGUAGUGCCUGGGUAUUUGAUACCGGUUCGGUUACUCAUAUUUGUAACUCGAAACAGGGACUACGGAUUAAACGAAGAUUGGCUAAGGACAAGGUGACAAUGCGCGUCAGGAAUGGUUCCAAGGUCGAUGUGAUCGCCGUCGGCACGCUACCUCUACAUCUACCUUCGGGAUUAGUUUUAGACCUAAAUAAAUGUUAUUUGGUGUGAGCAUUGAGCAUGAACACUAUAUCUGGAUCUUGUUUAGUGCGAGACGGUUAUUCAUUUAAACAAGAAUAAUGGUUGUUCUAUUUAUAUGAGUAAUAUCUUUUAUGGUCAUGCACCCUUGAAGAGUGGUCUAUUUCUUUUGAAUCUUGACUGUGGUGAUACACAUAUUAAUAAUAUUGAUGCCAAAAGAUGCAAAGUUGAUAAUGAUAGUGCAACAUAUUUGUGGCACUGUCGUUUAGGUCAUAUUGGUUUAACACGCAUGAAGAAACUCUAUGCCGAUGGACUUUUGGAAUCACUUGAUUAUGAAUCAUUUGAUACUUGCGAACCAUGCCUCAUGGGAAAGAUGACUAAAACUCCAUUCUCCGGAACAAUGGAGCGAGCCAAUGACUUAGUGGAAACAAUACAUACCAAUGUAUGUGGUCCGAGAGUGUUAAGCCUCACGGCAGGUAUCGUUAUUUUCUGACCUUCACAGAUGAUUUGAGCAUAUAUGGGUAUAUCUACUUAAUGAAACACAAGUUUGAAACAUUUGAAAAGUUCAAAGAAUUUCAGAGUGAAGUGGAGAAUCAUCGUAACAAGAAAAUAAAGUUUCUAAUCUGACCGCGGAGGCGAAUAUUUGAGUUAUGAGUUUAACCUUCAUUUAAAACAAUGUGGAAUAGUUUCACAACUCACGCCACCUGGAACACCACAGCGUAAUGGUGUGUCUGAACGUCGUAACCGUACUUUAUUAGAUAUCGUGCGCUCUAUGAUGUCUCUUACCAAUUUACCACUAUCGUUUUGGGGUUAUGCAUUAGAGACAACUGCAUUCACGUUAAAUAGGGCACCGUCAAAAUCUGUUGAGGCGGCACCGUAUGAACUGUGGUUUGGCAAUAAACCUAACCUGUCAUUUCUUAAAGUUUGGGGAUGCGAUGCUUAUGUCAAAAGGCUUCAGCUGAUAAGCUUGAACCUAAAUCGGAUAAGUGCAUCUUCAUAGGAUACCCUAAGGAAACAAUUGGGUACACCUUCUACCACAGCUCUGAAGGCAAGAUCUUUGUUUCCAAGAAUGGAACCUUUCUAGAGAAGAAGUCUCUCUCGAAAGAAGUGGAUGGGAGUAGAACUUGAUGAGGUAAUUGUACCUUCUCUCAAUUUGGAAAGUAGCUCAUCCGAGAAAUCCGUUCUCAUGAUGCCAAUGCCAACUAGAGAGGAAGCUAAUGAUAAUGAUCAUGAAACUUCAGAUCAAAUUACUACUGAACCUCGUAGGUCAACCAGAGCAUGAUCCGCACCAGAGUGGUAUGGUAAUCCUUUUCCAGAAGUCAUGUUACUUGACCAUGAUGAACCUAUGAACUAUGAAGAAGCUAUGAUGAGCCUAAAUUCUAAUAAAUGACUUGAGGCCAUGAAAUCUGAGAUAGGAUCCAUAUAUUAGAACAAAGUGUGGACUUUGGUGGAUUUGCCCGAUGAUCGGCGACCCAUAGAGAAUAAUGGAUCUUCAAGAAGAAGACAGGCGUUGAUGGUAAUGUUACUGUCUAUAAAGCUCGACUAGUCGCAAAAGGUUUUAGACAAGCUCAAGGAGUUGACUACGAUGAGACUUUCUCACCCGUAGCGAUGCUUAAGUCAGUCUGAAACAUGUUAGCAAUUGCCGCAUUUUAUGAUUAUGAAAUCUGGCAAAUGGAUGUCAAAAUUGCAUUCCUUAAUGGAUUCUUAAAGAAGAGUUGUAUAUGAUGCAACCAGAAGGUUGUCGAUCCUAAAGGUGCUAACAAAGUGUGCAAGCUCUAGUGAUCCAUCUAUGGAAUGGUGCAAGCAUCUCGGAGUUGGAAUAUACGCUUUGAUGAGGUGAUCAAAGCAUAUGGUUUUAUACAAACUUUCAGAGAAGCCUGUAUUUACAAGAAAGUGAGUGGGAGCUCUAUAGCAUUUAUGUUACUAUAUGUGGAUGACAUAUUGUUGACUGGGAAUGAUGUAGAAUUUCUGGAUAGCAUAAAAGGAUACUUGAAUAGGAGUUUUUCAAUGAAGACAUCAGUGAAGCUGCUUAUAUAUUGGGCAUCAAGAUCUAUAGAGAUAGAUCAAGACGCUUAAUAGGACUUUCACAAAGCACAUACCUUGAUAAAGUUUUGAAAAAGUUCAAAAUGGAUCAGUCAAAGAAAGGGUUCUUGCCUGUGUUACAAGGUGUGAAAUUGAGUCAGACUCAAUGCGCGGCCACUGCAGAAGAUAGAGACAAAAUGAAAGUCAUUCCCUAUGCCUCAGCCAUAGGUUCUAUCAUGUAUGCUAUGCUGUGUACCAGACAUGAUGUGUGCCUUGCCAUAAGUCUGGCAGGGAGGUACCAAAGCAAUCCACGACUGGAUCACUGGACAGUGGUCAAGAAUAUCCUGAAGUACCUGAAAAGGACCAAGGAUAUGUUUCUUGUUUAUGGAGGUGACAAAGAGCUUGUCAUAAAUGGUUACGUCGAUGCUAGUUUUGACAGUGAUCCGGAUGACUCUAAGUCACAAACCGGAUACGUAUUUAUUUUGAAUGGUGGAGCUAUCAGUUGGUGCAGUUCCAAGCAAAGUGUCGUGGCAGGAUCUAUAUGUGAAGCGGAGUAAAUAGCUGCUUCGGAAGCAGCAAAUGAAGGAAUCUGGGUGAAGGAGUUCAUAUCUGAUCUAGGUCUAAUACCUAGUGCAUCGGGACCAAUAAAAAUCUUUUGUGAAAAGAGCAAUUGUCUUAGCGAAGGAAUCCAGAUUUCACAAAAAGACCAAACACAUCAAGAGACGCUUCAACUCCAUCUAUGAUCUAGUCAAGGAGGGAGACAUAGAGAUUUGCAAAAUACAUACAGAUCUGAAUAUAGCAGACCCAUUGACUAAGCCUCUUCCACGAGCAAAACAUGAUAAGCACCAAGACUCCAUGGGUGUUAGAAUCAUUGCAAUGUAAUCUAGAUUAUUGACUCUAGUGCAAGUGGGAGACUGAAGGAAAUAGGCCCUAGAGGCAAUAAUAAAGUUGUUAUUUUAUAUUUCCUUAUUUCAUGAUAAAUGUUUAUUAUUCAUGCUAGAAUUGUAUUAACCGAAAACUUGAUACAUGUGUGGAUACAUAGACAAAAUAAUGUGUCCCUAGUAAGCCUCUACUAGACUAGCUCGUUGAUCAAAGAUGGUUAAGCCUCUACAAGACCUAUAUGUUAGCUUAACAUAAUGAUCGUUCAGUUUUAAUGAUAUUGUUUUCUUCAUGUCAAAUACAUAUUCCUCUGACUAUGAGAUCAUGCAACUCCCGGAUACCGGAGGAAUGCCUUGUGUACUAUCAAAUGUCACAACGUAACUGGGUGAUUAUAAAGAUGCUCUACAGGUAUCUCGGAAGGUGUUUGUUGGGUUGGCAUAGAUCGAGACUAGGAUUUGUCACUCCGAGUAUUGGAGAGGUAUCUCUGGGCCCUCUCGGUAAUACACAUCAUAACAAGCCUUGCAAGCAAAGUGACUAAUGAGUUAGUUGCAGGAUGAUGUAUUACGGAAUGAGUAAAGAGACUUGCCAGUAACGAGAUUGAACUAGUUAUGAAGAUAUAGAUGAUCGAAUCUUGGGCAAGUAACAUACCGAUAGACAAAGGGAAUUACGUAUGUUGUCAUAAGGUUCGACCAAUAAAGAUCUUCGUAGAAUAUGUAGGAGCCGAUAUGAACAUCCAGGUUACGCUAUUGGUUAUUGACAAGUGAGGUGUCUCGGUCAUGUCUACAUAGUUCUCGAACCCGUAGGGUCUGCACGCUUAACGUUCUUUGACGAUAUAUUACUAUAUUAGUUAUGUGUGUUGGUGACCGAAUGUUGUUUGGAGUCCCGGAUGAGAUCACGGACAUGACACGGAGCUCCGAAAUGGUCCGGAGGUAAAUAUUCAUAUAUUAGAUGAUAUGGUUAGGCCAAGGGGUCAGGCCCACAGGGCUAUAGGUCGGUGCAAAAGAAAGUUUUGCGGAGGUCAGAGGCCAAACGCCGGAGACCCUGGUGUCUGGCCCUGGGCCAGACACCGAGGCCCAUGGCGUCUGGGCCAGACACCAAGGAUUGUGGCGUUUGGUCAUGGAGUCUUAGUGGGACUCUUGCCUUUCAGGCAAAACUGACUUUGAGGGGGUAUUUGGUCCAAGUUUCGACCCCAGGGCUCAACAUAUAAAUAGAGGGGCAUGGCCAGCACCAAAGACACAUCAAGAUUCACCAAGCCGUAUGCCGGCAACCCUGUCCCCUCUAGUUUAUCCUCCGUCAUAGUUUCCAUACUGCUUAGGCAAAGCCCUGCGGAGAUUGUUCUUCACCAACACCGUCACCACGCCAUCGUGGUGCCGAAACUCAUCUACUACUUUGCCCGUCUUGCUGGAUCAAGAAGGCGAGGACGUCAUCGAGUUGAACGUGUGUUGAACGCGGAGGUGCCAUACGUUCAGUGCUUGAUUGGAACGGAUCGUGAAGGUGUACGACUACAUCAACCGCGUUGAUAAACACUUCCGCUAAGCGAUCUUCAAAGGUAUGAAGAUGCUCUCCCCCUCUCAUUGUUGUGCAUCUCCUAGAUAGAUCUUGCAUGAGCAUAGGAAUUUUUUGAAAUUGCAUGCUACGUUCCGCAACAGAUUGGUGGAGCAAUAGUAGUAGAUGUAGGUAGGAGUUUGUCUACUUGUCAUAGGCGUAACGCCUAUAUACAUGAUCAUUGCCAUGAAUAUCGUCAUAACUAUGCACUUUUCUAUCAAUUUCCCAACAGUAUUUUCUCUACCCACCGUAUGCUAUUUUUAUGAGAGAGAAGCCUUUAAUGAAAACUAUGACCCUGGGGGUCUAUUUUAAUCAUAUUACAAAAAACCACAAAUACCUUGAUGCAAUUUUACUUAUUUUAUUUUACUUUGCAAUUUAUCUAUCUGCCAUUACCAAAUUUAAUCCUUGCAAUUAACGAGUACAAGGGGAUUGACAACCCUCUUGCCCACGUUGGGUACAAUUAUUUUCCCUUGUGUGUGCAGGUAUUGCUUACUAGGCGUUUGCAUGGUUCUUCUAUUGGUUCGAUAACCUUGGUUCUCACUGAGGGAAAUACUAUCCAUUACUAUAUUGCUUCACCCUUCCUCUUUGGGGAAAGUCCCAACGCAACUCCCAAGUAGCAUACAUUUAUUCAAACUAAGCAAAAACUCUAACUGAAAUUUGACUAGAAAGUGAUAAGGGAUACAAAGGGCUUCAAAAUACCCCCCCCCCCCAGCUUAACAAGGUAAGCCGGUUGGAUUCAUUUGCUCUCUUUUUUAUUGAUACCAGUGUUCUUCUCUAGAGGUGGAGUGGUAACGGCGGUAAGGGCGUUAAUCAGAGGCUUGUUGGCGACCUCCAGGUCCAUUACAUGAGAACGGUACAUGCACAAAGUCUCAUCUUGGUUGGCGAUGAUCCUCAAGCACGUAUCCAGAGCCUCACGAGUCUUAGUCGCCAGCACCACUUCCAUCUCCCUCAUUUGCUCAAUCAUAAUUUUAGUUUCAAUCUUAGAAUUACUGACUUGUACCUUGGGCUGGGCAGAUGGUGCAGGAUUGGAUGUGCACCUCUUUCUUGGGGGUCCCACCUAGAUGCGUGCACUGAUGGUGUGCAUCUUACACGCCUUGGGGUUGAUCUCUUGAGACUCUGCCAUCGGCUCAUCGAUAGAGCAGUUCCUGAAACCACACCUACCCAGUACUAUGGAUGUGUCCUUAACAAAGUCGAGUCGGUUCCCUAUGGUGAUGACCUUGAGUGAUUCAAUGGGGAUGGCCUCCGGCUUCUUUUCUUCUUCUUCCUCUUUGACCUCGAAGUGCUCUUCCUCUUCAAGUUCCUCCUCGGAGGAGGAGGACCAAUCACGAACACGAUGGAUCCUAUCCCUCUUGCUUGCCAGAGAGCCAUAGCCUCCUUGCUCCAAAUCAUCAUCCUCUUGAGAGGAGGUUUGCCUCUCAUCCCACCGACGAGCCAUUGCUUCCUGCACUUCAAAACUAGAAAAGGCUUGGGCUAGAUUGGUUACUUAGCUUUGAUGAAGAAGGAGGCAAGGGCUCUAUAUAUAGGAUGUUAGGGGCGCAGGUUUUAACGAGAUAAGUAAGUUAAAAAGAAUCAGAAAAGAGAAUCGGCGAAAUUCUGUUAAGGAUCGGAAAGAAAUCAUGAUCGACGGUCUUCCAUACGUUCGUGGAUGCUCGCACGAGCGGUCGCAUAGAUCCCAUUGAUCGAGUUCUUUCCAUAUAGAGCAUUCGAUGGUGUCCUCGACGGCCAUAUCCGCCCGCAUGGGCACUCGUUUGCCUACCUCUGCCCCGCGAGAGUUUUUUUGCAAGACAAAUGUUACCUCCGGGUGACAGAGCAAUCGAUGGCCUUCCAUAGGACCAUAGUGCGAUCGCAUGGCUGGUCCUUUGGUUCAUCUCCCGAACCACCCAACAGUACAGAGCCAACAACAGCGUUUCACACGAUCGCUUGUGAUCGUAUGACCGCGAAAACAAAUAUUUUUUUACAGAAAAAUAAGAUGAAACUAAAUAGAGCAACACUUAAGGUUUUUAGCAGAACCUGCGCAACUUUCCACGCAUUUUCCAUCCCUUGUUUUUAAGGUACGUCUUCGUGCCCGUUUCCUCUCUCUUCGGGGAUGAAACGAUGAAGAUGUCUUUGGAGUUUGGUGGGGUGCAAAGAAUUGGUGUAAUCAAAUAAAUACUUGAUUAACAUUUUUUGAAAUGCCUUCAUUAACAUUUUGUAAAUACAUGAUCAAUUUUUUUUCAAACACAUUGUUUUUUUAUACAUUUUUCAUAUAUGUGAUAAACAUUUUCUCUAUAGUAUUUAACAUUUUUCAAAUGCUUGGUCUACAUUUUUCAAAUAUUUUUUGUAGAGUGUUUUUUGUAAUAUUUAUAUUUAGAAUAUUUAAAGUAAAAAUAAAAGUAAAAAAUAAAGCAAAAAAACAAAAAAAAAGAAACUCAAAAAAAAGAGAACAAAUGUGGUUGUGGCACUCCGCACAUAUGGGCCGGCCCAUCUCACUUCCCCUUCAGCGAGGGUUCCUUUGAUCUCGCUGGCAGCGAGACAUAGGGGCGCCAGAGGCCACAGGCCCAACGCAGGCGACACAACGAUGCCGGAACACAUAAAACAAGCAUGGAUCAACAAAUCUACACGAAUAUUACAGGACCUGAUCGUGUGAUGGAAGACUUAGAUGAGACAAAGUUAGAUAUCAUCUAGAUGUAAAUUAGCAAAUAUGUAUAAAUAUUCUAGUACGCUAGCUCAUGAUUUACUUGCACAUAUAAAUGUGAUUGUCUAAAUAAAUGUUUAUCAAAUCCUUCCCGUGAUUUACCUUAUUGUUUGAUGAACAAGUUGGUAGGAAAAUUAUGGUGGGAUCGUUGCAAAAAGUAAGUAAAUUAAUGUGUUGAGCGGCGUACUGGAAGGUGCGGUUAAGUAUGGCAUGGCAAAAAAUAAACGGUUGAAUGAAAAAAAUCAGUAAAGGUACGUGGUGGGAGGGGAACCAGUUGACAAGAGUUUUGUUUUGCAGAAAAAGGAACACUACUUUUCUUUAAGUGUAGUAGAGAUUAUUCUUGCAAUCAAUAUAUUUUUUUUGCACAAAUGUUAAUAGAUUUUUUUAGCAUACAAAAUUCAAGCCCGCUGAUCAUUCUUGUCCAAUGCCUCAAUAGGGAGGUCCAGCGGCAGAUCAUGUGGAUGGCAUUUAAAAAAAAGUUCUUCUAAGAAGAUGUCAUUCGCUAUAACUUAAACUAUGAAAAAAAGUUUGCAAAUGUUAUUUUUUACUGGCGAACGUUUGCCAGCUAGCGGGGUUCAAAAUCGAACGUAGUGAGUAAAUGUGUCUUUUGCACGUUGCUUCCACUCUUUUCCUUUAUGGGAGUGGCCAUGCCUCAGUCAAGUGAGACACAGUCGGUCGGUUGAUGUCACUCGUUUGACCUAGAGCACUUGAUCUUGUGCGUUUUUUCUCACCUUUUUCAUGGUCUGGUUUUUGUUUUUUACAAACUACGGCUCAACUAUACAAUUGGUUAAUUGCCUACAAAAGUUCCAAUGGUUGAUAACUGUACAACAAAACAAACUAGUAACCGUGCACGUGUCAUACACAUCCAAUACAGUAGUAUAUUGGGGAGCUUUACAUUGUAUUCUUCCACUCCGAUUACUCUCCCCUUCGUGCCCUUUGGUUUCAAUUUUUUAGUAUGCCAAUGUUCUAAUUUUUGACAUAGGGGCGGUCUUCCUAGCGAAGAUGCUACCUCUGCAUGCAUCACUAUUUGGGUGGCUCGGGCGGAUGUUGUUGCUACACUAUAGGGGCUUUUGGCGGUCACGACAUUCGUAACACGAUUUUGCGUCCUUAUUGAUGCAUGAACACACUUUCUUUCAACUAUUCUUAUUCAUAUAAUUAGUCGUGACAAGAUAUGAUUAAGCGGAAAGAAAUCAAUCAAGGUAGGCCAUUAUGGAGAUUAUUUGUGCAAUCAAUGUUGUUAGAAAAAUAUCACAAUUAUCAAAAUUGAUUGCAAUUAAUGCAAUCAAUAUUGUUGAAAAUAUCAUAAUUAUCCAUUAAUGAUGUUGCCAAAAUCAAUUACAAUUUAUAUAUAUAGUGGUGUUUCCAUUCUGUUGGUGAUGUGAUGGAUACAUCAUUGGAGCGUCGUGGGACGUUGAAUAGAGAUGGUUGGAUGGCUGAGAUCAUUUGGUUGUCCGAUAUUGCGUGCCUCUGAAUGCGAUCCAACAUCUCACUCAGGAGAAAUUUCUCGCGCUCCUCUUGUGCCUGACCUCACAAUGGGACUAGGGGAUCUUCCCCGAGAUCCGAUCUGAUAUGGAUUCGGAUUCUUCGUAUUUGGCCAGAUCUAUCAUCUGGCCCUUGGGGUGUGUCGUCGGAUCCUAGCUCCUAGUCUGGUCUGACGAGCGACUCUCGCACUUGUUCCGAGCCUGAUUUGACAUAGGCACCGGGACGGGUGCCUCAUGUUGCUCCUCAACCUAGUCUGACACCCAACUUGACAAGACUAGCUCUCCGCGGGAAACCGCGGUGUAAUCCAAGUUGCUGAAUAUCAGGACUUGACCUGGAGCGGAGGUAUUGAUAUGGCCUAGGUGAUAAAGGAAAUAUGCCCUAGAGGCAAUAAUAAAAUUGUUAUUUUAUAUUUCCUUAUUCAUGAUAAAUGUCUAUUAUUCAUGCUAGAAUUGUAUUAACCGGAAACUUGAUACAUGUGUGAAUACAUAGACAAAACAACGUGUCCCUGGUAUGCCUCUACUAGACUAGCUCAUUGAUCAAAGAUGGUUAAGUUUCCUAGCCAUGGACAUGAGUUGUCAUUUGAUAAACGGGAUCACAUCAUUAGUGGAAUGAUGUCAUGGACAACACCCAUCCGUUAGCUUAGCAUAAUGAUCGUUCAGUUUUAUUGCUACUGCUUUCUUCAUGUCAAAUAUAUAUUCCUCCGACUAUGAGAUUGUGCAACUCCAGGACACCAGAGGAAUGCCCUGUGUGCUAUCAAACGUCACAACGUAACUGGUUGAUUAUAAAGAUGCUCUACAGGUAUCUCCGAAGGUGUUUGUUGGGUCAGAAUAGAUCAAGAUUAGGAUUAGUCACUCCGAGUAUCGGAGAGGUAUCUCUGGGCCCUCUCGGUAAUGCACAUCAUAUGAAGCCUUGCAAGAAAUGUGACUAAUGAGUUAGUUGCGGGAUGAUGCACAACAGAACGAGUAAAGAGACUUGCCGGUAACGAGAUUGAACUAGGUAUGAAGAUAUCGACGAUCGAAUCUUGGGCAAGUAACAUACCGAUGACAAAGGGAAUAAUGUAUGUUGACAUUGCGGUUCGACCGAUAAAGAUCUUCGUAGAAUAUGUGGGAACCAAUAUGAGCAUCCAGCUUCCGCUAUUGGUUAUUGACCGGAGAGGUGUCUCGGUCAUGUCUACAUAGUUCUUGAACCCGUAGGGUCCGCACGCUUAACGUUCGAUGACGAUGUGUAUUAUAUGAGUUAUGUGUUUUGGUAGCCAAAGGUUGUUCGGAGUCCUGGAUGAGAUCACAUACAUGACGAGGAGUCUCGAAAUGGUUGAGAGGUAAAUAUUGAUAUAUUGGAAGGUUAUAUUCGGACAUCGGAAUGGUUCUGGAGUGUUUCGGACAAAUAUCGGAGUACCGAGGGGUUACCGGAACCCCACGGGGAAGUAAUGGGCCUUAAUGGGCCAUAGGGGAGAGGAGAGGCAUGCCACGAGGAGGUGGAACCCCCCCCCCCAUGGGGGUCCGGAUUGGACUAGGGGAGGGGGCGUGCCCCACCUUUCCCUCUCCCACUCCCUCUCUUUCCCUUUUCCCCCUCCGUUGGAAGGAAGGUGGGCCGACUAUGACUUGGAGUCCUAGUAGGACUCCCCCAUGGCGCGCGCCCUAGGGCCGGCCUCCUCCCCUCUCCUCCUUUAUAUACGGGGGAGGGGGGCACCUCUAGGAAGAACAUCAAUUGUCUUAGCCGUGUGUGGUGCCCCCUCUCCACCGUUUACUCCUCCGGUCAUAUUGUCAUAGUGUUUAGGCGAAGCCCUGCGCGGAUCACAUCACCAUCACCAUCACCACGCCAUCGUGAUGACGGAACUCAUCUACUCCUUUGUACCUCUACUGUAUCAAGAGUUCGAGGGACGUCAUCGAGUUGAACGUGUGCAGAACUCAGAGGUGUCGUACUGAUACGUCUCCAACGUAUCUAUAGUUUUUGAUUGUUCCAUGCUAUUAUAUUACCCGUUUUGGAUGUUUAUGGGCUUUACUUUACACUUUUAUAUCAUUUUUGGGACUAACCUACUAACCGAAGGCCCAGCCCGAAUUGCUGUUUUUUUGCCUAUUUCAGUGUUUCGAAGAAAAGGAAUAUCAAACGGAAUCCAAACAUAAUGAAACCUUCGGGAGCGAUCUUUUUGGAACAAACGUGACCAGAGGACUUGGAGUGGAAGUCAAGAAACAAAGGAGGCGGCCACGAGGGUCCCCGACGCGCUCCCUACAGGUGGGCGCACCCCCCACCCUCGUGGGCCUCUCGAGCGUCCACCGACCUACUUCUUCCUCCUACAUAUAGCCAUGUACCCCGAAAACAUCAGAAGCGACCACGAAAAACUAUUUCCACCGCCGUAACCUUCUGUAUCCACGAGAUCCCAUCUUGGAGCCUUCGCCGGUGCUCCAUCGGAGGGGGAAUCGAUCACGGAGGGCCUCUACAUCAUCUCCAAGGCCUCUCCGAUGAGUUGUGAGUAGUUUACCACAGACCUUCGGGUCCAUAGUUAUUAUCUAGAUGGCUUCCUCUCUCUCUUUGAAUCUCAAUACAAAGUUCUCCUUGAUCUUCUUGGAGAUCUAUUCGAAAUAACUCUUUUUGCGGUGUGUUUGUCGAGAUCCGAUGAAUUGUGGGUUUAUGAUCAAGUUUAUCUAUGAGAAAUAUUUGAAUCUCCUCUGAAUUCUUUUAUGUGUGAUUAAGUUAUCUUUGCAAGUCUCUUCGAAUUAUCAGUUUGGUUUGGACUACUAGAUUGAUCUUUCUUGCAAUGGGAGAAGCGCUUAGCUUUGGGUUCAAUCUUGCGGUGUCCUUUCCCAGUGACAGCAGGGGCAGCAAGGCACGUAUUGUAUUGUUGCCAUCGAGGAUAAAAAGAUGGGGUUUAUAUCAUAUUGCAUGAGUUUAUCCCUCUACAUCACGUCAUCUUUCUUAAUGCGUUACUCUGUUCUUAUGAACUUAAUACUCUAGAUGCAUGCUGGAUAGCAGUCGAUGCGUGGAGUAAUAGUAGUAGAUGCAGAAUCGUUUCGAUCUACUUGUCACGGACGUGAUGCCUAUAUACAUGCUCAUGCCUAGAUAAUCUCAUAAUUAUUCGCUUUUCUAUCAAUUGCUCAACAGUAAUUUGUUCACCCACCAUAAUGCUUAUGUUAUCUUGAGAGAAGCCACUAGUGAAACCUAUGGCCCCCGGGUGAAAGAACAUGCGGUGCCCCCAUGUUUGGUUUUGGUAAUUGAUGACAAUCUCUAUGGACUAAUGGUUGCCUUGAGUUAUAUUUGAAGGUUUUGUCCAUAGGCUUUUCUUGAAGAACAUGUGUUGGUUUCAAGGAGUUUAUGAGUUGACCAAGGUGUUAUUAAGGAAUUAUCCAAAGAUUGGUCUUUUGAGUAUUGAGCUUAUUGCUAGUAUGUCUUGAAGAAGAAGAUAAGAUUGUGUGAACAUUCAUGUGUAUCUUCAAGACAUCAUCUUUAUGAAGAGAGAAGAUUUUUCACAAAGCAUAGAAGAUGUACCGAGGGGAUCAAGUGAUCCCAUGGUAUGGUAAGCAUUGUCCAUUGCACUUUGUGUACAAACCCAUGAUCUAUGUGAGAGUUCUAUGUGGGGUUAGGUACGUGUCCAUGGGCUUGCGUCAAGAGGAAGAUAUCAUACAACCCAUGGAAAGGAUGACAUCAAGUGGUGAUCGUCAUCAAGAUUGCCGUGUGCAAGUUCAAGUGGAGCAUCACGAAGAGAUCAAGUGCUUCAAUCUUUCCAUCCAUUAUGGUGUCAAUGGACUUGUGAAGAUGUGCUAAAGAGUAGCUCACCCAUAGUGGACUAUGGGGGAGCAAUCAUCUAGUCUUCAUCGAGCCAACGCAAUCAACAAAGGUGGUCCAACUUGAGGGAGUCAAGAUCUUCAUCAUCUAGCUCAAGUGUACCAUGUGCAAGGCAAAGGUUUUCCCUUGAUAGGUUUUCUAUUUUACCGGUCUCAUGGUGGUAGUUGGGAGCCGGGUUAUAGGAUCAUUUGCCGUACUAUCAAGGAGGGCUCUCAAGUUGGUAGCUUGAUCGUCCCGUUUGUAGAGAGCUCAAAUCAUUGCAUCCUUGCAUCAUGUUUCUUGUUUCUUGUUUGGCUAUCUUUGUGAGUCUUAGAGCUUAUGGUCAUCUUGAUGACAAGCUUGAGUUCAUCAAAAACAGAGUUCGCAUGUGUCUUCUCUGAUGUUUUCGGUGUUGGAGGUUUUACUGGUCUUAUCCGAGGAAGGGUUCUCACCAUUUUCUUAUGGGACUUUUAUAAUUUGCUUCUUAUUGAUAUUUAUUUCAAGAUUGUGUUAGCCCUUGUCGCUAGCUUUCCAACAAACUUGGUUUCAUCGAAUUCGGAAUCCGUUUGCAAAAGUUGUGGCAGUUUUGGUGUUUUGAAAAGGCUGCUGCGGUACUACCGCGAAUUGGAGCGGAUGUAAUUUUUUACUACCACGGAUCCUACAGCGGUAGUACCAGUCUGAACCAAAAACUCGUCCCAAGUCCUGCGGUGGUAGGCCCGGAUGUAAUUUUUUAGUACCGCUCGCAAGCAGUAGUACCGCUACCCCUAGCGGUAGUACCGUGAGGUCAAGCGGUACUACCGCUCCGACGGUUCUUCUAGCCUUUUUGCCUCCUCAUUGUUGUGUUUCGAAGGGGUACUACCGCCCUAGCGGUAGUACCGCUCCUUGGACCGGUAGUACCACUCCUUGGAGCGGUAGUACCGCUCUGUGCGGGCUGUGAGCAUAAUGGUUGGUUUUUUCCCCACCUAUAAAAGGGGGUCUUCUUCCCCAUUGAACCUCAUCCUUUGAGCUCGUGUUCUUCCCCCAUUGUUGACCUUCUCCGAGCUUGCUAUCUCUCAAUCCCUCCAUGGAUUCUUGCUAGUUUUGGGGGGAAAGUGAGAGGAGAUCUAGAUCCACAUUUCCACCAAUCACUUUCUCCUCUAUGUGAGGGGAACCCCUUGGAUCUAGAUCUUGGAGUUCUUGGUGUUCUCCUUCUUGUUCUUCCUCUCAUUUUCCUCCCUAGCAUUAGUUGCUUCGGUGGGAUUUGGGAGAGAAGGACUUGGGCACUCCGUGUGCCCUUGCCAUUGCAUUUGGUGCAUCGGUUUGAGUUCUCCACGGUGAUACGUGGAAGUUUCAAGUUGAGAAGCUUAUUAAUCUUGGGUGCUUGGUGCCCUUGAGCUUGUUCCUCUUGGGUGCUUUGGCGCCCUAGACGGUUGGUGGUGCUUGGAGCUCAAUCAUUGUGGUGUAAAGCUUCGGGCAAGCGUCGAGGUCUCCAAUUAGGUUGUGGAGAUUGCCCUGAGCAAUUUGACGGGUACCGGUGACCGCCCCCAAGGGUUGCCAAAGUGUACGGGUUCGGUGACCACCCCCAAGGGUUGCCAUUUGUACGGGUUCGGUGACCGCCCUCAAGGGUCCCUUAGUGGAAUCACGGCAUCUUGCGUUGUGCGAGGGCGUGAGGAGAUGACGGUGGCCCUAGUGGCUUCUUGGGGAGCAUUGUGCCUCCACACCGCUCCAAACGGAGAUUAGCAUUCGCAAGGGUGUGAACUUCGGGAUACAUCGUCGUCUCCGCGUACCUCGGUUAUCUCUUACCCGAGCCCUUUACUUAUGCACUUUACUUUGUGAUAGCCAUAUUGUUUCUUGUCAUAUAUCUUGCUAUCACUUAGUUGUUUAUCUUGCUUAGCAUAAGUUGUUGGUGCACAUAGGUGAGCCUAAUUUUUGUAGGUUUUGUGCUUGACAAAUUAACCGCUAGGUUUAUUCCACAUUUGUUCAAGCCUAAACCAUAAUUAUUUUAAAAGCGCCUAUUCACCCCCCCCCUCUAGGCGACAUCCACGAUCUUUCAAUUUGUAUCAGAGCCUCGUCUCUCUUUGUUAGGCUUAACCGCCUAGAGAUUAAAGAUGUCGACUAGGGGAUUAGGAUUCUCUGACACUCUUAGUUUCGAUGGCACAAAUUUUGAUGUUUGGGUAAUUCGCAUGCUUAACCUCUUUAGGGUCAUAGACCCAAAUUUAGAGCGAAUUGUAGAUAUGGGUUUUUCUCCUCCAAAGGAUCCCCAAAGAUUAUCUUUAGAGGAUUAGAAAAACUUUUAUCUCAAUGCUCAAGCUUCCAAUGUGCUUUUCGAUGCUUUGAGCAAUGUAGUUAUAUUUAAACUCAUGUCGUUCCGGGAUGCUCAUGAGUUAUGGACAAAGCUUCAAGAUAAAUAUGGUGUGUCCAAGAUUUGUGGGGAUGAUUGUUCUCCCUCCACCUUCGGCCGUAUAGUCUUCUCAACUUCUUCUACUUCACCUACAUGUGGUUUGCCACAAGGUAAUGAUAUGGUGAGUAGUGUUGGUCAUUGUAAUGAUGAUAGUAUGCUUAUUGUGGAUGAUCCUUCAUCGCUAUAUUAUUGCAAUGCUCCUUCUUUGGGCUUUAACACUUCGAGCACUCCAAAUGUUUCACAUGCUUGUGUUGAUAGUCCUUGCAUAUCAUGUAGAAGUUGCUUGACUAAAUCUCAUGAUGAUAUGCUUGCUAUGUCUUGUUGCCAUGAUAAAAAUGCAUCUAUUUCCUCGAAUUGUUGUGCUAACAAUGUAGAGGAAACCGAACACUCCAUGGAACAAGAUGUGGUGUUUAAUGGUGCCUCAAGGGAUCCUACAUCAUCAUCUAUUGCUUUUUGCCUUAUGGCUAAGGCGUCAAAGGUAUCUCCUACUUUGUACCCCAAUAUGUCUGUUGAUGAUGAUGUUGAUGCUAAUGAUGAUGAGGAUAAUGAUGAAGAUAAUGAUAAUGUUGCCUCCUUAAAAACUAAGGGGGGAAUGAUUUUUAAAGCUCUUCAUAAAAAUAAAAUUGCUCGUUCCAACUUCAUGGAAAUAAUGUCAAUUGCCAUUAAUGGCAAGAAAUACAUUGAGGAGUUGGAAUCUCAUCUAGAGGAGCAUGAGGUCACCAUUGAGAAAAUGGAAGCUCAUGAGCGUGAUUACGCAAAUGAGAUCAUGGAGCUAUCUCAAGCUCUUGAACAUGAACAAACCACCUCUGAAUCUCUUGCGGAGACUUUUGCUCUAGAAUUAUCUAGAGUGAGGGAAUCUCAUGAUAGAUCUCUUGAGGUGGCCAAUGAUUUCAAAACUAAAAAUGCUAAGCUUGAAGUUGCUCAUGCUAGACUCCUUGAGGAUUUUGAGCACCUAGAAAAUGGCUCAAGGUUCAUCAAGGGUGAGCUCAUCAAACUCACCGAGUCUCAUGCUCAACUUGAAGCUUCUUAUUUAAAAGAGCUUGCCAAGUUGCCCCCUCCUAUUGUCGUUAAUGAUGAUGCUUGUGCUACUAACUCUAUUACUUGUGAAGCAUCCAUUUUGAAGGAGAAUGUUGAGCUACAGGCUCAACUUGAAUUGCUAUCUAGCAAUUAUGGGAAAUUGGAAGAAAGCCAUGAAAAGCUCUCAAGCUCUCAUGAUGAUCUUCUAGUAUCCCAUAAUGUGCUAAAGAUAGCUCAUGAGGCCAUGAUUGCUAAGGUAACAUCUAGUGAGCAUGUGGAUACUAGCACCACUUAUAGUCAAAAUACUAUAUUGCCAUGUGCUAGUCCUUGUAAUUCAUCUACUCACAAUGUUGGUACAUCUUGUGAUGAAUUGUUUUACUUGCCUUGUUGCUCUAACGAUGAAGCUUAUACUUCCUCUAGUACUUGUGUUGAGACUAACCAUGUAGAGGAAAUCAAAGAGCUCAAGGCCCAAGUCACUUCUUUGAAGAAAGACUUGGAAAAGAGCCAUGAAGGGAAAUCCACACUCAACAAUAUCUUGAGUGUGCAAAAAUCCCCCAAUUACAAAUGUGGACUUGGAUUCAACUCCAAUAAGAAGAAGUCCAAGAGCAACAAGAAGAAGGGCCAAAAACAAGUCAAGAAUUCAGCCAAGAUUAUUUGCUUCAAGUGCAAAACUGAAGGGCAUCAUGUUAGAUAUUGCCCAUUGAAGAAGAAUGCCAUUGGUGACAAGCAACAAGGGAAGAGGCCACAAGUUCAAUAUGAUGCUCAACCUCAAGUUGAAGAAAGGCCACUUCCCAAGAAGACUCAAGUUAAUGCCUCUCUUGUUAAGAAAUCAAGUGAGAAGAAAAUGAAGAGUAGACGUUGCUACUUAUGUCAUGAGAAAGGUCACAUAGCUUCUUCAUGCACAAAUGGUACCUCAUCCAACCCAAUUAUCAUUGAUGAUGUCUAUUAUCUUGGGAAGGAUAAGGUUGGCAAUGUGUUUGCCAAGUUUGUUGGUACUCAAAGUGGUUUGAAGCAAAGAACCAUUUGGGUAGCCAAGCCUAUUAUGACUAACCUCUUAGGACCCAACUUGGUUGGGGACCAACUAGCUCAAACUUGAUCAAUAGGUGUUGUUGGAAGGCAUUGGACACUUGGCUACAUUAUGAAGAAUUAAGGGGACUUCAUCACUCUUAUUGCCUCAAGCCAAGUCAAUUGAAUUAUCAAGCUUAUAUCUUAUAUCCAAUGUGCCUCCUUGCGGUAACUUGUACUUAAAUUGUUUACGUUGAAAGUUACUUGUCCACUUGCAUGUUUUGGUUUUGUUCCUUGCAUGUGUUUGUAUAUGUUGUGCUUCCAACUUGAUUAUCUUGAGCAAUCAAGUAUGUGUGUGUUGGUUUGCACAUCAUGUAUGUGUGUGUCAUGCAUUGAGCCUUUUGCAUCUUGUUUAUUUCUUAGUUGGCUCUUGUGAGAGAUUAAUGGAAUAUCCCAUUAUGGGGGAGUGAUGUGCUUUGUGCACUUCACAAUCCUAUAAAUGUGUGUACAUGAGUAAUACAAUCUAGUAUUGAUAUUUCAAUAUUAUCUAGUUGCUAUGUGGUAUGUCUUUUCAUGAGAAAUUCAAAUUCUAAAUUGUCCAUUAAUUAUCUCUUGUUGGAUCCUCUUAUUGCCUCUUGUUAAGUUUUUAUUGGUAUCACACUAUGGGGGAGUAAUAUGCUAUGUGCAUAUUACAAGCCUAGAAAAUGUGUACUUUUGAGAUAUUGUCACCUAGAAUUGAUAUUGUAAAUUAUCUUGUUCCUAGGUGGCAUAUUAGCUCUACAAGUUGCAAUUUGCUUGUGUUUUUUGUGAAGAUAAUGUUGGAUGUCCUUGUUAUCUACCACCGGGAAUUAUUUCCAAAUACUUCUUGUCUUUUGACAAUUGGUAUUCACUUAUGUGUGGUAGAAUUUAUUAAUCAUCUUUACAUUGGCUUUUGUUAAUUUGCCUUUUCUCUUGCCAAGGAUUGUGUCAACUCUCAUUGUCUUCCAUACCACUUGUGGAUCUUGUUAAUUUUGUGUUCUUGUCUAGUGUUUUCUAGAUAUAGUGAAAGCGGUGAUCCCACCUUGUGCAUUUUGUAUUCUAAUACAAAUCCUAUAUAAUGCACAACUUGUGGGGGAGCUAUUCUAUUUUCUUUAGAACACUCUUCUAGUGACUUUUAGUAGUGGCCAACACUCUAGCCAGAUUGAUUUCAUCCUCUCGAGAAGAGAAGAUAGGCAUGCGUGCCUAGACUGUAAGGUGAUACCUGGGGAGAGUGUUGUACCCCAGCAUAAGCUGGUGGUUGCUGACUUCCGCUUUCGGAUUCGUGUCCAGCGGGAUAAGCGUGCCAAGGUCGCUAGAACGAAGUGGUGGAAUCUCAAGGGGGAGGUAACUCGGGUGUUCAAGGAGAGGGUAAUUAAGGAAGGCCCUUGGGAGGAAGGAGGGGAUGCAGACAAUGUGUGGAUGAAGAUGGCGACUUGCAUUCGUAAGGUGGCCUCAAAGGAGUUUGGAGUGUCUAGGGGAAGGAGAAGCGAAGAUAAGGAUACCUGGUGGUGGAAUGAUGAUGUCCAGAAGGCGAUUAAAGAGAAGAAAGAUUGCUUCAGACGCCUAUACCUGGAUAGGAGUGCAGACAACAUAGAGAAGUACAAGAUGGCGAAGAAGGCCGCAAAGCGAGCUGUUGGUGAAGCAAGGGGUCGGGCAUAUGAGGACCUCUACCAACGGUUAGGCACGAAGGAAGGUGAAAGGGACAUCUAUAAGAUGGCUAAGAUCCGGGAGAGGAAGACGAGGGAUAUUGGCCAAGUCAAAUGCAUCAAGGACGGAGUAGGCCAACUCUUGGUGAAGGACGAAGAGAUUAAGCAUAGAUGGCGGGAGUACUUCGACAAGCUGUUCAAUGGGGAGAAUGAGAGUUCUACCAUUGAACUAGAUGACUCCUUUGAUGAGACCAGCAUGCAUUUUGUGCGGCGCAUCUAGGAGUCUGAGGUGAAGGAGGUUUUAAAAAGGAUGAAAGGAGGCAAGGCGAUGGGCCCUGAUUGUAUCCCCAUUGAGGUGUGGAAAGGUUCGGGGACAUAGCGAUAGUAUGGCUAACCAAGCUUUUCAACCUCAUUUUUCGGGCAAACAAGAUGCCAGAAGAAUGGAGACGGAGUAUAUUAGUACCAAUCUUCAAGAACAAGGGGGAUGUUCAGAGUUGUACUAAUUACCGUGGAAUUAAGCUAAUGAGCCAUACAAUGAAGCUAUGGGAGAGAGUCAUUGAGCAUCGCUUAAGAAGAAUGACAAGCGUGACCAAAAAUCAGUUUGGUUUCAUGCCUGAGAGGUCGACCAUGGAAGCCAUUUUCUUGGUACGACAACUUAUGGAGAGAUAUAGGGAGCAAAAGAAGGACUUGCAUAUGGUGUUCAUUGACUUGGAGAGGGCCUAUGAUAAGAUACCGCGGAAUGUCAUGUGGUGGGCCUUGGAGAAACACAAAGUCCCAGCAAAGUACAUUACCCUCAUCAAGGACAUGUACAAUAAUGUUGUGACAAGUGUUCGAACAAGUGAUGUCGACACCGAUGACUUCCCGAUUAAGAUAGGACUGCAUCAGGGGUCAGCUUUGAGCCCUUAUCUUUUUGCAUUGGUGAUGGAUGAGGUCACAAGGGGUAUACAAGGAGAUAUCCCAUGGUGUAUGCUCUUUGCGGAUGAUGUGGUGCUAGUUGACGAUAGUCAGACGGGGGUAAAUAGGAAGUUAGAGUUAUGGAGACAAACCUUGGAAUCGAAAGGGUUUAGGCUUAGUAGAACUAAAACCGAGUACAUGAUGUGCGGUUUCAGUACUACUAGGUGUGAGGAGGAGGAGGUUAGCCUUGAUGGCCAGGUGGUACCUCGGAAGGACACCUUUCGGUAUUUGGGGUCAAUGUUGCAGGAGGAUGGGGGUAUUUAUGAAGAUGUGAACCAUCGAGUCAAAGCCAGAUGGAUGAAGUGGCGCCAAGCUUCUGGCAUUCUCUGUGACAAGAGAGUGCCACAAAAGCUAAAAGGCAAGUUCUACAGGACGACGGUUCGACCCGCAAUGUUGUAUGGCGCGGAGUGUUGGCCGACUAAAAGGCGACAUGUUCAACAGUUAGGUGUGGCAGAUAUGCGUAUGUUGAGAUGGAUGUGUGGCCACACGAGGAAGGAUCGAGUCCGAAAUGAUGAUAUAUGAGAUAGAGUUGGGGUAGCACCAAUUGAGGAGAAGCUUGUCCAACAUCGUUUGAGAUGGUUUGGGCAUAUUCAGCACAGGCCUCCAGAAGCUCCAGUGCAUAGCGGACAGCUAAAGCGUGCGGAGAAUGUCAAGAGAGGGUGGGGUCGACCGAAUUUGACAUGGGAGGAGUCCGUUAAGAGAGACCUGAAGGAUUGGAGUAUCGACAAAGAGCUAGCUAUGGACAGGGGUGCGUGGAAGCUUGCUAUCCAUGUGCCAGAGCCAUGAGUUGGUUGCGAGAUCUUAUGGGUUUCACCUCUAGCCUACCCCAACUUGUUUGGGACUAAAGGCUUUGUUGUUGUUGUUGUUGUUGUUGUUGUUGUUGUUGUUGUACUCUUCUUGUGAUCCUUAUCAAGUGUGUUUUGGUGGAAGGCAAGCCAUUUCUUUUUGGUACUUUGUGCCAUCAUGAAACUUUAUUGAGAGCUUGGUUUGUUUGGAACCAUCCUCUCUUUGGGAGUUUGACAUCUUUAGUAUAGUGUGUAUCAAUGGAUAUCUCAUUCCUUGAUGUAUCUUUAAUGAUAUCUUCCAAGUGAUGAUUUCUCCAUUUGGUAUCCUUUUCACUUGGAAUUUCUUUGUCUUUUGGUUUCGGGUUUUGAAAGUCUUGAGCAUGCAUGUUUACUUCAUGUAUUUUAUUUGGCAUGCUUUCUUUCUUUGACUCAAUAUAUAGGGGAAUCUCCACCAAGUAUCAAAUUGGAUAAGAUGUGUAUGAAAUUCAUUUUCAUAUCUAUUUGCACAUAUUUAUGUGGAGAUUGUCCUAUGUAUUGAUGUUUCUAACCCUUUGGUCCCAAUGAGUUUGGGUACCAUUUUGUUUGUGUUGUUGUUCUAGGAACAAUUGGAGAUGCAUUGGAUGCUCGGCUCACUCACAAGGAAGGUGGUUUCACCAUGUGCUUAUUGGAGUCAAGCUAGGAUGAUCAAUGAUCUACUAUCUACCUUUAAUUGGUAUCUACUACAUCCUUUCAAUGCUAUCUCGGUAACAAGUAUCAACUCAUGCAUACACCUCUUAUAUUCAACCUUGUGUAGCUUGCAUCAUGGCAUGAAUUUCUUGAUUAGUUCUUGUGAUACUUGUUUCCCGUCUCAAAGCAUCUCAACAAUGAUCUCUUGUUGCUAGUUGUGAUAUCUUUGAUGGUUGUGUGGUAGGAAUUCACUUAUAUACAAUAAGACAAUUUCUAGCCUUGGGCUAUGCUUCCAAGCAAAUAUCUUAUUGGUAUAUGUAUGACUUCCUUUUGGAUAUCUUGUUCCUUCAUGUUGUAACUAUCUCGGGUGUACACCCUUCUUUGUAGAUAUAUAUCAUCAUGAUUUCGUCUACCUAGAACCGUGUACACUUGAGAGAAAUUACAUCUCUAGACAAUAUCCUUUCUUUCACGUCCACAUUGUCUUUCUUAUGUUAUUUCUUUGGUGGCUCCAUGAAAGCUUUUGCCUUGAGAGUGUGUCCUCUAUCGUUGCAUCUUGAUGCACUCUUGUGUGGUGAAGAUUAUUUCCUCCUGCUUGUCUUGACAAGGCCUUUGCCAUCUUAAUUGGUAUCCCUCGUCUUGAUGAGGCUUUCCUUUUCUAUCUUCACCACGGGUUGUCACAAGCAUAGGUUCUUUAUAUGCUUAUUAGUAAGCUUGUGAAUCCAUUUGCUUAGUUGUGUGUGAGAAUGAAAGGCUUUGCACCGUGUAUCUCAUUCAUUCGAGACUAUGUUGAUGCUUAUGCUCAUCCGUAUAUUAGUCCUCUCAUGUGCUUUGCCAUGACUCACACACAUCAUUUUGGUUGAGCCUAUUCUUAAGUUGCCUCUUUUACAUGUUGCUCAACCAUGUGUUUGUUGCAAGUGCUAGGCUUAGUUUCCUUUAUGCUCACUUGCACUUGUUGUAAGUUUCUAUUGAUUUUGGGGGAGCUAUGAUCCUAUUUUGUGCACUUUUUAUCCAAAUACAAAAAUUCUUAUGUGUGCACAAAUCAUGGGGAGCUUCUCUAGUUUCUUUAGAUCACUCCGUCGCUCAUAUCAUAAUAUCCUUUAUUCUUGUGGCUCGUAGGAUCUUUGGUCUAGUUGGUUCAAUUGAUAUCCUUUGAUUGCUUGCUUCAAUUGGUAUAUUUUGACUGUUUGAUUGCUUGUGUCUCUCUUUGUUAUGUCUUUGUGGCAUAUCAUUCUUUAGCAAUCUUUGUGCCUCAAUAUAGUUUGUGUUCCUCCAAGUAUUUACCAUUGGAUUUGUGUAUUGCAUUCCACUCUCUUGUUGAGAGAUACACAUAUUUUUGGAGGAACACUUGUUAUAUUGGCCUUCUUAGCUUUUCGCCCAUUUUGGCAAUCGAUGCCAAUGGGGGAGAAGUUUCAGAGAGUUUUGUGGAGAAGUUUAGAGAGUUAUCUCCUCUUGCUUUGGUUUUGUUCCUUAGCAUUUCCAUCUCAUUCUCAUGCAUCAUUGGUUGUUGCAUUGCAUGGUGAUGCAUAAUUCCUUGUAUAAACUCUUUUGAAAGUGAUUGUCAUCAAUUACCAAAAUGGGGGAGACUGAAAGAACAUGCGGUGCCCCCAUGUUUGGUUUUGGUAAUUGAUGACAAUCUCUAUGGACUAAUGGUUUCCUUGAGUUAUAUUUGAAGGUUUUGUCCAUAGGCUUUUCUUGAAGAACAUGUGUUGGUUUCAAGGAGUUUAUGAGUUGACCAAGGUGCUAUUAAGGAAUUAUCCAAAGAUUGGUCUUUUGAGUAUUGAGCUUAUUGCUAGUAUGUCUUGAAGAAGAAGAGAAGAUUGUGUGAACAUUCAUGUGUAUCUUCAAGACAUCAUCUUUAUGAAGAGAGAAGAUUUCUCACAAAGCGUAGAACAUGUACCGAGGGGAUCAAGUGAUCCCAUGGUAUGGUAAGCAUUGUCCAUUGCACUUUGUGUACUAACCCAUGAUCUAUGUGAGAGUUCUAUGUGGGGUUAGGUACGUGUCCAUGGGCUUGCGUCAAGAGGAAGAUAUCAUACAACCCAUGGAAAGGAUGACAUCAAGUGGUGAUCGUCAUCAAGAUUGCCAUGUGCAAGUGCAAGUUGAGCAUCACGAAGAGAUCAAGUGCUUCAAUCUUUCCAUCCAUUAUGCUGUCAAUGGACUUGUGAAGAUGUGCUGAAGAGUAGCUCACCCAUAAUGGACUAUGGGGGAGCAAUCAUCUAGUAUUCAUCGAGCCAACGCAAUCAACAAAGGUGGUCCAACUUGAGGGAGUCAAGAUCUUCAUCAUCUAGCUCAAGUGGAACAUGUGCAAGGCAAAGGUUUGCCCUUGAUAGGUUUUCUAUUUUACCGGUCUCGUGGUGGUAGUUGGGAGACCGGGUUAUAGGAUCAUUUGCCGUACUAUCAAGGGGCCUCUCAAGUUGGUAGCUUGAUUGUAUCGUUUGUAGAGAGCUCAAACCAUUGCAUCCUUUCAUCAUGUUUCUUGGUUCUUGUUUGGCUAUCUUUGUGAGUCUUAGAGCUUAUGGUCAUCUUGAUGACAAGUUUGAGUUCAUCGAAAACGGAGUUCGCAUGCGUCUUCUAUGAUGUUUUCGGUGUUGGAGGUUUUGCUGGUCUUAUCCGAGGAAGGGUUCUCACCAUUUUCUUAUGAGACUUUUCUAAUUUUCUUCUUAUUGAUAUUUCUUUCAAGAUUGUGUUAGCCCUUGUCGCUAGCUUUCCAACAAACUUGGUUUCAUCGAAUUCGGAGUCCUUUUGCAAAAGUUGUGGCAGUUUUGGUGUUCUGAAAAGGCUGCUGCCGUACUACCGCUAAUUGGAGCGGAUGUAAUUUUUUACUACCGCUCCAGAGCGGUACUACCGCGGCUCCUACAGCGGUAGUACCGCUCCGGACCAAAAACUCGUCCCAAGUCCUGCGGUGGUAGGCCCGGAUGUAAUUUUUUAGUACCGCUCGCAAGUAGUAGUACCGCUACCCUUAGCAGUAGUACCGCUACCCCUAGCAGUAGUACCGUGAGGUCAAGUGGUACUACCGCUCCGACGGUUCUUCUGGCCUUUUUGCCUCCUCGUUGUUGUGUUUCGCAGGGGUACUACCGCCCUAGCGGUAGUACCGCUCCUUGGAGCGGUAGUACCGCUCUGUGCGGGCUGUGAGCAUAAUGGUUGGUUUUCUCUCCACCUAUAAAAGGGGGUCUUCUUCCCCAUUGAACCUCAUCCUUUGAGCUCGUGUUCUUCCCCCAUUGUUGACCUUCUCCGAGCUUGCUAUCUCUCAAUCCCUCCAUGGAUUCUUGCUAGUUUUGGGGGGAAAAGAGAGAGGAGAUCUAGAUCCACAUUUCCACCAAUCACUUUCUCCUCUAUGUGAGGGGAACCCCUUGGAUCUAGAUCUUGGAGUUCUUGGUGUUCUCCUUCUUGUUAUUCCUCUCAUUUUCCUCCCUAGCAUUAGUUGCUUCAGUGGGAUUUGGGAGAUGAGGACUUGGGCACUCCAUGUGCCCUUGCCAUUGCAUUUGGUGCAUCGGUUUGAGUUCUCCAAGGUGAUACGUGGAAGUUUCAAGUUAAGAAGCUUAUUACUCUUGGGUGCUUGGUGCCCUUGAGCUUGUUCCUCUUGGGUGCGUUGGCACCCUAGAUGGUUGGUGGUGCUUGGAGCUCAAUUAUUGUGGUGUGAAGCUCCGGGCAAGCGUCGGGGUCUCCAAUUAGGUUGUGGAGAUCUCCCCGAGCAAUUUGACGGGUACAGGUGACCGCCCCCAAGGGUUGCCAAAGUGUACGGGUUCGGUGACCGCCCCCAAGGGUUGCCAUUUGUACGGGUUCGGUGACCGCCCUCAAGGUUCCCUUAGUGGAAUCACGGCAUCUUGCAUUGUGCGAGGGCGUGCAGAGAUUACGGUGGCCCUAGUGGCUUCUUGGGGAGCAUUGUGCCUCCACACCGCUCCAAAUGGAGAUUAGCAUUCGCAAGGGUGUGAAGUUCGGGAUACAUCGUCGUCUCCGCGUACCUCGGUUAUCUCUUACCCGAGCCCUUUAUUUAUGCACUUUACUUUGUGAUAACCAUAUUGUUUCUUGUCAUAUAUCUUGCUAUCACUUAGUUGUUUAUCUUGCUUAGCAUAAUUUGUUGGUGCACAUAGGUGAGACUAGUUGUUGUAGGUUUUGUGCUUGAUAAAUUAACCGCUAGGUUUAUUCCGCAUUUGUUCAAGCCUAAACUGUAAUUAUUUUAAAAGCGCCUAUUCACCCCCCCCCCCUCUAGGCGACAUCCACGAUCUUUCACCGGGUCUAUCUCUUAUCAUAUAAGCUUUCAAUCUACUUUUAUUUGCAUCUUUACUUUUCCAAUCUAUAUUAUAAAAUACCAAAAAUAUUUUUAUCUUAACAUAUUAUCUCUAUCAGAUCUCACUUUCGCAAGUGGCCGUGAAGGGAUUGACUACCCCUUUAUUGUGUUGGUUGCGAGUUCUUAUUUGUUUGUGUAGGUGCGUGGGACUUGCAAGGAGCCUCCUAAUGGAUUGAUACCUUGGUUCUCAAAAACUGAGGGAAAUACUUAUGCUACUAUUGCUGCAUCACCCUUUCCUCUUCAAGGAAAGCCAACACAAGCUCAAGACGUAGCAAGAAGGAUUUCUCGCGCCGUUGCCGGGGAGGUCUUCGCUCAAUUCAAGACAUACCAAGUACCCAUCACAAACUCAUCUCCCUCGCAUUACAUUAUUUGCCAUUUGCCUCUCGUUCUCCUCUCCCCCACUUCACCCUUGCCGUUUUAUUCGCCCUCUCUUUCCCAAUCUCCUCUCUCUUUCGCUUGCCUCUUUGUUUGCUUGUGUGUUGGAUUGCUUGUUGCGAUGGCGCAAAACAAUACCAAAUUAUGUGACUUUUCCAAUACCAAUAAUAAUGAUUUCCUUAGUACUCCGAUUGCUCCUCUUAAUGAUGUUGAGUCUUGUGAAAUCAAUGCUGCUUUGCUAAAUCUGGUUAUGAAAGAUCAAUUCGCCGGCCUUCCUAGUGAAGAUGCCGCUACUUAUGAAUCAAGUGCCAAAGAUGGCACUACUUAGAUCUAUCCUCGCUUUUAUGCCUAGCUAGGGGCGUUAAAUGAUAGCGCUAGUUAGGAGGCAACCCAAUUUUACUUUUGUUUUUUGUUUUUGCUUCUGUUUAGUAAUAAAUUUUGCAUCUGCCUUCUGUUUAGAUGUGUUUUCAUGUUUUAAUUAGUGUUUAUGCCAAGUAGAACCUAUAGGAUAACCUAUGGUAAUAGUUAAAUUUGAUUCUUCUGAAAAAUAGAAACUUUGUGCGCACGAAAAUUAUUUUUGUAAAUCACAGAAACAUGAUUUUGCAUUGAUUCUUUUUUCUGUAGAUCAAUAGACAAAUUUCCCAGGACUUCCUAUUUUGGUAGGAUUUGUAGAGUUCCAGAAGUAUUCGAGAGUUAUAGAUUACUACAGACUGUUCUGUUUUUGACAAUUCUGUUUUUUGUGUGUUGUUUGCUUAUUUUGAUUCAUCUAUGGCUAGUAUGUAGGGGUAUGAACCAUAGAGAAGUUGGAAUACAGUAGGUUUAACACCAAUAUAAAUAAAUAAUGAGUUCAUUACAGUACUUUAUGUGGUGGUUUUUCUUUCUUGCACUAACGGAGCUUAUGAGAUUUCCUGUUGAGUUUUGUGUUGUGAAGUUUUCAAGUUUUGGGUAAAGAUUUGAUGGACUAUGGAAUAAGGAGUGGCAAGAGCCUAAUCUUGGGGAUGCCCAUGGCACCCCAAGAUAUUCAAGGGUAACCAAAAUCCUAAGCUUGGGGAUGCCCCGGAAGGCAUCCCCUCUUUCGUCUUCGUCUAUCGGUAACUUUACUUGGAGCUAUAUUUUUAUUCGCCACAUGAUAUGUGUUUUGCUUGGAGCGUCUUGUAUGAUAUUAGUCUUUGAUUUUUAGUUUACCACAAUCAUCCUUGCUAUACAUGCCUUUUGGGAGAAACCCACUUGAUUGGAAUUUAUUAGAAUACUCUAUGUGCUUCACUUAUAUCUUUUGAGCUAGAUACUUUUUGCUCUAGUGCUUCACUUAUAUCUUUUAGAGCACGGCGGUGGCUUAAUUUUGUAGAAAUUGUUAAUCUCUCAUGCUUCACUUAUAUUAUUUUGAGAGUCUCUUAUAACAGCAUGGUAUUUGCUAUGGUUAUAAAAUUGGUCCUAGAAUGAUGGGCAUCCAAGUUGGGUAUAAUAAAAACUAUCAUAGGAAGUGAAUUGGAUGCUAUGAUCAAUUUGAUACUUGAUAAUUGUUUUGAGAUAUGGAGGUAGUGAUAUUAGAGUAAUGCUAGUUGGGUGAUUAUGAAUUUAAAGAAUGCUUGUGUUGAAGUUGGCAAGUCCCGUAGCAUGCACGUAUGGUAAAAGUUGUGUAACAAAUUUGAAACAUGAGGUGUUCUUAGAUUGUCAUCCUUAUGAGUGGCGGUCGGGGACGAGCGAUGGUCUUUUCCUACCAAUCUAUCCCCCUAGGAGCAUGCGCGUAGUGCUUGGUUUUUGAUGACUUGUAGAUUUUUGCAAUAAGUAUAUGAGUUCUUUUUGACUAAUGUUGAGUCCAUGUAUUAUACGCACUCUCACCCUUCCAUCAUUGCUAGCCUAUUUGGUACCGUGCAUUGCCCUUUCUCACCUUGAGAGUUGGUGCAAACUUCGCCAGUGCAUUCAAACCCCGUGAUAUGAUACGCUCUAUCACACAUAAACCUCCUUAUAUCUUCCUCAAAACAGAGCUUUUGCGUUGAUUCGUUUUUCUGCUGAUCAAUAGAAAAAUUGUACAGUACGUCCUAUUUUGGUAGGAUUUUUUAGAGUUCCAGAAGUUUGCGUUAGUUACAGAUUGCUACAGAUUGUUCUGUUUUUGACAGAUUCUGUUUUUCGUGUGUUGUUUGCUUAUUUCAAUGCAUCUAUGGCUAAUAAAUUAGUUUAUAAACCAUAAGGAAGUUGGAAUACAGUAGGUUUAACACCAAAAUAAAUAAAUAAUGAGUUCAUUUCAGUACCUUAUGUGGUGGUUUUGUUUUCUUUCACUAACGGAGCUUAUAAGAUUUCCUGUUGAGUUUUGUGUUGUGAAGUUUUCAAGUUUUGGGUAAAGCUUUUAUGGACUAUGGAAUAAAGAGUGGCAAGAGCCUAAGCUUGGGGAUGCUUAUGGCACCCCAAGAUAUUCAAGAAUAGCCAAAAGCCUAAGCUUGGGGAUGCCCCGGGAAGGCAUCCCCUCUUUCGUCUUCGUUCAUUGGUAACUUUACUUGGAGCUAUAUUUUUAUUCGCUACAUGAUAUGUGUUUUGCUUGGAGUGUCGUGUAUUACAUUGGUAUUUGCUUAUUAGUUUACCACAAUCAUCCUUGCUGUAUCACACCUUUUUGGAGAAGCCUAUUUGAUUAGAAUUUUCUAGAAUACUCUAUGUGCUUCACUUAUAUCUUUUGAGCUUGAUAGUUUUUGCUCUAGUGCUUCACUUAUAUCUUUUAGAGCAUGGUGGUGGAUUAAUUUUAUAGAAAUUGCUAGUCUCUCAUGCUUCACUUAUAUUAUUUUGAGAGUCUCUUAGAACAGCAUGGUAUUUGCUAUGGUUUUAAUUUGGUCCUAGAAUGAUGAGCAUCCAAGUUGGGUAUAAUAAAAACUAUCAUAGAAAGUGAAUUGGAUGCUAUGAUCAAUUUGAUGCUUGAUAAUUGUUUUGACAUAUGGAGGUAGUAAUAUUAAAGUCAUGCUAGUUGGGUGAUUAUGGAUUUAAAGAAUGCUUGUGUUGAAGUUAGUGAUUCCUAUAGCAUGCACGUAUGGUGAACCGCUUUGUGAUGAAGUUGGAGCACAAUUUUAUUUAUUGAUUGUCUUCCUUAUGAGUGGCAGUCGGGGACGAGCGAUGGUCUUUUCCUACCAAUCUAUCCCCCUAGGAGCAUGCGUGUAGUGCUUUGGUUUUUGAUUACUUCUAAAUUUUUACAACAAGUAUAUCAGUUCUUUUGAUUAAUGUUGAGUCCAUGGAUUAUACGCACUCCUUUCACCCCUCCAUCAUUGCUAGCCUUUCUUGUAUCGUGCAACUUUCGCCGGUACCAUACACCCACCAUACUCCUUCCUCAAAACAGCCACCAUACCUACCUAUUAUGGCAUUUCCAUAGCCAUUCCAAGAUAUAUUGCCAUGCGACUUUCCACCGUUCCGUUCAUCAUCAUGACACGCAUCAUUAUUGUCAUAUUGCCUUUCAUGAUCAUGUACUUGACAUCGUAUUUGUGGCAAAGCCACCAUGCAUAAUUUUUCAUACAUGUCACUCUUGAUUCAUUACCCAUCCCGGUACACCGCCGGAGGCAUUCAUAUAGAGUCAUAUCCUGUUCUAGUGUUGAGUUGUAAUUCAUGAGUUGAAAAUAAAUAGAAGUGUGAUGAUCAUCAUUAUUAGAGCAUUGUCCCCAAAAUAAGAGAAAGGCCAAAUAAAAAAUAAAAAAUAAAAAGGGGGCAAUGUUACUAUCCUUUUUCACACUUGUGCUUCAAAGUAGCACCAUGUUCUUCAUAUAGAAAGUCUUUUAUGUUGUCACUUUCAUAUACUAGUGGGAAUUUUUCAUUAUAGAACUUGGCUUGUAUAUUCCUACGAUGGGCUUCCUCGGAAUGCCCUAGGUCUUCGUGAGCAAGCAAGUUGGAUGCACACCCACUAGUUAGUUUCUUUUUUUGAGCUUUCAUAUAUUUAUAGCUCUAGUGCAUAUGUUGCAUGGCAAUCCCUACUCCUCAUGUUGACAUCAAUUGAUGGGCAUCUCCAUAGCCCAUUGAUUAUCCUUGUCAAUGUGAGAUUUCUCCUUUUUUUGUCUUCUCCACACAAUCUCCAUCAUCAUAUUCUAUUCCACCCAUAGUGCUAUAUCCAUGGCUCACGCUCAUGUAUUGCGUGAAAGUUGAAAAAGUUUGAGAUUAUUUAAGUGUGAAACAAUUGCUUGGCUUGUCAUCGGGGGUGUGCAAGAUGGGAGCAUUUUUGUGUGACGAAAAUGAAGCAUGACCUAACUAUAUGAUUUUGUAGGGAUGAACUUUCUUUAGCCAUGUUAUUUUGAGAAGACAUGAUUACUUUGAUUAGUAUGCUUGAAGUAUUACUAUUUCUUAUGUCGAUAUGAACUUUUAUUUUGAAUCAUUUGGAUCUGAACAUUCAUGCCACAAUAAAUAAAAUUACAUUGAGAAUUAUGCUAGGUAGCAUUCCACAUCAAAAAUUCUGUUUUUAUCAUUUACCUACUCGAGGAUGAGCAGGAAUUAAGCUUGGGGAUGCUUGAUACGUCUCCAACGUAUCUAUAAUUUUUGAUUGUUCCAUGCUGUUAUAUUACCCGUUUUGGAUGUUUAUGGGCUUUACUUUACACUUUUAUAUCAUUUUUGGGACUAACCUACUAACCGUAGGCCCAGCCCGAAUUGUUGUAUUUUGCCUAUUUCAGUGUUUCGAAGAAAAGGAAUAUCAAACGGAGUCCAAACGGAAUGAAACCUUCGGGAGCGAUCUUUUUGGAACAAACAUGAUCAAGAGGACUUGGAGUGGAAGUCAAGAAACGAAGGAGGUGGCCAUGAGGGUGCCCAGCGUGCCCCCUAUAGGUGGGCGCGCCCCCACCCUCGUGGGCCCCUCGAGCGUCCACCGACCUACUUCUUCCUCCUACAUAUACCCAUGUACCCCGAAAACAUCAGAAGCGACCACAAAAUACUAUUUCCACUGCCGUAACCUUCUGUAUCCGCGAGAUCCCAUCUUGGAGCCUUCGUCGGUGCUCCGCCAGAGGGGGAAUCGAUCAUGGAGGGCCUCUACAUCAUCUCCAAGGCCUCUCCGAUGAGUUGUGAGUAGUUUACCACAGACCUUUGGGUCCAUAGUUAUUAGCUAGAUGGCUUCUUCUCUCUCUUUGAAUCUCAAUACAAAGUUCUCCUUGAUCUUCUUGGAGAUCUAUUCGAUGUAACUCUUUUUGCGGUGUGUUUGUCGAGAUCCGAUGAAUUGUGGGUUUAUGAUCAAGUUUAUCUAUGAGAAAUAUUUGAAUCUCCUCUGAAUUCUUUUAUGUGUGAUUAAGUUAUCUUUGCAAGUCUCUUCGAAUUAUCAGUUUGGUUUGGCCUACUAGAUUGAUCUUUCUUGCAAUGGGAGAAGUGCUUAGCUUUGGGUUCAAUCUUGCGGUGUCCUUUCCCAGUGAUAGCAGGGGCAGCAAGGCACGCAUUGUAUUGUUGCCAUCAAGGAUAAAAAGAUGGGGUUUAUAUCAUAUUGCAUGAGUUUAUCCCUCUACAUCAUGUCAUCUUUCUUAAUGCGUUACUCUAUUCUUAUGAACUUAAUACUCUAGAUCCAUGCUGGAUAGUGGUCGAUGUGUGGAGUAAUAGUAGUAGAUGCAGAAUCGUUUCCAUCUACUUGUCACGGACGUGAUGCCUAUAUACAUGAUCAUGCCUAGAUAAUCUCAUAAUUAUUCGCUUUUCUAUCAAAUGCUCGACAGUAAUUUGUUCACCCACCGUAAUACUUAUGCUAUCUUGAGAGAAGCCACUAGUGAAACCUAUGGCCCCCGGGUCUAUCUCUUAUCAUAUAAGCUUUCAAUCUACUUUUUUUUGCAUCUUUACUUUUCCAAUCUAUAUUAUAAAAUACCAAAAAAAUAUUUAUCUUAUCAUAUUAUCUCUAUCAGAUCUCACUUUCGCAAGUGGCCAUGAAGGGAUUGGCAACCCCUUUAUUGUGUUGGUUGCGAGUUCUUAUUUGUUUGUGUAGGUGCGUGGGACUUGUGAGGAGCCUCCUACUGGAUUGAUACCUUGGUUCUCAAAAACUGAGGGAAAUACUUACGCUACUAUUGCCGCAUCACCAUUUCCUCUUCUAGGAAAACCAACGCAAGCUCAAUACGUAGCACGCACGUCUGGUACUUGAUCGGUUAAUUCGAGAAGACGCUUGACUACAUUAACCGCGUUAAGUUAACGCUUCCGUUUUCGGUCUACGAGGGUACGUGGACACACUCUUCCCCUCUCAUUGCUAUGCAUCUCCUAGAUAGAUCUUGCGUGAGCGUAGGAAUUUUUUAAAAUUGCAUGCUACGUUUCCCAACAGUGGCAUCCGAGUCAGGUCUAUGCGUAGAUGAUAUGCACAAGUGGAACACAAAGAGUUGUGGGCGGUGAUCGUCAUACUGCUUACCACCAAUGUCUUAUUUUGAUUUGACGGUAUUGUUGGAUGAAGCGGCCCGGACCAACCUUACAUGACCGCAUUCAUGAGACCGGUUCCACCGACAGACAUGCAACUAGUUUUGCAUAAAGGUGGCUGGCGGGUGUCUAUUUCUCCAACUUUAGUUGAAUCGAAUUUGACUGUGGUCGGUCCUUGUGAAGGUUAAAAUAGCAAACUUGAUAAAUCACCAUUGUGGUUUUUGUGCCGUAGGUAUGUACGGUUCAUGCUAGAAGCCCGUAGCAGCCACGUAAAACUUGCAACAAACAAAGUAGAGGACGUCUAAUUUGUUUUUGCAGGGCAUGUUGUGAUGUGAUUUGGUCAAGACAUGAUGUGAUAUAAGUUGUUGUAUGCUAUGAUAUCGGCAACUGGCAGGAGCCAUAUAGUUGUCGCUUUAUUGUAUGAAAUGCAAAAGCUAUGUAAUUGAUUUACUUUAUCACUAAGUGGUAGUGAUAGUCGUAGAAGCAAUAGUUGGCGAGACGACCAUGACGCUACGAUGGAGAUUAAGGUGUCAAGCCGGUGAUGAUGGAGAUCACAGCGUAGCUUUGGUGAUGGAGAUCAAAAGCACAAGAUGAUGAUGGCCAUAUCGUGUCACAUAUUUUGAUUGCAUGUGAUGUUUAUCUUUAUGCAUCUUAUUUUGCUUAGUACGAUAGUAGCAUUAUAAGAUGAUCCCUUACAAAAUUUCAAGGUAUAAGUGUACUCCCCGAGUAUGCAUCGUUGCGAAAGUUCUUCGUGCUGAGACACCGCGUGAUGAUCGGGUGUGAUAAGCUGUACGUUCAAAUACAAUGAGUGCAAGUCAGUUUUGCACAUGCGGAAUACUUGGGUUAAACUUGACGAGCCUAGCAUAUACAGAUAUGGCCUCGGAACACUGGAGAUCGAAAGGCCAAACGUGAAUCAUAUAGUAGAUAUGAUCAACAUAGAGGCGUUCACCAUUGAUGACUACUCCAUCUCACAUGAUGAUCGGACAUGGUUUAGUUGAUUUGGAUCACGUAUCAUUUAGAUGGCUUGAGGGAUGUCUAUCUAAGUGGGAGUUCUUAAGUAAUAUGAUUAAUUGAACUUUAUUUAUACGAACUUAGUCCUGAUAGUUUUUUUGCAUAUCUAUGUUGUAGAUCAAUGGCCCGUGCUACCGUUCCCUUGAAUUUUAAUGUGUUCCUAGAGAAAGCUAAGUUGAAAGAUGUUGGUAGCAACUACACGGAUUGGGUCCAUAACUUGAGGAUUAUCCUCAUUGCUACAUAGAAGAAUUAUGUCCUUGAUGCACCGCUAGGUGUACCACCUGCCCUAGCAAUUGCAGACAUUGUGAAUGCCUGGCAAUCGCGUGUUGAUGACUACUCGUUAGUUCAGUGUGCCAUGCUUUACGGCUUAGAAUUGGGACUUCAAAGACGUUUUGAACGUCAUGGACCAUAUGAGAUGUUCCAGGAGUUGAAGUUAAUAUUUCAAGCAAAUUCCCAAGUUGAGAGAUAUGAAGUCUCAAGUUCUAUAGCUGCAAGAUGGAGGAGAACAGUUCUGUUAGUGAGCACAUACUUAGAAUGUAUGGGUACCGUAAUCACUUGACUCGGCUGGGAGUUAAUCUUCCAGGUGAUUGUUUCAUGACAGAGUUCUUCAAUCACUACCACCAAGCUACAAAGGCUCCAUGAUGAACUACAAUAUGCAAGGGAUGGAAAAGACUAUUCCCGAGCUCUUCGUGAUGCUAAAGGCCGCGGAGGUAGAAAUCAAGAAGGAGCAUCAAGUGUUGAUGGUUAACAAGACCACUAGUUUCAAGAAGAAGGGCAAAGGUAAAAAGAAGGGGAACUUCAAGAAGAAUGACAAGCAAGUUGUCACUCCCGGGAAGAAACCCAAAGCUGGACCCAAGCCUGAAACUGAGUGCUUCUACUCCAAAGGGACUCGUCACUGGAAGCGGAACUGCCCCAAGUAUUUGGCGGAUAAGAAGGAUGGCAAAGUGAACAAAGGUAUAUUUGAUAUACAUGUUAUUGAUGUGUACCUUACUAAUUCUCAUAGUAGUGCCUGGGUAUUUGAUACCGGUUCGGUUGCUCAUAUUUGUAACUUGAAGCAGGGACUAUGGAUUAAACGAAGAUUGGCUAAGGACGAGGUGACGAUGCGGGUCGGAAAUGGUUCCAAGGUCGAUGUGAUCGCCGUCGGCACGCUACCUCUACAUCUACCUUCGGGAUUAGUUUUAGACCUGAAUAAUUUUUAUUUGGUGCCAGCAUUGAGCAUGAACAUUAUAUCUGGAUCUUGUUUAGUGCGAGACAGUUAUUCAUUUAAAUCAGAGAAUAAUGGUCGUUCUAUUUAUAUGAGUAAUAUAUUUUAUGGUCAUGCACCCUUGAAGAGUGGUCUAUUUCUAUUGAAUCUUGAUCGUGAUGAUACACAUAUUCAUAAUAUUGAUGCCAAAAGAUGCAAAGUUGAUAAUGAUAGUGCAACUUGUUUAUGGCACCGCCAUUUGGGUCAUAUCAGUAUAAAGCACAUGAAGAAACUCCAUAAAGAUGGACUUUUGGAAUCACUUGAUUAUGAAUCAUUUGAUACUUGCAAACCGUGCCUUAUGGGCAAGAUGACUAAAACUCCGUUCUCCGGAAUAAUGGAACGAGCUAAUGACUUAUUCGAAAUAAUACAUACCGAUGUAUGCGGUCCAAUGAGUGUUGAUGCUCGUGGCAGGUAUCGUUAUUUUCUAACCAUCAUAGAUGAUUUGAGCAGAUAUGGGUAUAUCUACUUAAUGAAACACAAGUGUGAAACAUUUGAAAAGUUCAAAGAAUUUCAGAGUGAAGUGGAGAAUCAUCGUAACAAGAAAAUAAAGUUUCUACGAUCUGAUCAUGGAGGAGAAUAUUUGAGUUACGAGAUUGGCCUUCAUUUAAAACAAUGUGGAAUAGUUUCACAUCUCACGCCACCUGGAACACCACAGCGUAAUGGUGUGUCCAAACGUCGUAACCGCACUUUAUUGGAUAUGGUGUGAUCUAUGAUGCCUCUUACUGAUUUACCACUAUCAUUUUGGGAUUAUGCAUUAGAGACAGCUGCAUUCAUGUUAAACAUGGCACCGUCAAAAUAUGUUGAGACGACACCGUAAGAACUGUGGUUUGGCAACAAACCUAAGUUGUUGUUUCUUAAAGUUUGGGGAUGCGAUGCUUAUGUCAAAAGGCUUCAGCCGAACCCAAAUCGGAGAAGUGCGUCUUCAUAGGAUACCCUAAGGAAACAAUUGGGUGCACCUUCUACCACAAGUCCGAAGGCAAAAUCUUUGUUGCUAAGAAUGAAACCUUUCUAGGGAAGGAGUUUCUCUCGAAAGAAGUGAGUAGGAGGAAAGUAUAACUUGAUGAGAUAAUUGUACCUGCUCUCAAUUUGGAAAUUAGCUCAUCCGAGAAAUCUGUUCCCGUGAUGCCUACACCAACUAGAGAGGAAGCUAAUGAUAAAGAUCAUGAAGCUAUAGAUCAAGUUGCUACAGAACCUCGUAGGUCAAAUAGAGCAUGAUCCGCACCAGAGUGGUACGGUAAUCCUGUUCUGGAGGUCAUGUUACUUGAACAUGACGAACCUAUGAAUUAUGAAGAAGCUAUGAUGAGCCCAAAUUCUGAUAAAUGGCUUGAGGUCAUGAAAUCUGAGAUAGGAUCCAUGUAUGAGAACAAAGUGUGGACUUUCGUGGAUCUGCCCGAUGAUCGGCGACCCAUAGAGAAUAAAUGGAUCUUCAAGAAGAAGACUGGCGCUGAUGGUAACGUUACUGUCUAUAAAGCUCGACUUGUCGCAAAAGGUUUUUGACAAGUUCAAGGAGUUGACUAUGAUGAGACUUUCUCACCCGUAGCGAUGCUUAAGUCUGUCUGAAUCAUGUUAGCAAUUGCCGCAUUUUAUGAUUAUGAAAUCUGGCAUAUGGAUGUCAAAAUUGCAUUCCUUAAUGGAUUUCUUAAAGAAGAGUUGUAUAUGAUGCAACCAGAAGAUUUUGUCGAUCCUAAAGGUGCUAACAAAGUGUGCAAGCUCCAGCGAUCCAUUUAUGGACUCGUGCAAGCACCUCGGAGUUUGAAUAUAAGUUUUGAUGAGGUGAUCAAAGCAUAUGAUUUUAUACAUACUUUUGGAGAAGCAUGUAUUUACAAGAAAGUGAGUAGGAGCUCUAUGGCAUUUCCAAUAUUAUAUGUGGAUGACAUAUUGUUGAUUGGAAAUGAUGUAGAAUUUCUGGAUAUCAUAAAAGGAUACUUGAACAAGAGUUUUCCAAUGAAAGACCUCGGUGAAGCUGCUUAUAUAUUGGGCAUCAAGAUCUAUAGAGAUAGAUCAAGACGCUUGAUAGGACUUUCACAAAACACAUACCUUGAUAAAAUUUUGAAGAAGUUCAAAAUGGAUCAGUCAAAGAAAGGGUUCUUGCAUGUGUUACAAGGUGUGAAGUUGAGUCAGACUCAAUGCCCGACCACUACAGAAGAUAGAGUGAAAAUGAAAGUCAUUCCCUAUGCCUCGGCCAUAGGUUCUAUCCCGUAUGCUAUGUUGUGUACCAGACCUGAUGUGUGCCUUGCUAUAAGUUUAUCAGGAGUGGAUCACUGGACAACGGUCAAGAAUAUCCUGAAGUACCUGAAAAGGACUAGGGAUAUGUUUCUUGUUUAUGGAGGUGACAAAGAGCUUGUCGUAAGUGGUUACGUCAACUCUAGCUUUGACACUAAUCCGGAUGACUCAAAGUCGCAAACCGGAUACGUAUUUUUAUUGAAUGGUGGAGCUGUCAGUUGGUGCAGUUCCAAGCAGAGCGUCAUGGCGGUAUCUACGUAUGAAGCAGAGUACAUAGCUGAUUCGGAAGCAGCAAAUGAAGGAGUCUGGAUGAAGGAGUUCAUAUCUAAUCUAGGUGUAAUACCUAGUGCAUCGGGUCCAAUGAAAAUCUUUUUUGCAUCGUGUCCAAUGAAAAUAUUUUGUGAUAAUACUGGAGUAAUUGGCUUGGCGAAGGAAUCCAGAUUUCGUAAAAAGACCAAACACAUCAAGAGACGCUUCAACUCCAUCCGAGAUUUGCAAAAUACAUAUGGAUCUAAGCCUCUUCCAUGAGCAAAACAUGAUCAACACCAAGACUCCAUGGGUGUUAGAUUCAUUACAAUGUAAUCUAGAUUAUUGACUCUAGUGCAAGUGGGAGACUGAAGGAAAUAUGCCUAGAGGCAAUAAUAAAGUUGCUAUUUUAUAUUUCCUUCUUCAUGAUAAAUGAUUAUUAUUCAUGCUAGAAUUGUAUUAACCAGAAACUUGAUACAUGUGUGAAUACAUAGAGAAAACAACGCGUCCCUAGUAUGCCUCUACUAGACUAGCUCGUUGAUCAAAGAUGGUUAAGUUUCCUAGCCAUGGACAUGAGUUGUCAUUUGAUAAACGGGGUCACAUCAUUGGUGGAAUGAUGUGAUGGACAAGACCCAUCCGUUAGCUUAGCAUAAUGAUCAUUCAGUUUUAUUGCUACUGCUUUCUUCAUGUAAAAUAUAUAUUCCUCCGACUAUGAGAUUAUGCAACUCCAGGACACCGGAGGAAUGCCUUGUGUGCUAUCAAAUGUCACAACGUAACUGGGUAAUUGUAAAGAUGCUCUACAGGUAUCUCCGAAGGUGUUUGUUGGGUUGGCAUAGAUCGAGAUUAGGAUUUGUCACUCCGAGUAUCGGAGAGGUAUCUCUGGGCCCUCUCGGUAAUGCACAUCAAUGAAGCCUUGCAAGCAAUGUGACUAAUGAGUUAGUUGCAGGAUGAUGCACUACGGAACGAGUAAAGAGACUUGCCGGUAACGAGAUUGAACUAGGUAUAAAGAUACGGACGAUCGAAUCUUGGGAAAGUAACAUACCGAUGACAAAGGGAAUAACGUAUGUUGACAUUGCGGUUCGACCGAUAAAGAUCUUCGUAGAAUAUGUGGGAACCAAUAUGAGCAUCCAGCUUCCGCUAUUGGUUAUUGACCGGAGAGGUGUCUCGGUCAUGUCUACAUUGUUCUCGAACCCAUAGGGUCCGCACGCUUAGCGUUUGAUGACGAUAUGUAUUAUAUGAGUUAUGUGUUUUGGUGACCAAAGGUUGUUCGGUGUCCAUGAUGAGAUCACGGACAUGACGAGGAGUCUCGAAAUGGUCGAGAGGUAAAGAUUGAUAUAUUGGAAAGUUAUAUUCAGUCAUCGGAAUUGUUCCGGAGUGUUUCAGAUAAAUAUCGGAGUAUCGAGGGGUUACCGGAAACCCCCGGGGAAGUAAUGGGCCUUAAUGGGCCAUAGGGGAGAGGAGAGGCAGGCCACGAGGAGGUGGCGCCCCCUCCCCCCAUGGGGAGUCUGAAUUGGACUAGGGGAGGGGGCGCGGCCCCCCUUUCCCUCUCCCUCUCCCUCUCUUUCCUUUUCCCCCUCCGUUGGAAGGAAGGGGGCGACUAGGACUUGGAGUCCUUGUAGGACUCCCCCCUGGCGCGCGCCCUACGGCCAGCCUCCUCCCCUAACCUCUAGGAAGAACAUCAGUUGUCUUAGCCGUGUACGGUGCCCCCCUCCACCGUUUACUCCUCCGGUCAUAUUGUCGUAGUGUUUAGGCGAAGCCCUGCACGGAUCACAUCACCAUCAUCGUCACCAUGCCGUCGUGCUGGCGGAACUCAUCUACUCCUUCGUACCUCUACUGGAUCAAGAGUUCGAGGGACGUCAUCGAGCUGAACGUGUGCAGAACUCGGAGAUGCUGUACGUUCGGUACUUGAUCGGUUGAUUCGAGAAGACGUUCGACUAGAUCAACCGUGUUAAGUUAACGCUUUAGCUUUCGGUCUAUGAGGGUACGUGGACACACUCUUCCCUUCUCGUUGCUAUGCAUCUCCUAGAUUGAUCUCGCGUGAGCGUAGGAAUUUUUUUGAAAUUGCAUGCUACGUUUCCCAUCAGGUGAUCAGUCGAAUCAGCGAAGAGAGCGAUGUUGCCGAAGACAAAGAUCUAGCUCGGCAUGAAAGUCAUGAUGGCGCUGAUCUGCUCACCGAUCUUGAUCGCCAUCAAAUCUCUGCGACUACGUAGCAGGACCUGUACACGCCAACAAUGACGGAGUCGAAUCCGGCAAAUCUGAGGUAGGGUGUCCCGUCUAGUAGUAUUGACACGAUGGUAAUAGGAGCACGGGUUGUUACCUAGGUUCGGGCUCUUCUUUGAUAUAAAACCCUACAUCCUGACUUGUGUUUGUAUUAAUUAGGGAUGGAGUACAAAGUACAUACAUGUGAUCUACUGUGAAAUAGUUGGUUGUCGUUUACGAGCCCUACCUCUUGGUUUAUAUAGGUACAUGGGCUUAUAGGGUUACAACCUACUCGACUAGGUAUAAGGGGAAUAUGUCAUCGACGACCUCUAAUGUAUUGAAGUACCCAUCAUGUCUUCAGGAGCCUCUCUUUUAUACGCCAUGGGACUCCUGACGUGGCCCACUGGUGAACCGAUAUGGGGUCCUCGGUCCGGACCACCUGGGCAAAAGACAACAUGGUGAAUGACCCCAAAUCAGGAACACCGUCAGCAGCUCUUGCCUCACCUGCUCUGUCGUCCCGCACAACAGAUAAGAAACGCCUCGACCAGUCGAUGCAAGAGGCGACGUCGUUACCACCCUCGGACCACUCGAUAUCACCACCCUCGACGAAGAAACCCUAAUCCUAGCACUGCCUACGAUUGUCAGCUGAUCGCCUCCCAGUCGCCUCUUGGGGUUUUCUUUUCCUCGUGGACCCUCACUCUGCAAUGUUGUCAUUUCGAACAACAGUCUUGCAGAAAUACAACUCUUUGUGUGAAGUAAAGAAGUCAGAUGUGUGCUCUUUCCUGCUCCACAAGAAAGGCUCUCUGCUGUUGUUGGCGCUGCCGCCGGUCCGUUCCAUCUCUCCCCCCUCCCCCCACCGACGGGAGGGGAUUCGUUCUCGUUCUUAUUAGAUUCAAUGUCUUGGUUGGGGCUGUGUGGCAGCGGCGAUGCCCCUUAGUAGGAAUAGUGUCUGCCACGUUCUAUCCACGUCCUGAUGGUCCGUCUAGCAUGGUCGGAAGGUGUGUUGAGCUUUAUCUCCCUCGGAUCUUGCGGGGUUCGGUCGGUGCUGGUCAUCGGUGAAUCUAUUUGGAUUCGGUCUUCGUUCGUCUUCAUUUAGGCGCUUACAUGUUUGAUCCUUCUGAUCUCUGACUUUCUCCAUCGGUGAAGACUGCUACUCUGAUGCGCUGGUCCUAUAGGGCCUUAGCACGACGACUUCUCGACUGUCUACUACAACAAGGUUUGCUCGGCUCCGAUGAGGGAGGGGCGAUGACGGCGGCGCACACUCGGCUCACUUCAUUGCUUGUAGUCGUCGCUAGGUGGUCCACGGACAUGAUUGUAAUUUUUAUACUGUCAUGAUUGAAGAUGAAUAGAUUGAAAGUUUCUCGAUAAAAGAGAAGUCAGAUGUGCGGUGCGCAGAGACAUCUUAUACCCUGAAAAAUGUUGUGCAAAAUUUAGACAGACUUGUCCGUCUUAGUCCCACGAAGGCCAUUUAAAAAGAGAAGUGAAAACGACAUCAGGCCAUCAAUAGGACUGAAACCUACAAGCAAGUGAUGGUCUGAUUACUUAACACGGCGUCUCUCCGUGCUAGUUGACGUGGACAUGAUAGCAACUCAAGUCUCGGCUCAAAGUCUUUUGGUCGUUGGUCUCCAUUUCUAGGUGAAGAAAAUGCAAGGAAAAUUAUCCACCGGUCCACACGGGAUUAAAACCAGAGUCCAAUACAUAUAUACUGUACCUUUAGCAUCUUGCACACAAUUUUCAUGUUUGACAAAAAAAUAAGUAUACAAUGGAAGUAUGUCAAACUCAAUAUAAAUCACAAUGUGUGUAUUUUGUAUCUAUACAACACAGGGUUCGCCUGGAUUUUCCGGCACAUUGAAUAUCCAGCGAACAUCGGAUUUUCGGAUAUGACAAAUGGAAUAUUUUUCAUGGUAAACUAUGUUAGAUGAGGAUGGAAAUUUAGUUGAUGAACAUAGCAAAUCUGUAUCAGUUCAUUUUAAUUAUUCUUUUGUCAGAAAAUUGCCGUGCUCGUCAACUAAAUUUGUCAUAUUCACGUCAAUAUAAAUUGCGAGGAAAAACGUUCAAUUUGCCAUGCCUAAAACUCUGAUGACAUAUUGUUAACAUUUCUGAAAAAAGAAUCUCUCUCUUUCUAGCCAAUAAUAAAUAAACAAAAAAAAACAAGAGGGAGAUAAAUGAGUAACCGGGCAGAAGGUUCGACGGAGGCAUGGAGCGCGUUCUUCUUCUGCCCACUAUAAAUACCCCUCGCCGUCCGCGUUUCCGCUUCCAACCAAAAAAUUAGCGCGACAGCUGUUCACACUGCUGACUGCUCCACCCUCGAGCGAUCCGUCCGUCCGCCGCCACCUUCCUUCACCCCCUCCCGCCAUGGCGGCCGCCAGGUGGUCCCCGGCCGCCUUCCUCGCACUCCUCCUCCUCCUGCUCCCGUUCGCGCCCAGCCCAGCACGCGCGGCGACGCCGGGGAAGUCCCCGUCGUCCUCGUCCACCGCCGUGUUCCAGCUCCAGGGUGCCGUCUAUCCCAUCGGGUACGCGGUCUCCUCGCCCCUGCCCUGAUCAGAUUGGGUUCGUUCUUAGGAUAUCCCCCGGUUCUGUUCUGUGCAAGCAGAUAUGCAGAUCUUUGGGGUUUAUUCGCAGCUUUUGUUGGUUGGUUGGUUUCUGACGAAUGCAGAGUCGUAGAUCGUCGUCUGCGUAGCUCUGCGGGCGUUGAUGUUAAUCCCGUCCAAGUAGCCGGCACAAAGUCCAAGAAUCCUCUUGACUUUUGCUCCAUGAACUGCCUUUUGUCCGUCUGCCUAUUUAUUUAUUUACUUUUUGUUCUGAAGAUAGGGAUCCACUGAACUGUUUUCAGUUUGCAUCCUCUGUUUAUUUUCUCAGUUCUUUCAGGAUUUGUUUGUUCACAAAUUUUCGGUGCCGUUUCUGCAGGCAUUAUCAUGUCACCAUGAACAUUGGGGGCCCGGCCAAGCCUUACUUCCUGGACGUGGACACCGGCAGCGAUCUCAGCUGGCUGCAGUGCGACGCCCCCUGCCAAAGUUGCAACAAGGUGCAUUACGCCCCAAUGUUAUAUCUUACAAAAUUACUUGAAUUGCACGGAGAAUUCAACUCCAGUAUUCAAGUUCAUAGCUUUCUUUCUGCCACCAGAUUAGUCCAAGAAUUGAUCUCUCUUCUGUGUUAAAAGUAGCAUGUACCAACUUCGACUUACAUUUCCAGUUUAAGAUUGUGAUCUUUUCCGUCAAAACAUAAUAAUAAUAAUAUUGUGAUAUUUUCUUGCUUGGUUUGCAUCAACGUCACUGAUUAUCCUAAUCCACUACUGGCUUAAUUCUAGUUCCAGAUUUGGUGUGAAAUGCAGGCCUUGGUUUUUUUCCUUUCCCCAGGGUUUUUUGAUUGAUUUUCUUCCUGGUUGUUGUUGUAGGUGCCACACCCAUGGUACAAGCCAACAAAGAACAAGAUUGUUCCCUGUGCAGCUUCGCUCUGCACUAGUUUGAGCCCUAACAAGAAAUGCGCCGUACCACAGCAAUGUGAUUACCAGAUCAAGUACACGGACAAGGCAACUUCACUCGGCGUGCUCAUCGCUGACAACUUCACACUGUCCCUGAGGAAUUCAUCCACUGUCCGUGUCAACCUCACCUUUGGGUACUAAUAUAUGCCCAUUUAUGUUACAUUGCCUUGGUAGUGGUGUUUUAGUUCCGUUCUUGAUGUUUAAUUGCUUCUCUUUUUGUGCAGCUGUGGAUAUGAUCAGCAAGUGGGAAAGAAUGGCGCAGUGCAGGCGGCGACAGACGGCUUGCUUGCGCUUGGGAAAGGAUCAGUUAGCCUGCUCUCGCAGCUCAAGCAGCAAGGGGUUACCAAGAAUGUUCUUGGCCAUUGCUUCAGCACGAAUGGAGGAGGCUUCCUCUUCUUCGGAGAUGAUAUCGUACCCACCUCGCGUGUAACUUGGGUUCCCAUGGCUCGUACCACAUCUGGGUAAGAAUGCAUUAUUCUUAACAUUUUGAAAAAAAAAAUGUGUUGCCAAUUGCAAAUCUUGGAUUUAUUUUUAGUCUAAGAAUUAGGCUACGUUGGUGUUUGGUUGAUUUCUUGAUCACCAGUGACAUGGCAUGGACCUAAUGAAAUGGCCCUAUUAUUGAAACAACAUGACAACGUAAAAAUUAAUAAAUUUUGAAGCUAUCUCAUCUUCUUGCGCUUUGCAGCUACAGGAGGGUAAAAAAAUCAUCAACUUCACAUGACAACUCAGUGAUAAUGCUCCUGUACAGUUGAUUGCAACCCUGUUGAAUGUUUUCAGUCUAUCAUCAAGCAGUGUAGUUCAUAUUAAUGUCAAUAAACUACAAUAAUAAUUCAGAAAAAGGGUAAAAACUUUAGCAUCUUAAAAAGUGUUAACUCAGACUCUCUUUUUUGCUGGGAACUCAGACUCUGUUUACCACCUGAACUGAAUGCCUGUAUGUAGGAUUUACAUUCCGUGUCAACAGAAAGUUUUGUAAAUUGUAUAAGGUUUCAGUAAGACCUUUUGGCUUCACACGUUAUACAAUAUUUUAUUUUCAGGAAUUACUACUCACCUGGCUCAGGAACACUGUACUUCGACCGACGCCCACUACGGGUGAAGCCAAUGGAGGUGGUAUUUGACAGCGGUAGUACCUAUACCUACUUUGCCGCCCAGCCAUACCAAGCAACUGUUUCUGCGGUAGAUUUCAAACACAGUUCAUUUUAACUGCCAUGAAUUUGAAGAAAGAAACAGUUAAUCAAUCGGAUACUUGUCUUGUAGCUCAGAGCUGGUCUCAGCAAGUCACUUAAAGAAGUCUCAGACGUCAGUCUGCCUCUUUGCUGGAAAGGGCAGAAGGUAUUCAAAUCUGUGUCAGAGGUCAAGAACGAUUUCAAGUCACUGUUCUUGAGCUUUGGCAAGAAUUCUGUCAUGGAGAUUCCUCCGGAAAACUACCUCAUUGUCACUGUAAGCGUUUGAUAACCCAACUUACAGUAAUUUUUACCAAACAUUUUACUGAAAAUAUGAAAGCUAAAAUGUUCUCAUCUUUUUUGUGCCAGAAAUAUGGGAAUGUGUGCUUAGGCAUCCUUGAUGGUACGGCUGCUAAACAGACAUUCAACAUAAUCGGAGGUAUAAAUUCAUACACACAGUACCCAGUUUCUAAAAUUAGGAUAUCUGGGAUCUUGUAAUAAUUGCAGUUGAUCUUCUGUUCUGUAGACAUCACAAUGCAGGAUCAGAUGAUAAUUUAUGACAAUGAGAAAGGGCAGCUUGGAUGGAUCCGUGGGUCAUGCAGUAGAAGCUCUAAGUCUAUUAUGUCUAACUUUCCAUGAUCAUUUAUCAGAUCUAAAUCAUUAACCUAUCCGUUCAAACACUGGCUGCACCUCAAGCACUAUAGGGUGCCAUCCAAAUAAAAGUACUGUAUGUUGUAGUGUAUUAACAUGAGCCUGAGGAAAAUGCGGCAGAAAGGAGAGGAGAAGAGCCAUGCAGAUGUAGGCAGAUAAAGUUACUGAUAUGUAUGCUCCUCCUGUUCAUAAUGAAAUGGAGUCUAUAUUUUACCAUCUCCUUGUACUUGCAGCUCUAUCUUUCUAUAUGCAAGUAUACGGUGCUUGCGUGCUUCAAAUGGUUGCAGAACUGAAUGCGGCACAUACUGAACGACUUACUGAUUGCUGACUGAUGUGAUAUAAUAAUGCUAUAUGCACUCAUGGUCAUGGGAGUCACAACUAACUGUUUAUACUGAGGAAUUGCACGUGCCGACCUAUAUUAUUUCUAACAUUGAACACAAAUCGUACAAAGAUUUGUGUUCUGAUCACGCAGUCUCUUACAAGAUGAAAAAGGGUGAGAUGCAAGUCAAAUUUGCACAGAUCACGGUUAAGCUGUUUCUUAGUUUGAACAAUGACAGAGAAUAUAUAUACCAAUCUAUCUGAUGGCAUGUGUUCAACAUUCUAGACGUUCAAACUGCUGGUAUGAAAAUCCCACUUCAAAUGGGAACUCCAUUCGGUUGUAACCGUAUACCGUAAUAAUAACCUUGCCAGUUUCUCUAGCAAUAGCUUCCUUAGCACAUCUCUUUUAAUAGCAAGACAAGAUGCCCCCUCCGUUAAGUUUAACGAUUAUCAAAUAGUUGUUGCUUUAUUUUGCAAUGUAACACUGUAUAUCUUUAUAAUGUGAACCAAACCGAGGAGAGUAGAAAAUGACAGAAAAGGGAGGAUGUUUCUAAAUAUGAUGAAUUAUUCGAGGUGAGAUACAAAUCAAAGUCAGUUGUAACUAUCUAACUGAAUGCCGCUACUGUCAUUCCAAAUAAAGUCUGUACUGUCUUAACAUUCCUGGCCAAAAUGAGGGAUGAAUAGAAACAAAGAUGAGUGUAGUAGAGACAAAUAGUAAGUUACUUGUAUGCUCUUCUUGUUCAUAAUAAGACGGAAUCCUUACUCUUGUAUCCCAUUUACUUGAAGCUUUUAAAAAAAAUGAUACACAAUAUAUCUGAUGCUUGCAUGCUUUUCAAUUUUACUGAAUGAGUGUUAUGCUUUUUAACGGACUCGGAACUGAAUGUUCCACUGGAUCAGGCAGGUAGCAUUGUGAGUAGGUCUUGUCUAAUCACAUUUAUCUUCUUAUAGUAUGAUGCUUGCUUCCAUAUACAAGAGAUCCAAAGUGGUCGGACCCUCCCCCGGACCCUGGCAAGUUGCCCUUUAUAGUAUGAUGCUUGCUUCCAUAUAUUUCUAAUUUCAAAAUAAUUAUUGCUUGCUGGAGUGGAGAUUCAAACCAUCUCCAUGUUCCUUGCCUAUUUGGCGUUUUCCACAAUGAUUCUUUAGCACAUAUUUUGUACUGUAACCCAAGAUACCCUUUUGUCGUGAUCAAAAUUGUGGAAAGUGUGCUUAAACAACGAUCGAAGCAGAAAUGAGAACCUUUCUACACUAAGAUUAUGGGGAAAUGACCAUGAAUUCUAAUUUCUGCAUUAAAUAUAUGCACAUAUCUGGAAGUUGCAUUUCAUAUAUGUGUAUCAUGUACAGCUAAGUAGAACAAAAUAAAUUGGUUUUCGAAUUUCCAAUGUAAAAAAUUGAUCUGCAAAAAUGUGUCAUUUGGUAUGCCAUAACUUAUAAAAUGUAUCUUCUCUACAGCAUCUUGACUGGACCCUGCGCAAGCGGGAGCUACAUGCACCAGGUUGCCCCUUUUUAAUGGAGAAUAAUUCUAAAUACAAUGAAUUAUUCUAGGUGAGAUACAGACCAAGUCAGCUGUAACUAUUUGACUGAGUUCUGCUAUUGCCAUCGAAAUAAAGUCUGUCCUGUCUUAACAUGCCUGGCCAAAAUGAGGGGUGAAUGGAAACAAGUGAGCAUGUAGUGGAGAGAGACAAAUAGUAAGUUACUAACCUCUUUGCUCUUCCUGUUCAUAAUAAGGCGGAAUCUUCAAUUGAAGCUUUAAAAACUUCGAUACACAAUAUAUCUGAUGCUUGAUUGCUUAUCAAUUUUUUUGAAGAUUGUUUUGCUUUAUAUCGGACUCAGAACUGAAUGUUCUAUUGGAUCAGGCAGGUAACAUUGUGAGUAGGCCUUCUUACCUGUUUACUUUUCUGAUCAGCUGCGUUCAUGUAAAUGGGAUAGCUCCAACUCUUGUUUCAAGAUUGAGUUGUACGCUGAAAUUGCAUUCUUGUAAAUAUGGGUUACUUCUCAAAUCUGAGAAAUUUAAAAACCAAUCCUCAUUGCUGACUGACGGUGUGUAUAUAGUAAUGGUAUAUGAAGAUGAACUAGGCAAACAAAUAGCUUUUACCUUUGAAAUAUCAAGCUCUAAUCUGAAAAAUUACAAUUGCCAAAUGCUGAUCAUUAACUUUGUCCUUUAAAACCAAAAACCUACUGUAUGCACACACAAAAAAAAAUCAUACUACUGUUGUUUGUUUAGUAUUCAUAAUUUAAACAUUGACAGAGUAGAAAUGAUGACUUGUAGCAAGGAUGAUGUGGAUUAUGAUGAACAACAAUUUACUACUUUUAUCUCACGGCACAUACAAUAUUCCAAACCUUGUAGUUAUUUAUUCCCCACUUUCCACAUGAGUACUGAAAUCAAAAUUCAAUAUCGAAUCAAUUCGAAUGCCCGUUACGUUGUGUCAUACAUUGUAAAUGACCUUGUCAGUUGUGAUAAUCAUGAGUUGCAACAGUGUUAGUUGUGUUUUUAUGUCCUGUUUUUAUAGUAUGAUGAUUGCUUCCAUAUGUUUCUAAUUUCAAAAUAGUUGUUGCUUGCUGGAGUGGAGAUUGAAACCGUCUCCAUAUUCCUUAUCUAUUUCUGCGGUUUCCACAAUGGUUCCUUGGCACAUAUUUUGCAAUUUAACACAAUACAUCCCUUUUUUGUGAACAUAAUUGUGGAAAGUGUGCUUAAAGAACGACCGAGACAGAGACAGAAACGAGGACCUUUCUAAUCUAACAUUCGGCAAAAAAAUGACCGUGAAUUCUGCGGUUAUCUUACUGGAAAUGGACCACUGCUUUGAUAUGUCUUCAUGUACUCUAUAUAUGUUCACACAAUUAAAGAUUUUCGCAUUAAAUAUAUGCACAUAUCUGGAGGUUGCAUUGCAUAUAUGUGUAUCAUGUAUAGCUAAGUAGAACAAAAUAAAUUGUUUUUCAAGUUUUCAAGGUUGAAAUGUUUAGAUCAUUUGGCAUGGCAUCAUUUAUCUGAAUGUAUCUUCUAUACAGUAUCUUGAUGGGAAUGUUCAGAUCAUUUAGCCCUAUAAGUAAAUCUGUCACUAAUCAUUCUCGGAUUUUUUUUUAUAAAUAUAAUGAAUUAUUCGAGGUGAGAUACAAACCAAGUCAUUUGCUACCAUCUAACUGAAUGCCGCUACUGCCAUCCAAAUUAAGUCUGCCCUGUCUUUAACAUGCCUAGCCAAAAUGGGGAGGAGCAUACAGGUUAGUGACAUGCUAUUUGUCUCCACUGCAUUCUUUGUGAACAUAAUUGUGGAGCGUGUGCUUAAAGAAUGACCAAAACAGAUAUGAGAACCUUUCUACUCUUACAUUCUGGGAAAAGAUUUGCAAGUUUUGCGGUUAUCUUACUUGAAAUGGACCACUAUUUUCAGAUGUACACUAUAUGUUCACACAAUUUUAAAAUUUAUGCAGUAAAAAUAUGCACAUAUCGAGAGGUUGCAUUACAUAUGUAUCAUGUACAUCUAAGUAGAAUAAAAGAAAUUUGUUUUCGAAUUUUCAAUGUCAAAAAUUGAGCUGCAAAAAUGGGAUGCCCAUUAGUUUGCUAGACAUGUAUCAUUUGGCAUGCCAUCAUUUAUUUAAAAUGUACUGUAUCUUCUAUACAGUAUCUUCAUGGGAAUGUUUGCAUCAUAUUUAGCCUAAAAAUAAGUAAACGUAUCACUAAUUUUGAGUAUCAUGCACCUCAUCACAGUAUACUGGUCAUGUAUUUGUGUGAGUUCUUAAAAAUGGAUGGCUGGUAUAGUUAUAUCACCACCCCUUGUGCUCCAGCCAACCGCUGGUUUCAACGAGUGAUAUAAUUAUGUAAAUCCAGUUCUUUCUGACUUAAUCUUCUUGCCGGCCUAAAUUUCACUGAGUCUCAGUUGGAACACAUGGAAUUUGACAUAAAUUUGUUCUAUUCCUGCUAGAAUUUUGGAAAAUUCCGUUGUUUUAAACAAGGAUUUAAUAGUCAGGGAACUCUAAGCCAUUUGCUCAUUAGGAAAGGCAGGGGUAUACUAUUUUUGAAAACAUAACUAUACAUUAUGAACCCCCGCCCUGCAUAAGUUGCUAAGCCCGAAUACAAUAUCACUUGAGAGGAAAAUCAACAUUAAAGCCACAAAAAAUGCAAAGGAAAUAAACUAAGGCGUACUACAAAGCAGUGGAGGAAAUUAAGCUCUGAACCAACGGCUAUAAAUACCUGACCACCCUGUUGGCACCAUCCAGAGAAGCACAGAGUUUCAAAUCACACUGCUGCCUUCUCCCCCCACCAUGGCUGCCAUGUGGUCUCCAAUCAUCGCUCUCCUCUUGCUCCUGCUCCCACUCGUGCCGUCCUCCUCCUCCGCCAUCACGCUCCCGCUCCAUGGCAACGUCUAUCCUGUCGGGUAUGUAUGUUUCUCUGAUCAUUACAUGGCAAUUGACAAGCUUUGAUCGUCCUUCUCAGGCUUGAAGUUUUCUUUCUCCGUAUAUUUGACACGCUUUUCUGUACCACUGCAGCCACUACUAUGUUACGUUGCAGAUUGGUAAACCCCUGAAGCACUACUUCUUGGACAUCCACACCGGAAGCAACCUCACCUGGCUGGAGUGUCAGCACCCGCACCUCGGCUGCCAGCACUGCACCCAGGUAACAACACUCAAUUCUGUGAUAUCACAUACAGUACUAUCUUACAACUGUAAUAUUUGUGUUUGAUGCCAAGUGUUCUGUUCUGUCCAAGUUCAUUGGCAAAAAAUGUACUGCAAUCUUGGCAUGAUCUUUGCUUUCGUGCUUGAUUAUUCCAGGGGCAUAAACACUCAUAUUACUCGCCAAAACUUAGCAACUUGAAGGUGGGAUGUCAACACAUGUACUGUGUUGCACUGCGGAAAGACCUGCCAGGUAUUAACCCUCAAUGCCCCAUCAAGGAGCCACAUCAAUGCCACUACAAAAUUCGAUACCUCGAUGGGACGACAGAAGGUGUUCUCUCCCUUGACAAGAUCUCUGUCGGGGGAAAGGAAAACAAUAUUGCGUUAGGGUAAGAACUAACCAUUCACCGUCUGUUCAGUGCUUACUGGACUUGGAUGUUGAUGAUUUUUCACCUUUCGUUUUACGCAGAUGUGGAUACAACCAGCACCCACGGAAACCAUCGCCCGUACAUGGCAUCCUUGCCCUUGGGAUGGGAACGGUGGGUUUUGUCCCGCAACUCAAGUUGCAGAAGAUGAUUUCCAAGAACAUCAUUGGGCAUUGCCUUGGCAAGGAUGGAGGGGGCUACCUCUUCUUUGGGGACAAGCAGUUUGGCUCGGAAGGCAUAACCUGGGCACCCAUGAGAAGAUACGAGUAAGCACUAUUGCUUAUCAAUUUCAAGAGCUUGUUUGUGAUCAUUAGUUGAUGAAGUUUGGGGUGCCAAUUUCAGUUUUUGGUUUUUGCUCCCCUGUUAGCCUUGCAUAACUGUAAUAAGUAUCUAGUAAUAUGUAUGUGUCGAAAGGGGUUGUAUAGUUAGAAAACGAUUUGUUGAUACUUGUUUUCUUUUCACUUGGUUCUAAACAUUAUACAACACCAUUUGUUGCAGACUUUUCUACUCACCUGGUCAAGCAAAACUACACCUAGACGGACAGCCAGAGCCUAUAUACAAGCAUGGAGUGAAUGCUGUCUUUGACAGUGGUUCCACCUACACCUACAUACCUGCCCGGAUAUACAAUCCCUUUGUUCAUACGGUAUUUUAUCGAACCGCAGUGCAUCAUGGUGCCCAUGCAUUUGGACAGACACGGGACAUUUAAGUCAUGGCAUUUGGAUCUUGCAGGUGAGACAUAUGAUCGGCAGUUCACACCGCGAGGUGCAUGAUCAUGACCUGCCACAUUGCUGGAAAUUCAAAUCUAUCGACGAGGUUAAGAGGUUGUUCAAGCCACUGUCAUUGCAGUUUGACAACAAAAUUGCCAUGCAUAUCCCUGCUAUGAACUACCUCAUCCACACGGUAAACGUUUGAUGACUCAAUUGACUGCAAAGAGUGAAACGGCAAAUUACAAAAGCUAACAUGUCCUUACAAAUUUGUGUCAGAGAAGCAAUAAUUGGUGCCUGGCCAUCCUCAACGGAACACACGUUGGUGAAGACCGACGGAUCUUGAUUGGAGGUCUGAACUUGACAAACAUGUUCCAUUUUCUGAAACUAGUGCACCAGGCAUACAUGUUUGUAAUGAUCUCCAUUUUGAUCUUUUGUUUUGCAGACGCUACAAUGCGGGAUAUGCUUGUGAUAUACGACAAUCAGGAUGGUAGGCUGGGAUGGGUUCACCAACAAGAGUGCACCAGGCCUCAUCCUGCUUCGCGUCUCUGAGUAAAGUUUGCAUGGAGAUACAUAUUGGUAAAAGAUAGAGAUGGGCUUGGGAGUAGGCUAGGGGUCAUAACUCUUAGCAAGAAUGAAGUGAUGUUGAUAGAGCUUGUAUGAUCCUCUUGCUCAUAAUAAAAUGGAGUUCUUUGGUUGCAUUCCUGCUUGUCUAUGUUUAUCUGAACAAUCUGAACAAUCUAAAGCUGACAUGCCAACCUAGUUUUACAAGGAGGUAAAGCAGAAAAGGGAAAAAGCUUACAUAUUUUCACAUUCCUGACUUUUUCUUGCAACCGGAGAGCAUAGCUACGUUCAGUUUUCUUACAUUUUUUGCUGCCAUGUGCGACUGUACCCACUUUGUGCCCAUGCGCUCUUGUGUUUUCAGUGAAAUCUCCGUUUCAGGUGGGGUGCUUCCCCACGGUUGCCGUUUAAGGAAAAAAAAACAGUUAUAGAAUACCUCAUCGCCAGAAUUACUCAGAGGACAUGAGUGAGAACGAACAGUUAGGAGUGAGCAAUCGAACAACUCGGAGGGUGACCCGUCGAUUGCAUCUAUCAGUAGAACCACCUUCAUCCCCCAGACUCCUGAAAUCUCACAAAAUAGAUAGAGGGAUGGACGAAUAAAUGUAGGAAUAGAGAUAGUGAUAAUGAUAGAUUUUCAUCAUAUCAAAUCUUAUGAAUUAAACAAUCCAUAUUAAAAAAAAUUGCGGAACCCUAAUCCUCCAAAAUUCAUACAAAAAUUGUUCAUAAACAUGAUAAUAUUUAAAAUCAUGUUAUUCUAAAAUCUCAAGGAGCCACUAACAUGGUAAGUACCAAAAUUUGAGCCAUUUGAAGUCACGUGAUCGGAUUAUUUACCACCUCAUGUAGCUUUAUUUUUUCUUAUUAUUUAUUUUCUAGCAACCAAGCAGGCAAAACAGGCUCGCUCCAUCUGUAUAAUGCACCUUGUGGACAAAUUGAAUCUCCAUCACCCCUUAUUAUAUGGAGCUAACCCAACAUUAACACAGACAAGUAUCAGCUUGGUACGGGCGUAUGGCUUCAAACCGAGAGCUCCUGCUCGACACCCAAGAAGGCCCAUAGCGUGGCCGAGCCCCAUGAAAGAAAGAAAAGUUUUUCAGUCACUUAUAGAUGGAUUGCAGGUUGACUACACAAAAUUCCAGGAGGGGUUUCUGCAAAAUAGCAUAAAGGACGGUCAAAACCGCUUAGUACUUAGUUCUUAACAUGCGCUUUGUCGAAAGAGAGAUGUUAUGUCAACAAGUAGAGCCUGGUGCUUUGUGGCGAUCAGAUGCACAAAAUGAUGAAACGAGCUAUCUUCAGAGAUCUACCUCUGUUUAACCAGUGUACCGCCUAUGGUCAUGAACUCAUGACGCUCGGUCAAUUAGUGUAGGGCACAUGGUCAUGAUCACAUUUUUGAAAACUCACGAACAUUUUUAAGCUUUUGCAUGACUGGACUCAACAUGGGCUCAUGAUUCCCGUCGCAAAGUACAAAAGGCAUAUCCUAGCAGCGGGAUCCCCUGUCACGGACUCACGGUGCCCGAGGCGGAGGUGGUGGCGGGCCCCGCCGGCGGCACGCAGCGCCUCGUCGCCGUCGAUCGUGAGCAAGCACUAAAGAAAAUGGUACGUACAAGGUCGCUACCUUGGUGAGCAAGAACCCCAUGUGUCAACGGAUCCCACCGUUGCUAGUGCACUCUGAUUCAGAGUCGAGUCGACAUGUCGUUUAAUUUAUAUCCCCUAUGCCUGAUUGCCUGUGCUUCUGUGAUGAUAGUACACAAACUUGUACUAGCAGUAAUCUUUAUGCCUGCUUGGUUAAAAAACUCGAACGGUUCCCCGCAUAUCAUACGUAGUAAUCACCAAAGCAUCGCAUUCUAUGCAUGCAAGGCUGCUGUGGUGGGCUCAUUAUGAACGGUGGCAACAAAGCAUGGUCGCAUUGCUUUCGUCGGAAUUAUUUGUCGCAUAAAUGAAUAAAAAUAAAUGCUUAGAACUAAAGCGCGUCUAAAUACAUCCAUUUGUCCGACAAGAAAUUUCGAACAAAGUGAAUACUACGUAGUAUGUUGCUGCCUGCAGAUAAUUUUUCCACGGGUGAACUGAUGGGCCACGGACUAUUGAUCGUCAACUGCCGGUACGGUCCUUCGUGACGGCAACAACAACAUCAUCUUUCCGUCGCUUUUCUCAUGCAGGAAUGUCUUGGUAUCGAAAGUUUGUGCUUGCAUGAAAGGGUUAUACUGUAGCAUAAAGGACGGGCAAAAACGCUUAGUACUUAAUUCUUAACAUGCGCUUUAUCGAAAGAGAGAUGUUGUGUCAACAAGUAGAGUAUGAUGCUUUGUGGCGAUCAGAUGCACAAAAUGAUGAAACGAGCUAUCCUCAAAGAUCUACAUGUGCUUAACCAGUGUACCGCCUAUGGUCAUGAACUCAGGACGCUCGGUUAAUUAGUGUAGGGCACAUGGUCAUAAUCACAAAUUUUUUAAACUCACAAACAUUUUUAAACUUUUGCAUGACUGGACUCAACAUGGGCUCAUGAUUCCCAUCGCAAAGUACAAAAGGCAUAUCCUAGCAGCCGGAUCCCUUGUUACUGUGCCCGAGGCGGAGGUGGUGGUGGGCCCCGCCGGCGGCACGCAGCGCCUCGUCGCCGUCGAUCGUGAGCAAGCAUUAAAGAAAGUGGUACGUACAUGGUCACUAACUUGGUGAGCAAGAACCCCUGUGUGUCAACGGAUUCCACCGUUGCUAGUGCACUCUGAUUCAGAGUCGAGUCGACAUGUGGUUUAAUUUAUAUCCCUAUGCCUGAUUGCCUGUGCUUCUGUGAUGAUAGUACACAAACUUGUAGCAGUAAUCACCAAAGCAUCGCAUUCUGGGCAUGCAAGGCUGCUGUGGUGAGCUCAUUAUGAACGGAGGCAAGAACAGAGCACGGUCGCAUUGCUUCCAUCCUUGAUUAUUUGUCACAGAAAUAGAUAAAAACAAAUAUAUCUACAAUUAAAAUACAUCUAGAUACGUUCAAUCCUCCAAGAAGUAAUUCCGGACGGAGUGAGUACUACGUAAUACGUAUCUGCUUGCAGAUAAUUCUUCCACGGAUCAACUGAUGGGCCACGGACUAUUGAUCGUCGAGCAUGUGCGGGUACGGUCCUUCGUGACGGCAACAACAACAUCAUCUUUCCGUCACUUUUCUCAUGCACGAAUGUCUUGGUAUCGAAACUUUGUGCUUACAUGGAAAGGUUAUAGGUCGCUAUUCAAAGAACAGAGCUUUCUAUACAUCCGAAGGUGGAUUCUCUUGCAACAGGAAACAUGGUCAACGAUGAGAAUAUGGACAGAUCAAACUUUGCUUCCUUGGUGGGAGAGAUCAAGCAUAUGAGGAGUCUUCGUAGAACUUGUGUUUCCCAUGUUACUCGUAGCCAAAAUACUGUUAGUAAUUUUUUGGCUAAGUGUGCUAGAACUGAAGGUAGAACUGUCCUCUAGUUGAACUAUGGUCUUCCAUAGGCACUACUCGUUAAUCUUUGUAAUUCAGAUUGUAAAGUUGUUGCAACUUGAGUAAUACUUCAUCCGUUUGAAAAUACUUGUCAUCAAAAUGGAUAAAAGGAGAUGUAUCUAAAAAUAUAUACUUGGUGACAAGUGUUUUCGGACGGAGGGACUACAAGUUUUAACGGGGGGAAACCGGACACUACGCAGGACAUUGUCGUAGAUGGCCGGCCCCGCCGGGCAGGAGCACGCAACUCGGCUUCGCCAUCGUACGGAGGACUCUGCACCCACCCACCUGCUUUGCUACCGGACCAGGAAGGGAAAGCCGGACUCGCGAUCGUGUCGCCGCAUAGUCUAUCCAUCAUCUAAUUUUCCAUUCUUUAGAUUCUUCUCGGUUUGUGCACUUGGCAUUUUACUAGCUACCAGCACUAGCAACAACUCAUGAAAAGAAAGGAAAAAGGAAACGGAGAAGGACUGGCCGCCGGACGCAGCCUACCUUUGGCACCAACUUUCCAAAUGUGUCAACUGGUUCCGCCAUUCCUAGUGCAAUCUGAUUCAUGUUAUUUACAGGAUUCUCGAACUCCACGGCGUUGUUUCAUCUUAUGGUCUCGACUAACUGGUGUGCCAAUGCAUUUGGUUGUUUAGUUACACUUCUAGUACCUUUAUGCCAACUCGGUUGAGGGCCGAAACUGAACCAAGCUCCCAACUCCCGACUCCCGUGUAGUCCCCCCGCGGGCGACCCGGGAGGGCGCCGCCGCCGCCUAGGGGUUCCCUUCCCCGCUCCCCUUUCCCUCGCUGCCGCGGACGGGCGCCAUCGGGCAAAGCCCUCAUGGCGGUGGCGGCGGCGGAGCUGCUCGUCACCUGUUCUGCGAGGUGGGAUGCGGGGCUCCUUCUCCUCAACAACGUCGUAGGGCAGCAGGUCACUUCCGUCCCCAGUGCCUUCCCCCGACUCCCUGCUAGUGUGGCAUCCCUCCGAUGGUGCGGCGUACCUGGCAUGGGCGCUGCCUCCUCGCGGCGGAUCUGGAUACUCCCAGAUUGGAUCAGGGAUGGAGGCUUUGGAGAUGGGAUUGGCCGGUGGCCCUGCGGGAUGGCGGUGGUGGUGCAUCUGGUGGCCAGGCUCCGCUGGUAAUCUCGCGGCCUCUUGGAAUCGUGGAUGUGCCGGCGGCGGCGUGUGCUCAGCCCGGUGGUGGUGGCGGCCGUGCAUGGGAGUUGGAUUCCUUCGAACAUAUCUGGGUGAAAACCUGCUUUCGGCUACUGCCAAGGCUGGCGGUGGCAACGCUAUCUACAUCGUUCCCUUCUUGAAGGCAUCACCGUGGAAAAGUUCAAGGCCACUCUCUGCUACCUCAGGGGGAAACCCUAGAUCGGAUGAUUGGAUGACAGCGGCGCUCUGGUGUCGUUUUCCCCUUGGGGGCGUCAUUCUUGGAGGUACACACGUGAUCGAGGGACCAAAGGACGGAUUUUUUGGUGGAGCGGUGCGUCAUCUCACUCAUUGAUGGCGGCGGGUCUCGGCGGCAUGGCGCUGUGGUGAAUCGGUGUUCCAUGCGCGGAGAUGGACUCGCGCAAGAGGGUGACGCGUUCUGGCGUCGUGGUGGGGUCGACGGCAGCUAGACCUGGGAAGGUAGAUGCAGCAGUACAACUCUGAAGAUGGAUUGGUGGCAGGUGGCGGCGACGGCCUCAUACCUGGCAGGCGUCCUGGUUGAGGAGUGCGCCGGACUGGUGGGUGACCCAUACCCGGCAGGCCUCCUGGAUGGGACCUCAGGUCUUACAUGUUAGGUUUGGCUGCGAGGUCUGUUUGGUAUUAGACCCAGACUACCAACAUCCCUUCAUCAAUUGAAUAGGAGUAGCGACAGAUCUUGCCUAGACGGUGGCUUUAGUCUUACUAUUGCAUCACUUUGUAAGGUCUUGUGUGAAUAAUUAAUAAAGUGGUUGCAUGCAUCGUACAGAUGCAGAGGCCGUGGGUCCUCCUCCAUUUCUAAAAAAAUGCCAACUCGGGUGAGGCUGCAACGGUCGACCCACAUAGAUACUCCCUCCGUUCCAAAAUAGAUUAUUCAACUUUGUGCUAACUCUCUUUGUUCUGAAAAUAUUUGAACUUUUAGGCUUGUUCGAUGUCAAACAUCUUUAGGUUUUGCCAAGUUUAUAGAUAAAUAUAUCAACAUCUACAGUAUCAACAAUAUGUAGUACUAUGCAACUAUAUACUCUAUGAUGAAUCUAAUGAGAGUACGAAACUGGUUCUAUGUUGUAGAUGUUAGUAUACUUUUCUAUGAACUUUUUUUCAAUAAAGGGUGGAUUUUAUUGACUCAAAAUAAAGCAUCAAGAGGAUACAAAUACAAUGAGUACACACCCGUCCUCUGCAUAACUAGGAUGGACACAGCCAACUUGAACACGCACACACAAAAUACGUCGACAAAUAGCGAAGUUAUAUAAGACUAAAGCUAUGUGUAGGCCAGGAAAAAACCCCCAAAACGACCAGAUUGACAAUCGACAAACUACAACAAUGACCGUAUAUGCACCAACAAUUUCAAGACACCACGCGGACAAUGAGGUUCUUCAACAAUGACGCCUUCAGGAAGGGAGCGACGCUCAAAUGCCGCUCAAAUGUCGCCGUCAUCAGAUCCAACCAUCCAAGGUUAGAUGCAAGAUUUUCACCCUGAGAACCAGUAACGACGUAAAAACAUCGCCAUUGCUAGGUACAACCAACUCGGGUUAGACCUAGACUUUCAUCCCGGAGCUCGAGACCGGGUGCUCGAGAAGCACCACCAUCAAAGUCACUCAUGUUUUGUCGCCACUACUUUUCCGCAAUCUCAGCAACUAUAUGCGAUGUGUGUGCACAACCAUCCCUUGGCAUCAAGGCAUCGUUAAUAGUUUGGGUCUCACCGUGGAAGUCAACCAUCGGGUCUGGAGGAACCCUCACGAAGACCUUCCAAUGAAUACCACAAUCAGCCGCGAGACCACCACUGUAGUCAUACUGGUCAUCGAAAGGACCAACAACAUCAAGGCGCACACUACCACCGAGGCUAGAGCACGAAAAGGCAGAUCACCAUCGUGGAUGAACUCUUGCGCCUCCUGGGCGGAGCCAUGUCCGCCACAAGCAAGUUCGUCGUCAUGCCCCUGGCAGAUCCGAAGGUCCACACCUAGGAACCACGGAUCCACGCGCAUGGAGCCAUGGAGGUGCGUCUGGAUCGUGAAACGGCCAACCCGUGGCCAUAGCCAUUAGACGACCAGCCCCGGCUGACGGGAGGUGUCCAAGCCCUCCUGCCAUGGCCACUACACCAAGGGGCGCCAUCCCGCGUGGAGGAGCCACCAGGCGGACCAGCGACCACCGGUAAGGCGAGAUCCACACCCUGGAUGGCCGGAUCGAGGUACAUGCUCGCCAGAUCAGUGGUGAUUGGAGGAAGCGUGGGGCAGCGACUGCGAAUCUAGGUUGUGUUGGAAAUAUGCCCUAGAGGCAAUAAUAAAUUAGUUAUUAUUAUAUUUCCUUGUUCACGAUAAUCGUUUAUUAUCCAUGCUAUAAUUGUAUUGACAGGAAACUCAGAUACAUGUGUGGGUACAUAGACAACACCAUGUCCCUAGUAAGCCUCUAGUUGACUAGCUCGUUGAUCAAUAGAUGGUUACGGUUUCCUGACCAUGGACAUUGGAUGUCGUUGAUAACGGGAUCACAUCAUUAGGAGAAUGAUGUGAUGGACAAGACCCAAUCCUAAGCCUAGCACGGAGAUCGUGUAGUUCGUAUGCUAAAGCUUUUCUAAUGUCAAGUAUCUUUUCCUUAGACCAUGAGAUUGUGCAACUCCCGGAUACCAUAGGAAUGCUUUGGGUGUACCAACCGUCACAACGUAACUGGGUGGCUAUAAAGGUGCACUACAGGUAUCUCCGAAAGUGUCUGUUGGGUUGGCACGAAUCGAGACUGGGAUUUGUCACUCCAUGUGACGGAGAGGUAUCUCUGGGCCCACUCGGUAGGACAUCAUCAUAAUGUGCACAAUGUGAUCAAAGAGUUGAUCGCGGGAUGAUGUGUUACGGAACGAGUAAAGAGACUUGCCGGUAAUGAGAUUGAACAAGGUAUCGGUAUACCGACGAUCGAAUCUCGGGCAAGUACAAUACCGUUAGACAAAGGGAAUUGUAUACGGGAUCGAUUGAGUCCUUGACAUCGUGGUUCAUCCGAUGAGAUCAUCGUGGAACAUGUGGGAGCCAACAUGGGUAUCCAGAUCCCGCUGUUGGUUAUUGACCGUAGAACGUCUCGGUCAUGUCUGCAAGGUUCCCGAACCCGUAGGGUCUACACACUUAAGGUUCUAUGACGCUAGGGUUAUAAAGGAAGUUUGUAUGUGGUUGCCGAAUGUUGUUCGGAGUCCCGGAUGAGAUCCCGGACGUCACGAGGAGUUCCGGAAUGGUCCGGAGGUAAAGAUUUGUAUAUGGGAAGUCCUAUUUUGGCCACCGGAAAAUGUUCGGGAAUUUUCGGUAUUGUACCGGGAAGGUUCUAGAAGGUUCCGGAGUGGGGCCCACCUGCAUGGGGGGACCCACAUGAACGUGGGUAGUGGGGGCAAGGCCCCACACCCCUGGUCAAGGCGCACGAAGAUUCCCCCUUAGAAGGAAUAAGAUCAUAUCCCGAAGGGAUAAGAUCAAGAUCCCUAAAAAGGGGGGAUAACAAUCGGUGGGGCAGGAAAUGAUGGGAUUUCUUUCCUCCCACCUUUGCCAACGCCCCAAUGGACUUGGAGGGCAAGGAACCAGCCCCCUCCACCCCUAUAUAUAGUGGGGAGGCGCAUGAGAACUUUACCAAAAGUUCUGGCGCAACCCUCCCCCUCUCCCAAGUCCUCCUCCUCUCCCGCGGUGCUUGGCGAAGCCCUGCAGGAUUGCCAUGCUCCUCCACCACCACCACGCCGUUGUGCUGCUGCUGGAUGGAGUCUUCCUCAACCUCUCCCUCUCUCCUUGCUGGAUCAAGGCAUGGGAGACGUCACCGGGCUGUACGUGUGUUGAACACGAAGGUGCCGUCCGUUCGGCACUAGGAUCUCCGGUGAUUUGGAUCACGACGAGUACGACUCCUUCAACCCCGUUCUCUUAAAUGCUUCCGCUUAGCGAUCUACAAGGGUAUGUAGAUGCACUCUCCUUCCCCUUGUUGCUAGUCUCUCCAUAGAUAGAUCUUGGUGACAAGUAGGAAAAUUUUGAAUUUUUGCUACGUUCCCCAACAGUGGUAUCAGAGCUAGGUCUAUGUGUAGUUUCUAUGCACGAGUAGAACACAAGUUAUUGUGGGCGUUUAUUUUGUUCAAUAUGCUUACCGUUACUAGUCCAAUCUUGUUUCGAUGGUAUUAUGGGAUGAAGUGGCCUGGACCGACCUUACACGUACACUUACGUGAGACAGGUUCCACCGACUGACAUGCACUUGGUGCAUAAGGCGGCUAGCGGGUGCCAGUCUCUCCCACUUUAGUCGAAACGGAUUCGAUGAAAAGGGUCCUUAUGAAGGGUAAAUAGCAAUUGGCAUAUCACGUUGUGUUUUUGCAUAGGUAAUAAACGUUCUUGCUAGAAACCCAUAGCAGUCACGUAAAACAUGCAAACAACAAUUAGAGGACGUCUAACUUGUUUUUGCAGGGUAUGCUAUGUGAUGUGAUAUAGCCAUGAAGAAUCUGAUGAAUGAUAUGUGAUGUAUGAGAUUGAUCAUGUUCUUGUAAUAGGAAUCACGACUUGCAUGUCGAUGAGUAUGACAACCGGCAGGAGCCAUAGGAGUUGUCUUUAUUUAUUGUAUGACAUGUGUGUCAUUGAACAACGCCAUGUAAUUACUUUACUUUAUUGCUAACCGGUAGCCAUAGUAGUAGAAGUAAUAAGUUGGCGAGACAACUUCAUGGAGACACGAUGAUGGAGAACAUGAUGAUGGAGAUCAUGGUGUCAUGCCGGUGACGACGAUGAUCAUGGAGCCCCGAAGAUGGAGAUCAAAAGGAGCAAAAUGAUAUUGGCCAUAUCAUGUCACUAUUUGAUUGCAUGUGAUGUUUAUCAUGUUUAUGCAUCUUAUUUGCUUAGGACGACGGUAGUAAAUAAGAUGAUCUCUCAUUAAAAUUUCAAGAAAGUGUUCCCCCUAACUGUGCACCGUUGCGAAAGUUCGUCGUUUCGAAGCACCACGUGAUGAUCGGGUGUGAUAGAUUCUUACGUUCACAUACAACGGGUGUAAGCCAGAUUUACACAUGCGAAACACUUAGGUUAACUUGAUGAGCCUAGCAUGUACAGACAUGGCCUCAGAACACAAGAGACCGAAAGGUCGAGCAUGAGUCGUAUAGUAGAUACGAUCAACAUGAAGAUGUUCACCGAUGAUGGCUAGUCCGUCUCACGUGAUGAUCGGACACGGCCUAGUUGACUCGGAUCAUGUAAUCACUUAGAUGACUAGAGGGAUGUCUAUCUGAGUGGGAGUUCAUAAGAUGAACUUAAUUAUCCUAAAUAUAGUCAAAAGAUCUUUGCAAAUUAUGUCGUAAGCUCGCGCUUUACUUCCACUGUUUAGAUAUGUUCCUAGAGAAAAUAUAGUUGAAAGUUGAUAGUAGCGAUUAUGCGAUCAGUAGAAAGCUUAUGUACUUAAUGCACCGCUCAGUGUGCAGAACCCCAAACGUCGUUUGUGGAUGUUGCGAACAUCGGACAUACACGUUUUGAUAACUACGUGAUAGUUCAGUUAAAUGGUUUAGAGUAGAGGCACCAAAGAUGUUUUCGAAACGUCGCGGAACAUAUGAGAUGUUUCGAGGGCUGAAAUUGGGAUUUCAGGCUCGUGCCCACGUCAAGAGGUAUGAGACCUCGAUGAUUUUCUUAGCCUGCAAACUAAGGGAGAAAGCUCAAUCGAUGAGCUUGUGCUCAGAUUGUGUGAGUGCAACAAUCACUUGAAUCAAGUGGGAGUUGAUCUUCCAGAUGAGAUAGUGAUGUUUCUCCAAAGUCAUUGCCACCAAGCUGCUAGAGCUUCAUGAUGAACUAUAACAUAUCAGGGAUACAUAUGAUGAUCCUUGAGGUAUUCGCGAUGUUUGACACCGCGAAAGUAGAAAUCAAGAAGGAGCAUCAAUUAUUGAUGGUUGGUGAAACCACUAGUUUCAAGAAGGGCAAGGGCAAGAAGGGAUACUUCAUGAAACGGCAAAUCAGUUGCUGCUCUAGUGAAGAAACCCAAGGUUGAACCCAAACCCGAGACUAAGUGCUUCUGUAAUAAGGGGAACAGCCACUAGAGCAGCAUUACCCUAGAUACUUGGUAGAUGAGAAGGUUGGCAAGGUCGAUAGAAGUAUAUUGGAUAUACAUUAUGUUAAGGUGUACUUUACUAGUACUCCUAGUAGCACCAGGGUAUUAAGAUACCGGUUCGGUUGCUAAGUGUUAGUAACUCGAAAUAAAAGAGCUAGGGAAUAAACGGAGACUAGCUAAAGGAGAGCUGACAAUAUGUGUUGGAAGUGUUUCCAAUUUUGAUGUGAUCAAACAUCGCACGCUCCCUCUACCAUCAAGAUUAGUAUUAAACCUGAAUAAUUGUCAUUUGGUGUUUGCGUUGAGCAUAGACAUGAUUGGAUUAUGUCUAUCGCAAUACGGUUAUUCAUUUAAGGAGAAUAAUGGUUACUCUGUUUAUUUGAAUAAUACCUUCAAUGGUAUUGCACCUAAUAGGAAUGGUUUAUUGAAUCUCGAUCGUAGUGAUACACAUUUUCAUGCCAAAAGAUAUAAGAUAGUAAUGAUAGUACCACUUACUUGUGGCACUUCCAUGUAAGUCAUAUUGGUGUAAAACGCAUGAAGAAGCUCCAUGUUGAUGGAUCUUAGGACUCACUCGUUUUUGAAAAGUUUGAGACAUGCGAACCAUGUCUAUUGGUGUAUACGCAUGAAGAAACUCCAUGCAGAUGGAUAGUUUGGACUCACUUGAUUUUGAAUCACUUGAUAUAUGCAAAUCAUACCACAUGGGCAAGAUGACUGAAAAGCCUCGUUUUCAGUAAGAUGGAACAAGAUAGCAACUUGUUGGAAGUAAUACAUUUUGAUGUGUGCAGUCCAAUAAGUGAUAAGGCACGCAGUGGAUAUUGUUAUGUUCUUACUUCACAGAUGAUUUGAGUAGAUACUAAGUAUAUUUACUUGAUGAAACACAAGUCUGAAUUAUUGAAUGGUUCAAGUAAUUUCAGAGUGAAGUUGAAGAUCAUCGUGACAAGAGGAUAAAAUGUCUAUGAUAUGAUCAUAGAGAUGAGUAUCUGAGUUACGAGCUUUGGCACGCAAUUAAGACAUUGUGGAAAUUGUUUCACAAUUAAUACCGCCUAGAACACCAUAGUGUGAUGGUGUGUCCGAACUUCAUAGUUGCACCCUGUUGGAUAUGGUGCGUACCAUGAUGUCUCUUAUCGAAUUACCACUAUCGUUCAUGGGUUAGGCAUUAGAGACAACCACAUUCACUUUAAAAUAGGGCACCACGUAAUUCCGUUGAGACGACACCGUUUGAACUAUGGUUUGGAGAAACCUAAGUUGUCGUUUCUUAAAAGUUUGGGGCUGCGACGCUUAUGUGAAAAAGUUUCAGGUUGAUAAGCUCGAACCCAAAGCGGAUAAAAUGCAUCUUCAUAGGACACCCAAAACAGUUGGGUAUACCUCCUAAUUCAGAUCCGAAAGCAAUAGGAAUUGUUUCUUGAAUCGGGUCCUUUCUCGAGGAAAGGUUUGUCUCAAAAAUUGAGUGGGAGGAUGGUGGAGACUUGAUGAGGUUAUUGAACCGUCACUUCAACAAGUAUGUAGGAGGGCACAGGAAGUUGUUCCUGUGGCGCCUACACCAAUUGAAGUAGAAGCUUAUGAUAGUGAUCAUGAAGUUUUUGGAUCAAGUCACUACCGUAACUCGUAGGGUGACAAGGAUGCUAAAAGGUAUGCUGGCUCCAGCGAUCCUUCUAAGGACUAGAGUAAGCAUCUCGGAGUUGGAAAAUGCGCUUUGAUGAGAUGAUCAAAGAUUUUGGGUUUAUACAAAGUUCAUGAGAAACUUGUAUUUCCAAAGAAGUGAGUGGGAGCACUAUAGAAUUUCUGAUGAGUAUAUGUUGUUGACGUAUUGUUGAUCAGAAAUGAUGUAGAAUUUCUGGAAAGCAUAUAGGGUUAUUUGAAAGGUGUUUUUCAAUAAAAAACCUGGAUUAAGCUACUUGAACAUUGAGCAUCAAGAUCUAUGAGGAUAGAUCAAAAAAUGUUAAAUGGUACUUUCAAAUGAGCACAUACCUUGACGAGAUCUUGAAGGUGUUCAAGAUGGAUCAGUCAAAGAAGGAGUUCUUGCCUGAGAUGUGAGGUACGAAGUUAAGACUUAAAGCUCGACCACGGCAGAAUAGAGAGAAAGGACGAAGGUCGUCCCCUAUGCUUUAGACGUAGGCUCUACAGUAUGCUAUGCUGUGUACCGCACCUGAUGUGUGCCUUGCUACAUAUCUGGCAAGAGGGUACAAAGGUUAUCAAGGAGUGGAUCACCAGAUAGCGGUCCAAAUUAUCCUUAGAGGAAUAAGGAUAUGUUUCUCGAUUAUGGAGGUGAUAAAGAGUUCGACAUAAAGGGUUACGUCGAUGCAAGCUUUAACACCUAUUCGAAUGACUUUGAGUAGCAAACCGGAUACGUAUAGUGGAGCAACCAUUUGGAAUAGCUCCAAGUGGAGCGUGGAAGUAGCAUUUACAAUAUGACCUAGAGAUUUGCAAAGUACAUACGAAUCUGAAUGUUGCAGACCCGUUGACUAAAACCUCUCUCACAAGCAAAACAUGAUCAAACCCCAGAACUUAUUGAGUCUUAAUCACAUGGUGAUGUGAACUAGUUUAGUGACACUAGUAAACUCUUUGGAUGUUGAUCACAUGGCGAUGUGACCUGUGAGAGUUAAUCACAUGGCGAUGUGAACUAGAUUAUUGGCUCUAGUGCAAGUGGGAGACUGUUGGAAAUAUGCCCUAGAGGCAAUAAUAAAUUAGUUAUUAUUAUAUUUCCUUGUUCAUGAUAAUCGUUUAUUAUCCAUGCUAUAAUUGUAUUGACAGGAAACUCAGAUACAUGUGUGGGUACAUAGACAACACCAUGUCCCUAGUAAGCCUCUAGUUGACUAGCUCGUUGAUCAAUAGAUGGUUAUGGUUUCCUGACCAUGGACAUUGGAUGUCGUUGAUAACGGGAUCACAUCAUUAGGAGAAUGAUGUGAUGGACAAGACCCAAUCCUAAGCCUAGCACAGAGAUCGUGUAGUUCGUAUGCUAAAGCUUUUCUAAUGUCAAGUAUCUUUUCCUUAGACCAUGAGAUUGUGCAACUCCCGGAUACCGUAGGAAUGCUUUGGGUGUACCAACCGUCACAACGUAACUGGGUGGCUAUAAAGGUGCACUAUAGGUAUCUCCGAAAGUGUCUGUUGGGUUGGCACGAAUCGAGACUGGGAUUUGUCACUCCAUGUGACGGAGAGGUAUCUCUGGGCCCACUCGGUAGGACAUCAUCAUAAUGUGCACAAUGUGAUCAAAGAGUUGAUCGCGGGAUGAUGUGUUACGGAACGAGUAAAGAGACUUGUCGGUAACGAGAUUGAACAAGGUAUCGGUAUACCGACGAUCGAAUCUCGGGCAAGUACAAUACCGUUAGACAAAGGGAGAUGUAUACGGGAUCGAUUGAGUCCUUGACAUCGUGGUUCAUCCGAUGAGAUCAUCGUGAAACAUGUGGGAGCCAACAUGGGUAUCCAGAUCCCGCUGUUGGUUAUUGACCGUAGAACGUCUCGGUCAUGUCUGCAUGGUUCUCGAACCCGUAGGGUCUACACACUUAAGGUUCUAUGAUGCUAGGGUUAUAAAGGAAGUUUGUAUGUGGUUGCCGAAUGUUGUUUGGAGUCCCAGAUGAGAUCCCGAAUGUCACGAGGAGUUCCGGAAUGGUCUGGAGGUAAAGAUUUAUAUAUGGGAAGUCCUAUUUUGGCCACCAAAAAAUGUUCGGGAAUUUUUGGUAUUGUACCGGGAAGGUUCUAGAAGGUUCCGAAGUGGCGCCCACCUGCAUGGGGGGACCCACAUGAACGUGGGUAGUGGGGGCAAGGCCCCACACCCCUGGUCAAGGCGCACGAAGAUUCCCCCUUAGAAGGAAUAAGAUCAUAUCCCGAAGGGAUAAGAUCAAGAUCCCUAAAAAGGGGGGAUAACAAUCGGUGGGGAAGGAAAUGAUGGGAUUUCUUUCCUCCCACCUUUGCCAACGCCCCAAUGAACUUGGAGGGCAAGGAACCAGCCCCCUCCACCCCUAUAUAUAGUGGAGAGGCGCAUGGGAGCUUUACCAAAAGUUCUGGCGCAGCCCUCCCCCUCUCCCAAGUCCUCCUCCUCUCCCGUGGUGCUUGGUGAAGCCCUGCAGGAUUGCCAUGCUCCUCCACCACCACCACGCCGUCGUGCUGCUGCUGGAUGGAGUCUUCCUCAGCCUCUCCCUCUCUCCUUGCUGGAUCAAGGCAUGGAAGACGUCACCGGGCUAUACGUGUGUUGAGCGCGGAGGUGCCGUCCAUUCGGCACUAGGAUCUCCGGUGAUUUGGAUCACGACGAGUACGACUCCUUCAACCCCGUUCUCUUGAACGCUUCCGCUUAGCAAUCUACAAGGGUAUGUAGAUGCACUCUCCUUCCCCUCGUUGCUAGUCUCUCCAUAGAUAGAUUCUGGUGACACAUAGGAAAAUUUUGAAUUUUUGCUAUGUUCCCCAACAGGUUGGGGAGGAGAGGGGGCGGACGAGAAGAUCACUGCGGCAGUUGGUUCCUAUUGCUGUUGCCGAACUGUCGCUGUGACUGCGGUGAGGAGGGAGCAACGGAGGUGGCCUCAAGUGCUAGGGUUCUAUAAACUCGGUCAAAGUAAAAAGUGUUUGACUGAAGGCAAAUCUAAAAGUUCAUGAAGAAUGAUAUGUAUGUAGACACUAUUUGCGAGCAGCGUGCAAAAUUCAUGAAGACCGAUGUCGAUAUGCCGAAUUCAUUGGACCAUUUUCCGGGCUGAGAAUGAUACGUAUCUAGGCCAUUAUCAUGGUGAUGAUGUGCUGCUAGAGUUGGUCUGAGUGCAUCUUCAUCUUCGGCUGCAGCCUGCACUACCCUCUCAAGCACGCAUGCGCUUGUUUAGUUUUGGACGACGAUAACUGCUACACGUGUUGGCGUUAAGGGGUUUGGCCACACAUUUUGUGUAGUGUCUAAGAGGACCAGCCCACACGCCUGCGUGUGGGCAAAGCAACUAGCGCCACACGCCUCCUUUUCCUCGCGGUCCCUCUCACACGCCUACGUGUGGGCAAAAUGGAUAACUGCCACACUACCUCUCUCAGCCACCUACCUCACGGUCCCGCGCGCCCUGCGUGACAGUCAGCACGCAUCCCCGCAGUUGCCAUGAUUUGGACCAUCUUCAAUGUUUGUUUAACUGCAGUUGCCAUGUCGCUGAACUACAGUUACCAUGUCGGACAACUACAGUUGUCAUGGUUGCUCAAUUGCAGUUGCCAUCUCUGGUCAAGUGCGAGAUGCCAUUUUGGACAACUACAGUUGUUGCCAUGUAUAGUCUGAUUUAUUAUAGUUGCCAUGAUUUGAAAACUUUAGAGGUUGCCACAUACUAACACUAAGCAGUUAUCAUGUAUAGUCUGGUUCAGGGACGAAGCUAGAAAAAAUGGGCACUGGUGUCAGCCACUAGCCCACUAUAGUACUACGGCAGGGCAAUAAAAAAAACAAAUAUGCAAUGAAACUAUGAUAUAAUUUUUGCUAUAUACUCCUUCCGUCCCAAAAUUCUUGUCUUAGAUUUGUCUAGAUAUGGAUGUAUCUGUGACUUGAUACAUCUGUAUCUAGACAAAUCUAAGACAAGAAUUUCGGGAUGAAGGGAGUACAAACAUUACCAUAACUAUUGGCUGAGGAAAGUCAAAAAACUACUCGUUUAUCUAUCCGAGAAAAGAAACAAAGUAACAAAAUAUGACUUUGGCGCUUCAUUUGCAACUCCCUGAAAUUGAUGCACAAACAAAACGCACUAUAUUCACAACAAUGGAACCUGAUUAAAGAAGUAUAGAUAAAAAUUAUCAUUAAGGGAAAGCAUGAACGACGCAAGAGUCACAUUUAUAACUUCCCGCGAUCUUUUAUCCUCUUAUAAAGGAACCAAUCACGGCAUCACUAGUAAUGGUAGAAAAUAUAUCUUUCUCCACAUAGCCAAUUAUGCAAUCACACAUGGCCUCAUUUUCGAUGCGAACACUUUGGACAAUAUUCGUUGUUGAAAAAUAUCUCGCCAUGAUGUUAUGGCAACUGGCAAACUAAGCACUAAUUUCACAAGUUUAUCCAAGUUAAAAGUAGUGAACGGGGUUAUUUGGGCUUUAUAAUACGUAGCACCAACAUUUGAUGUAAGUGUUCUUGAACUCCCUGUUGCAUCUAAUAGUGUUUAUCUGAACAUGAAUAUAUCUGUAACUCCAAAAUGAAUCAAUGAAGACAAAUACUCGUACAAAAUAAGCAAGGUUAGGAAUUUUGUCUUGGAACUAACUCAUGUGCCCAUGACGACAGUGUAUCGUGUGGUCUGGUGAGAAGUCACUCGGGCACUCACCGUAUGCGGAUUAUUAGAUUAUUAAAGAUUGUGAAAUAAAUGUGUCGUUGAUUCAUCACUUGUGUAAUUCCAUCAGGAGAUGAGAGCCCUAUAUUCAAAUUACUAGAAUAGUAAGUACGUAUUUCUUAUGCAGCACAGAAUUUGUGAUCGAGGAGGCGAAUAAGCAAAGAGAGGAACAAGUGCGGUCAUGCGCAUACAGCGUAUUGCUGCCGCCGUGCCGCUCAUAUGAGCGACCGAGCAGCCUGCUCAAUGCCCAGACCAAAUAUGGUGUGGGCUUUGUGUUCGCACACGAACACGUCACCCUGUACCUCCAACAUCGAGGGUGAUGCACCGCAGCUCACGUCGAAGGAGACCCGUCCGGAAGCGCGGUAUGCAAGCAAUCCGGCGGGUGCUUUUGAUGACCCGAAACCCCACACGCCCGGGAGGGACCCCGUUAGGGCGCGCGGCGGCUAUGGGCUUCCCUAGGUCGGCCUGACCGCCCCUAGGGCCUCGAGGUUCGCCGUCCUGCAACAAGAAGAACGAACGAAGAACAAGGAAGAAGAAGAACAAGGGAGAGAGAUAAAGGUAAAGGUAAAAAGUGGUAGAUGAUUUGAUCGAUUGUUUGUUGUUCAAUCGGCCAUCACCCCUUAGGUAUAUAAGAGGCGGCUGGACUUCCCGUGCAAGGAAAAGGCUUGGAUUCACGUCCAAAACCUUAGUCAAAUUCGGAUUGGUCUUGUGUGAACUUUCCAAAACUGUUCGGUUUAAACUGGCUGCAUCUUGCGGGUCUUUUUUGUGGUGGUAAACGACUUCGGAUGGAAACGAGUCCAAAAGCAAUCUUGACCGUUUCGACGAUAUGAACAACUUUCAUGUUGAACGCUUUUUUAUCAGAGUUCAUCUUAAGGGUCAAAUAGCUUGCGUAAAAGAUCUGUUUACUCGCGCUACCAAUCAGACAUGGCGUGUGGUGGGGCGCGCCAUAUUUCGCCUCGUGAUAUGGCUGCACUCCGAUUGCUUUAACUUUUGCAUACGAACUCGGAUUUGGACGAUGCUUAUAUCAAAAUUGAUCGUUUCGACGAGACAAAAACAAUCCUGUAGAUCAUUUUUCCAUUUGAGGUUGUCUUGGGGGCUUAAUCGGCCAAACUAUACUCUGAAUAUAAGAUCUUAGUACUUUGAGCAUAGUUUCGGCCUUCGAGAUGAAAUCGGACGGAGAUGACCCAAACUUCAAAGAUGUUCAUAUCAACAAUACGGAACUCUUUUAUGAAGAUCACUUCUCCAUUUGAGGUCAUCUUAAAUAAGUUAUUGACCGUGCCAAAAUCUGGUGUCAACACAUGCCCCCCUGUUUUUCGGCAGAGCUUGUAUGCCGAAAAAUAACUUGCACAUAUCUUGCUCUAAGGACGAUGUCAACACUUCAUCAGCCAUUUUGCAUAUGCUUAGGACGAUAAGUUUAUAUCGGCCAUUGCUUGUGUGAAUAUUUCGAUGCAAGUUUGGGUGAAACUUUCCCAACUUCAACAACAAACCGGUGAUAAAGUUCCAUAGAUCAAAACCAUCCUCCGAACCAUAUUGUUCACCCUUUCACUAGGAUUUUGCAUAUAAUUAAGAAUGAACUUCCUUCAAUCCUUACUUUGCCUGCAUAAAAGUUUCAUUAGUGGCCGAAGCGGUGGACUUCGGUUCAGCCUUACCUAUGUUGACGAGACUAAGCAUCGGCUAUUGAUAGAAAUACAGUACACCAUGAUUAACAUAGUAGCCGGAUGCAUGCUGUGCGAACUCUUUUGAAUUGUCAUGCCUAGAAAUAUGAACAGUUUUAAAGCAACCAAGGUAAAUUUUGCAUCUAGACAUACCUCAAGAUAAACUACAAGUAAUUCGUCAAAACAUUCAUAACCCUUGGAUUGCACUACUCAUAACGAAUCGCUGAAAGCCUCAAUGUGUAUAGCACCUAUGGCAACCAAAAGCUCCAAACCGGAUAAAAUUUUAUAUUCGGCUUUGAUAAUUGUGAAAAAAUAUUUUAAGUGACAUGAGGCUUGUUUUGGUUUCCAAUUGAACUAAUGACAAUGUUAGGAUACUACAUCGGCCAUGCUUUGACAUAUUCUUAGGGCAAUAGAUAAAUAUCAGCCAUUAACAUGAGGUCCAUGUAGAAUUCACCCACCAAAUUAUGUAUAGCCUGUUGGAAAUAUGCCCUAGAGGCAAUAAUAAAAUGGUUAUUAUUGUAUUUCCUUGUUCAUGAUAAUUGUCUAUUAUUCAUGCUAUAAUUGUAUUGACCGGAAACUGCAAUACAUGUGUGAAUACAUAGACCACAACAUGUCCCUAGUGAGCCUCUAGUUGACUAGCUCGUUGAUCAAUAGAUGAUCAUGGUUUCCUGACCAUGGACAUUGGAUGUCAUUGAUAACGGGAUCACAUCAUUAGGAGAAUGAUGUGAUGGACAAGACCCAAUCCUAAGCCUAGCACAAGAUCGUGUAGUUCGUAUGCUAAAGCUUUUCUAAAUGUCAAGUAUCUUUUCCUUAGACCAUGAGAUUGUGCAACUCCCGCAUACCAUAGGAAUGCUUUGGGUGUACCAAACGUCACAACAUAACUGGGUGACUAUAAAGGUGCACUACGGGUAUCUCCGAAAGUGUCUGUUGGGUUGGCACGAAUUGAGACUGGGAUUUGUCACUCCGUGUGACGGAGAGGUAUCUCUAGGCCCACUCGGUAGGACAUCAUCCUAAUGUGCACAAUGUGAUCAAGGAGUUGAUCAUGGGAUGAUGUGUUACGGAACAAGUAAAGAGACUUGCCGGUAACGAGAUUGAACAAGGUAUCGGCAUACGGACGAUCGAAUCUCGGGCAAGUACUAUACCGGUAGACAAAGGGAAUUGUAUACGGGAUUGAUUGAAUCCUUGACAUCGUGGUUCAUCCGAUGAGAUCAUCGCGGAACAUGUGGGAGCCAACAUGGGUAUCCAGAUCCCGCUGUUGGUUAUUGGCCGGAGAGUUGUCUCGGUCAUGUCUGCAUGGUUCCCGAACCCGUAGGGUCUACACACUUAAGGUUCAAUGAUGCUAGGGUUAUAGGGAAGGUAUGUACGCGGUUACCGAAUGUUGUUCGGAGUCCCGGAUGAGAUCCCGGACGUCACGAGGAAUCCCGGAAUGGUCCGAAGGUGAAGAUUGAUAUAUUGGACGAAGGGUUUUGGAGUCUGAAAGUGUUCUGGAGGUACCGGGUGAUGACCAGCAUGACCGAAAGGUGUUUCGGGAGCCCCGGCAAGUGUUGGGGGGCUUCAUGGGCCAAGGGGAGGGGGCAAACCAGCCCACUAAGGGGCUAUGCGCCCCCUCACCUAUUCCCACGUGACCAGGGGGUUUGGGGCGCCCUAUCUAGGGUUCCCACCUCCUGGCUUGGGGGCCAAGUCACGCAAAGGGGAGAUCCUGUCUGCCCUGGUCGCCGCCCCCCUAGGGGAAACCCUAGGGCGCCUCCCCCUCUCCCUUCCCCCAUAUAUAGUGGAGGUUUUGGGGCUGCCCAACACAUGAGUCUCUCUCUCCCAAGGCGCAGCCCUACCUCUCUCCCUCCUCAUCUCUCGUAGUGCUUGGCGAAGCCCUGCUGGAGUACCGCGCUCCUCCACCACCACCACGCCGUCGUGCUGCUGCUGGACGGAGUCUUCCCCAACCUCUCCCUCUCCCCUUGCUGGAUCAAGGCACGAGAGACGUCAUCGGGCUGCAUGUGUGUUGAACGCGGAGGCACCGUCUUUCAGCGCUUAGAUCGGAAUCAUCCGCGAUCUGAAUCGCUACGAGUACGACUCCUUCAUCGGCGUUCUUGUAACGCUUCCGCUUAGCGAUCUACAAGGGUAUGUAGAUGCACUCCCUUUCCCCUCGUUGCUAGAUUACUCCAUAGAUUGAUCUUGGUGAUGCGUAGAAAAUUUUGAAUUUCUGCUAUGUUCCCCAACAGUGGCAUCAUGAGCUAGGUCUAUGCGUAGAUUCUAUGCACGAGUAGAACACAAAGUAGUUGUGGGCGAUGAUUUGUUCAAUUUGCUUACCGUUACUAGUCUUAUCUUGAUUCGGCGGCAUUGUGGGAUGAAGCGGCCCGGACCGACCUUACACGUACUCUUACCUAAGACAGGUUCCACUGAUUGACAUGCACUUGUUGCAUAAGGUGGCUAGCGGGUGUCAGUCUCUCCCAUUUAGUCGGAUCAGAUUCGAUGAAAAGGGUCCAUAUGAAGGGUAAAUAGCAAUUGGCAUAUCACAUUGUGGCUUUUGCGUAGGUAAGAAACGUUCUUGCUAGAAACCCAUAGCAGCCAUGUAAAACAUGCAAACAACAAUUAGAGGACGUCUAACUUGUUUUUGCAGGGUAUGCUAUGUGAUGUGAUAUGGCCAAAAAGAAUGUGAUGAAUGAUAUGUGAUGUAUGAGAUUGAUCAUGUUCUUGUAAUAGGAAUCACGACAUGCAUGUCGAUGAGUAUGACAACCGGCAGGAGCCAUAGGAGUUGUCUUAAUUUAUUGUAUGACCUGCGUGUCACUGAAUAAUGCCAUGUAAUUACUUUACUUCUUUACUAAACUGUUAGCCAUAGUAGUAGAAGUAAUAAGUUGGCGAGACAACUUCAUGGAGACACAAUGAUGGAGAUCAUGAUGAUGGAGAUCAUGGUGUUAUGCCGGUGAUGAUGAUGAUCAUGGAGCCCCGAAGAUGGAGAUCAAAAGGAGCAAAAUGAUAUUGGCCAUAUCAUGUCACUAUUUGAUUGCAUGUGAUGUUUAUCAUGUUUAUGCAUCUUAUUUGCUUAGAACGACGGUAGUAAAUAAGAUGAUCCCUCAUAAUAAUUUCAAGAAAGUGUUCCCACUAACUGUGCACCGUUGCGAAAGUUCGUUGUUUCGAAGCACCACGUGAUGAUCGGGUGUGAUAGAUUCUAACGUUCACAUACAACGGGUGUAAGCCAGAUUUACACACGUGAAACACUUAGGUUGACUUGACCAGCCUAGCAUGUACAGACAUGGCCUCGGAACACAAGAGACCGAAAGGUCGAACAUGAGUCGUAUAGUAGAUACGAUCAACAUGAAGAUGUUCACCGAUGAUGACUAGUCCGUCUCACGUGAUGAUCGGACACGACCUAGUUGACUCGGAUCAUGUAUCACUUAGAUGACUAGAGGGAUGUCUAUCUGAGUGGGAGUUCAUUAGAUGAACUUAAUUAUCCUGAACAUAGUCAAAAGGUUUUUGCAAAUUAUGUCGUAGCUCACGCUUUAGUUCUACUGUUUUAGAUAUGUUCCUAGAGAAAAUUUAGUUGAAAGUUGAUAGUAGCAAUUAUGUGGACUAGGUCCAUAAACUGAGGAUUGUCCUCAUUCCUGCGUAGAAGGCUUAUGUCCUUAAUGCACCACUCGGUGUGCUGAACCUCGAACGUCGUCUGUGGAUGUUGCGAACAUCUGACAUACACGUUUUGAUAAGUACGUGAUAGUUCAGUAAUGUUAAACGGUUUAGAAUUGAGGCACCAAAUACGAUUUCGAAAUGUCGCGGAACAUAUGAGAUGUUUCGAGGGCUGAAAUUGGGAUUUCAGGCUCGUGCCCAUGUCAAGAGGUAUAAGACCUCCGACGAGUUUCUUAGCCUGCAAACUAAGGGAGAAAAGCUCAAUCGUUGAGCUUGUGCUCAGAUUGUCUAAGUACAACAAUCACUUGAAUCGAGUGGCAGUUAAUCUUCCGGAUGAGAUAGUGAUGUUUCUCCAAAGUCAUUGCCACCAAGCUGCUAGAGCUUUGUGAUGAACUAUAACAUAUCAGGGAUAGAUAUGAUGAUCCUUGAAAUAUUCACGAUGUUUGACACCGCAAAAGUAGAAAUCAAGAAGGAGCAUCAAUUGUUGAUGGUUAGUGAAACCACUAGUUUCAAGAAGGGCAAGGGCAAGAAGGGAUACUUCAUGAUAUGGCAAAUCAGUUGCUGCUCUAGUGAAGAAACCCAAGGUUGAACCCAAACCCGAGACUAAGUGCUUCUGUAAUGAGGGGAACGGUCACUGAAGCGGAACUACCCUAGAUACUUGGUAGAUGAGAAGGUUGGCAAGGUCGAGAGAAGUAUAUUGGAUAUACAUUAUAUUGAUGUGUACUUUACUAGUACUCCUAGUAGCACCAUGGUAAUAGAUACCGGUUUAGUUGCUAAGUGUUAGUAACUCGAAAUAAAAGGCUACGGAAUAAAUGGAGACUAGCUAAAGGUGAGAUGACGAUAUGUGUUGGAAGUGUUUCCAAGCUUGAUGUGAUCAAGCAUCGCAUACUCCCUCUACCAUUGAGAUUGGUGUUAAACCUAAAUAAUUGUUAUUUGGUGUUUGCGUUGAGCAUAGACAUGAUUGGAUUAUGUCUAUCGCAAUAUGGUUAUUCAUUUAAGGAGAAUAAUGAUUACUCUAUUUAUUUGAAUAAUACCUUCAAUGGUCUUGCACCUAAAAUGAAUGGUUUAUUGAAUCUCGAUGUAGUAAUACACAUGUUCAUGCCAAAAGAUAUAAGAUAGUAAUGAUAAUACCACAUACUUGUGGCACUGCCAUCUGAGUUCUAUUGGUAUAUACGCAUGAAGAAACUCCAUGCAGAUGGAUUGUUUGGACUCACUUGAUUUUGAAUCACUUGAGUCAUGCAAAUCAUACCACAUGGGCAAGAUGACUGAAAGGCCUCGUUUUCAGUGAAAUGGAACAAGAAAGCAACUUGUUGGAAGUAAUACAUUUUGAUGUGUGCAGUCCAAUGAGUGCCGAGGCACGCAGUGGAUGUCGUUAUGUUCUUACUUCACAGAUGAUUUGAGUAGAUGCUGAGUAUAUUUACUUGAUGAAACACAAGUCUGAAUUAUUGAAAGGUUCAAGUAAUUUCAGAGUGAAGUUGAAGAUCAUCGUGACAAGAGGAUAAAAUGUCUAUGAUAUGAUCAUAGAGAUGAAUAUCUGAGUUAUGAGUAUGGUAUACAAUUAAGACAUUGUGGAAAUUGUUUCACAACUAACACCGCCUGGAACACCAUAGUGUGAUGGUGUGUCCGAACAUCAUAGAUGCACCCUAUUGGAUAUGGGGCAUACCAUGAUGUCUCUUAUCGAAUUACCACUAUCAUUUAUGGGUUAAGCAUUAGAGACAAAUGCAUUCACUUCAAAUAGGGCACCACAUAAUUCCGUUGAGAUGACAGUGUAUGAACUAUGGUUUAGAGAAACCUAGGCUGUCAUUUCUUGAAAGUUUGGGGCUGCGACGCUUAUGUGAAAGAGUUUCAUCCUGAUAAGCUUGAACCCAAAGCGGAUAAAUACAUCUUCAUAGGACAGCCAAAAUAGUUGGGUAUACCUCCUAAUUCAGAUCCGGAAGCAAAAGUGAUUGUUUCUAGAAACGGGUCCUUUCUCGAGGAAAAGUUUCUCUCGAAAUAAUUGAGUGGGAGGAUGGUGGAGACUUGAUGAGGUUAAUGAACCAUCACUUCAACCAGUGUGUAGCAGGGCACAGGAAGUUGUUCAUGUGGCACCUACACCAAUUGAAGUGGAAGCUGAUGAUAGUGAUCAUGAUGCUUCGGAUCAAGUCACUACCGAACCUGGUAGGUCGACAAUGACGCAUACUACUUCAGAGUGGUAUGCAAUCCUGUCUUAGAGAUCAUGUUGCUAGAUAACAAUGAACCUACGAGCUAUGGAGAAGCGAUGGUGGGCCCGGAUUUCGACAAAUGGCUUGAGGCAUAAAAUCCGAGAGAGGAUCCAUGUAUGAAAACAAAGUGUAGACUUUGGAAGAACUACUAAAUGGUCGUAAGGCUGUUGGGUACAGAUGGAUUUUAAAAGGAAGGCGAACAAUGAUGGUAAGUGUCACCAUUAAGAAAGCUUGACUUGUCGCUAAGAUGUUUUCCGACAAGUUCAAGGAGUUCACUACGAUGAGACUUUCUCACUCGUAGCGAUGCUAAGAGUCUGUUGGAAUUAUAUUAGCAGUUACUGCAUGAUUUAUGAAAUCUUGCAGAUAGGAUGUCAAAAAACAUUGUUUCCUCAACGAUAUUCUUGAGGAAAGGUUGUAUGUGAUACAACCAGAAGGGUUUGUCAAUCCUGAAAGAUGCUAACAAGUGUGCAAAGCUCCUGCAAUCCUUCUAAGGACUGGAGUAAGCAUCUCGGAGUUGGAAUAUACGCUAUGAUGAGAUGAUCAAAGAUUUUGGGUUUAUACAAAGUUUAUGAGAAACUUGUAUUUCCAAAGAAGUGAGUGGGAGCACUACAGCAUUUCUGAUGAGUAUAUGUUGUUGACAUAUUGUUGAUCGGAAAUGAUGUAGAAUUUCUGGAAAGCAUAUAGGGUUAUUUGAAAAGUGUUUUUCAAUGAAAACCUGGAUUAAGCUACUUGAACAUUGAGCAUCAAGAUCUAUAAGGAUAGAUCAAAACGCUUAAUAGUACUUUCAAAUGAAUACAUACCAUGACAAGAUUUUGAAGGAGUUCAAAAUAGAUCAGCAAGGAGGAGUUCUUGGCUGUGUUAUAUGGUGUGAGUAUUGAGUAAGACUCAAGACAUGACCACGGCAGAAGAGAGAGAAAGGACGAAUGUCGUCCCCUAUGCUUCAGACGUAUGCUCUAUAGUAUGCUAUGCUGUGUACCGCAUCGGAAGUGUGCCUUGCCAUGAGUCAGUCAAGGGGUACAAGAGUGAUCCAGGAAUGGAUCACAGGACAGCGGUCAAACUUAUCCUUAGUAACUAGUGGACUAAGGAAUUUUCUCGAUUAUGGAGGUGGUAAAAGAGUUCGUCGUAAAGGGUUACGCCGAUACAAACUUUGACACUAAUCCGGAUUAUUCUGAGUAGUAAACCGGAUUCGUAUAGUAGAACAGUUAUUUGGAAUAGCUCAAAUAGAGCGUGGUAGCUGCAUCCAGGAGAUGACAUAGAGGUUUGCAAAGCACACACGGAUCAGGAAGGUUCAGAUCCGUUGACUAAUAACCUCUCUCACAAGCGAGAUAUGAUCAAACCCCAUGGGUGUUGAUUCAUUAGAAUCACAUGGUGAUGUGAACUAGAUUAUUGACUCUAGUGCAAGUGGGAGACUGUUGGAAAUAUGCCCUAGAGGCAAUAAUAAAAUGGUUAUUAUUGUAUUUCCUUGUUCAUGAUAAUUUUCUAUUAUUCAUGCUAUAAUUGUAUUGACCGGAAACCGCAAUACAUGUGUGAAUACAUAGACCACAACAUGUCCCUAGUGAGCCUCUAGUUGACUAGCUCGUUGAUCAACAGAUGGUCAUGGUUUCCUGACCAUGGACAUUGGAUGUCAUUGAUAACGGGAUCACAUCAUUAGGAGAAUGAUGUGAUGGACAAGACCCAAUCCUAAGACUAGCACAAGAUCGUGUAGUUCGUAUGCUAAAGCUUUUCUAAAUGUCAAGUAUCUUUUCCUUAGAGCAUGAGAUUUUGCAACUCCCGGAUACCGUAGGAAUGCUUUGGGUGUACCAAACGUCACAACAUAACUGGGUGGCUAUAAAGGUGCACUACGGGUAUCUCCGAAAGUGUCUGUUGGGUUGACACGAAUCGAGACUGGGAUUUGUCACUCCGUCUAACGGAGAGGUAUCUCUGGGCCCACUCGAUAGGACAUCAUCAUAAUGUGCACAAUGUGAUCAAGGAGUUGAUCACAGGAUGAUGUGUUAUGGAACGAGUAAAGAUACUUGACGGUAACGAGAUUGAACAAGGUAUCGGCAUACCGACGAUCGAAUCUCGGGCAAGUACUAUACCGGUAGACAAAGGGAAUUGUAUACGGGAUUGAUUGAAUCCUUGACAUCGUGGUUCAUCCGAUGAGAUCAUCAUGGAACAUGUGGGAGCCAACAUGGGUAUCCAGAUCCCGCUGUUGGUUAUUGGCCGGAGAGUUGUCUCGGUAAUGUCUGCAUGGUUCCCGAACCCAUAGGGUCUACACACUUAAGGUUCGAUGACGCUAGGGUUAUAGGGAAGGUAUGUACAUGGUUACCGAAUGUUGUUCGGAGUCCUGGAUGAGAUCCCGGACGUCACGAGGAGUCCCGGAAUAGUCUGGAGGUGAAGAUUGAUAUAUUGGACGAAGGGUUUUGGUGUCCGGAAGUGUUCCGGAGGUCCCGGGUGAUGACCAGCAUGACCGAAAGGUGUUUCAGGAGCCCCGGCAAGUGUUGAGGGGGCUUCAUGGGCCAAGGGGAGGGGGGAAACCAGCCCACUAAGGGGCUGUUUGCCCCCCUCACCUAUUCCCACGUGACCAGGGGGUUUGGGGCGCCCUAUCUAGGGUUCCCACCUCCUGGCUUGGGGGCCAAGUCACGCAAAGGGGAGAUCCCAUCUGCCCUGGCCGCCACCCCCCUAGGGGAAACCCUAGGGCGCCUCCCCCUCUCCCUUCCCCCUAUAUAUAGUGGAGGUUUUGGGGCUGCCCAACACAUGAGUCUCUCUCUCCCAAGGCGCAGCCCUACCUCUCUCCCUCCUCAUCUCUCGUAGUGCUUGGCGAAGCCCUGCUGGAGUACCGCGCUCCUCCACCACCACCACGCUGUCGUGCUGCUGCUGGAUGGAGUCUUCCCCAACCUCUCCCUCUCCCCUUGCUGGAUCAAGGCACGAGAGACGUCAUCGGGCUGCACGUGUGUUGAACGCGGAGGCGCCGUUGUUCGGCGCUUAGAUCGGAAUCAACCGCGAUCUGAAUCGCUAUGAGUACGACUCCUUCAUCUGCGUUCUUGUAACGCUUCCGCUUAGCGAUCUACAAGGGUAUGUAGAUGCACUCCCCUUCCCCUCGUUGCUAGAUUACUCCAUAGAUUGAUCUUGGUGAUGCGUAGAAAAUUUUGAAUUUCUGCUAUGUUCCCCAACAUAGCCGGAAAAAAAACAAAUAAAAUAGGAAUAAAAUAUUUCGGCCCCUUUGUAUUAGCAACAAUGUAACUAACCAAAUGUAUGGUAAUUUGGUAAUACCCUCUCAUGAUAUAGAAAAUUAGGUUGCAUCCAUGGAUCAAAAUAAAUCCAUGGAGGGUAAUUGAUCAUACCUAGGGAUGAAUUCCAUGGCAAAGGCAUCAACGGCAUGGUUGAAGAAAAUGGAUGAUGUGCUAACCGAAGAUUUUGAUGUUGUGAUGCGCACCUUCGGCUUAAUUGUUUGUUGCUUUCAUUAUUUUCCUUCUUCACUUUUAUUGUACUUGUUGCAACAGAAGCAUGCACAUCAUUUUUGUGUUGAUUGAUCUUCUUGGGAACCCAUGCCAUGUUCUUCUUUUUCAGCUCUUGUGCACUAAGAUUUUGUAAUUUCUUCUUUUGCCAAUAUGAUAAACCGAGUGGGCAUCUCGGUUGUGAUUUUGUUUCAACCAAUGGCAACUCUUUUUGGGCCUUGUGCACCCUCAACUUCUUUUCUUCAGAUUUGGCACUCUGAUUUUUAUCAAUUGAUUGCUUCACUUCUUUGCCUUUGGUAGCCAAUGUCAACACUUUAAUUGGCUCUUUGUUAUUUGAGAUCAAAUCUGAAGCAGCACACUUACGACCAUCUCUUUUCACGCGGUAUGCUUUACCACCUCUUUCUUCUUUCUUGAGCUCUGGACCGAUUCCUUAUGAUUGAAACGGUCUUUGACGCGUGAUUGUUCAAAUGUUGAUCUCCUUGGGGCUGCAUAGUAUUGGUGAGAUGGUCUAGAAUAAGAUCGAGAAUGUGCCCUUGUAUCAUACAUGUCCCAUGAUGAAUAUGUAUCUAUAUGAGCAUAGGGAGGUAUCCACGGCAUUGGCAUUGGCGGCCCAAAAUAAGGAUAUGAAUAUGUUGCAUUAAAAUUAUCACUUUGCCAAUACUGAUCCUCAUAUUUGCGCCUUGGGGGUGACCUUGGUUUCUUUGCAUGAUUUGGCUGAUAAGCAUUCUUCUCUUCACUCUUCUUUUGAUAUUUAUCCAAUAGUUCAACGAAGAUGAUUUUUGAUCUCUUACACUUGCGCUUAUUUCGGCCUUUGUUUUCUUUUGGUUUGCUUUCAUCGAUCAUUGGAUUUGCUUGCUGCCCCCCAGUCCUUGGCGUCUCCAUUGUAGCUUCGAUGGAAUUCUUGCCCUCAAGAUUAUGUUCAUUACGCUCUUCAACAACUUCUUUACUUGAAAGCUUGAUCCCAUCACCUGUAGUUUUUACCUUCUCUUCAAAUGGAUUGGCUUGAAGCAGCCGAUGCAAAAACUUUCUGCCAUCGGGACCAAUCGGAAUAGACUGGUCAUCUCUUGGUGUCUCAACAAAUUUCAAUCGUCCUUUAUCAAUGGCUGAUUUAACUAUUUGACGAAACAUGUUGAAAUUCUCAAAAUUAUGCUUGGACGAAUCAUGCAACUUACAAUACAUUCGUUCUUGGACAGAUGGUUCAACAUGGUGAUCAAGAAUUCUAAUAUAAUUAUUUUGCAACAACAAAUCAAAUAUUUGAUCACACAUGCUUGAAUUGAAGGUAAACUUUUCAUUCUCUAGCCGAUCUUGUGUGAGAACGGCUUUGGAGUUAAGCAAACGAAUGGUUCAGAUUUUGCAUCACACCAUUCGGCUAUGCAUUGUGUUUUGCACUCUAUCUCCGAUGUCUUUGGGUAAGAUAUUAUACUAGCAUCAGUUUUCUCAACAGAAUUUAACCUUGGCUUUAAAUUUCUAAAAUAAAAAUAGUUAGAACAUACAUGUCUCAAUUGAGACCAAGUGCAAGCCAAGUACGAAAUAAGCAAAGCUACCCAAAUAGAUAUGAACUUUAGAUAAAGCAACGGGAAAAGCUUUGGCUGCAAUAAUAAGUCAUUAUCAGUCUUUAUAAAUGACACAAUUAGUUGACCGAUAUGUUCUAAAAUAAUUUUAUUGCUAACAAGUAAAUUACCGUUCUUCAUUGGUCUUUCAAAAUUACCUAUGAGGAUUUUUCUAAUAGAUGCAUCAACAAUAAAGUUGUGACCAAAUCUGAAAAUAGGUAAAUUACUCGCUAUGCAUACCUCUUCAAAUACGUUGGGAGAGCAUGAUGGUGGUGUGACUUGAACAAUAUCUAGCUUCAUCUUUGGAUGACUCUCAACGCGUUUUCAUCAUCUUUUUCUUUAUUCCGUGCAUCAUUACACUGAAGAUUUUUGUUAGCCGAACUUUGUUUGGCUACUUGUUCUUGUCCUUGAAGCUUGUCAAUUUCUACGGCACAGAACUCAUAGGGCAAGAAGUAGGUUCCAUUAAAUUCAGAAAAAUCAAGCACUGUUGUUUUCCUAUGCUUGCCAUGUCCUUUCUUAAUAAUGCUUGCCUUGUUGGAUUUGAUGGAUUCAGAAUAUAUACUAUUUGCUUCGGCUUUUUCAACCGGAGCAUUUUCAUGUUUCGAAUCAUCCUUCUUUUCAUUGAUACUACCAAUUGGCAAUGCUUCUUUUAUCUGAGCCAAUUCUUUUUCUAUUUGUUUCUGACGGCGAGCGGCAAAAUUAGCUUUAAGCUUUUUCUCAAUUUCAGCCCACUCCGGAUAUGAUUGCCCCCCAAUGCUUUUAGAUUCUUUCGGCAAUGAUACACGGGUGUUGCUGAAAUUUUGCAAUUGUGUAGGGGGUGUAUAAUAUGAUGUAGUACUAGGUGAAGGCAUAUGCAUUGUUGUAAGACCAUACUUUUGCUCGCCAAUUUUAUCAAUUGGCAAAGAUUCAUCUUCUUGCAAAACUCUAGCUUUUAUUGCGGCAUAAUCAGGAAAUAGCCCCUUUUCAUGUUGUUCAAGGCAAAGAGCACUAAUUCUCUUAUUUUGGGCUAAACUCUUCAAUGCAGCCACCACUACCUCAUCUUCUACAAUAUUGGGCACAACCGCUCCUGUAAAAUUUACAUUCAUUCGGCUAUAACCAGGAAGGUGUGAAGCCGAAUUAUGAGCAUCUACAGUUGUGUAUGGUGCCGAAGAAUUACUAACAGGAGGUGUAGCAUAUGACGGUUGAGAGUAACUGGCCAAAUAGCCACUAGUAGCAUGGUCAAUUCUCUUAUUCAUCGGCAUGGUUGGAUUACUAUAUUGCACAUUAGCUGCCGAUGAAUAAAAGGGUGAAACACUUUCAUGUAUGGCAUUGGAAAUUCUAACUUGGGGUGUUUCAAAUUGAUUAAUCGAACUCAUCAUGUUGCUCAUCGGCAUAUGAAUUUGCUGGCGCCGAUGCAUGUGAGUUGGGAUACAUAUGGUGCAUGUUACUAAAUCAUCAGAAGUUGAAGUAUAUAAAUUACGUUGAAUCAGCCCUUGCACGUAGUUAGUUGCAUGAUUGAAAAAAUCGAGGUUGGCCGAUAGAGUAUACUCAUUGAACGAUCUAGUUACACCAUAUGAAUUAUUUGCAUCUACAUAAAGGGGAUUGGGUAUUCAUAUUACUUCGUAGACUGCAAACCCUAGAUGACGAUCUCUUUGUAGCAAGAACGGGCCGGAGACCAUUCGAAGCUUCGUCCCCAGCGGAGUCGCCCAAAAGUGUGUUCACACACAAACACGUCACCGUGUACCUCCAACGCCGAGGGUGAAGCACCGCAGCUCACGUCGAAGGAGACCCGUCCGGAAGCGCGGUACGCAAGCAAUCCGGCGGGUGCUUUUGAUGACCUGAAACCCCACACGCCCGGGAGAGACCCCGUCAUGGUGCGCGGCGGCUAUGGACUGCCCUAGGUCGGCCUGACCUCCCCUAAGGCCUCGAGGUUCGCCGUCCUGCAACAAGAAGAACGAACGAAGAACGAGGAAGAAGAAGAACAAGGGAGAGAGAUAAAGGUAAAGGUAAAAAGUGGUAGAUGAUUUGAUCGAUUGUGUGUUGUUCAAUCGGCCGUCACCCCUUAGGUAUAUAAAAGGCGGCUGGACUUCCCGUGCAAGGAAAAGGCUUGGAUUCACGUACAAAACCCUAGUCAAAUUCGGAUUGGUCUUAUCCGAACUUUCCAAAACUGUUCGGUUUAAACUGGCUGCACCUUGCGGAUCUUUUUUGUGGUGGUAAACGACCUCGGAUGGAAAUGAGUCCAAAAGCAAUCUUGACCGUUUUGACGAUACGAACAAUUUUCAUGUUGAAUGUUUUUUGAUCAGAAGUUAUCUUGAGGGUCAAAUAGCUCGCGCAAAAGAUCUGUUUACUCGCGCUACCAAUCAGACAUGGCGUCUGGUGGAGCGCGCCAUAUUUCGCCUCGUGACAGGGCUGCACUCCGAUUGCUCUAAUUUUUGCAUGAGAACUCGGAUUUGGACGAUUUUUAUAUCAAAAUCGAUCGUUUCGACGAGACAAAAACAAUCUGUGUAGAUCAUUUUUCCAUUUGAGGUCGUCUUGGGGGCUUAAUCGGCCAAAUUGUACUCUGAAUAUAAGAUCUUAGUACUUUGAGUAUAGUUUCGGCCUUCGAGAUGAAAUCGGACGACGAUGACCCAAACUUCAAAGAUGUUCAUAUCAACAAUACAGAACUCUUUCAUGAAGAUCACUUCUCCAUUUGAGGCCAUCUCAAAUAAGUUAUUGACCGUGCCAAAAUCUGGUGUCAAUACUUUGUAGCCUAUUGUAGUGCUAAAGGUCUUGUUUAUUUUUAGGCAGUUUACGAUUGUAGUUGGGCUGGCAUUUUGGGCAUGUGAAUGAAGUUGCAUGAUCGGUGGGCUAGGGUCAAUCGAAUUUUUUAGCUGGGGUCAAAGGCAACUUUUAUUAACCACACUAGUUUAAAAACUGAAUGUUACACAUGAGUUUCGUCCCUGGAUUGGUUUACAACAUUUGUCAUGAUUUAAAAAACUUAGAAGUUGCCACCUAUUAACACUAGGCAGUUGCCGUGUAGCACUACAAAAAGACAUGACAAAACAACAUGUUCGGGUAAAGAGAUAGUUGGCAUCUGCUUACAAGCACACUAGGGCAGUUAUCGUAUACCCUGCAAAACACAUGACAACUGACAUGUUCGGGUAAAAAAAGAGAGAAUUGUCAUCUGCUUACAAGCACACUAGGGGCAGUUGUCAUGUACGCUGUAAAACACAUGGCAACUGGCAGCUUGGAUGUGGGAGAGGAGACGAGCGUGUGGGCGAGAUGACAGAUGUUCACACAUCAGCCCUUGUGCGUGAGUGAAAACUAGCAUGUGGGAACUGCUAAACGGACACACACCGGCCACUCCAUGUGGUGAAACAGACGUGUGGGCGAUCGGGUGAAUGCCCACACAUCUGCCUAGUCCUACGUGGCACCAUAAACAUGCCCUUUAGAAACGGACGCGCGCGGACGGUCGCGACGCACGCCCUUGUCCCCCCCCCCCUCCCGUGGCCCAUCUGUCAAGGACACUAGCAGUCCCUCCCUCCCAACGCUUCGACCCCCUCUCUCCCUCCCUGCCCCGGCGCCGGCGCCGCCGCUAUUUUCCGACCGCCUCCUCACCGCACAGCCCCCGGCCGUCCAUACCAAACCACGUGGCCGCCAUCACGCCCGCGCUUUCGCCAUUUUCGCCGUAGUUUUGGCCGUUGAUCGGAGGAGGUUUGGUCGUCGUCGUAUUUGCCGGUGGCAGAGGAGACACGACUACCGGCGACAUACCACGGCGGCCGCGGCAGCUUCGGACGGCUCCAGAGCGGCCAGUAGCCGGCCGACAACCACCCCUGCUGUGUCGAGGUGAUCAUCGCGGCCUCUUCGCCACCACGACCGCAAGGUGUUCGAAAUUUUGCCGACAAAGAUAUGGACAGUGGAGAUGAGUUCUUCUUCCACCACUUCCUUUGUUCAUCGGACGACUCAUCGUCGGACGAUGAAGAUCUUGUGGUGGCUGCACUGGUCGUUCACGACCACAUUCAACGGCAGCUUCCUCGGUACAGGGGGUCAGUCCCUGGUCGUGCUCCCAACCUGAACCGCAACAGGGACAGAGGCCAUGCCCUGCUCUAUGCCGAUUACUUUUCCAACAAACCGCUCUUCAAGCAGGAUAAAUUCCGACGCUGUUUUCCAAUGGGAAGGCAUGUGUUCAAUCGUAUCCGAGAGGGAGUGGUUGCUCAUGAUCCAUACUUCGAGUGCAAGACGGAUGUCCUUGGCAAGCUUGGGUUCUCCUCUUACCAGAAAUGCACCGCGGCCGUCCGCAUGCUUGCCUAUGGAAUUCCAGGCGAUCUGGUGGAUGAGUACGUGCGUAUGAGCGAGACAACAUGUUUGAUGUCAAUGUAUAAGUUCUGUCAGGCUGUGAUCGAGGUGUUUGGCCCAGAGUACUUGAGGCAGCCAACUGCCGCUGAUACACAGAGAUUGUUGGCGACCAACGCAGCUAGAGACUUUUCAGGCAUGCUUGGCAGCAUAGAUUGUAUGCACUGGGAGUGGAAGAACUGUCCAUUUGCUUGGCAGGGCCAGUAUAAGGGGCAUGUAGGCGAGUGCACUGUCAUAUUAGAAGCGGUGGCAUCGCAGGAUCUCUGGAUAUGGCAUUCUUUCUUCAGCAUGGCAGGUUCUCACAAUGAUAUCAACGUGCUGCAACGUUCUCCAGUCUUUGCGAGGCUUGCAGAAGCCCGCUCCCCACCUGUCAACUUUGAGAUCAACGGCCACCAGUACAAUAAAGGAUACUAUCUAGCUGAUGGUAUAUAUCCUCAGUGGUCAACUUUUGUGAAGACAAUCUCGAAGCCCCAAGUGAGAAGGGAAAGAGAUUUGCCCAAAUGCAAGAGAGUGCUAGAAAAGAUGUGGAACGUGCUUUUGGUGUGGUUCAAUCCCGAUGGGGCAUCGUUUGAUACCCUGCACUGUCAUGGGAUGAAAGGAAGCUUUGGGAGGUAAUGACUGCUUGUGUGAUCAUGCACAGCAUGAUUGUCGAGGACGAGCGUGAUGACAGUAUCUUCGACCAAGGAUUUGAUUUUCAAGGUGACAAUGUUGAGCCCCUGCACCAAGAACCGGCCACGUUUGAUGAGUUCUGCCAGUUCCAUCGUGAGCUGCGUGAUUGGCACACUCAUAAGGCUCUUCAAAAUGACUCGGUUGAACACGUGUGGGAGCAUAUUGGCAACCGAUAGAUAUAUUGGUUCGUUUUAUGUUCAUUCAAGGCAAUUUCGAUUUGGUUGUAAAACUAUCUUUAUUAGAGAGACAAUUUUUAUUGGGUUGUAAAACUAUUUUAAUUUUCAAACAAUUAAUAUUUGGACGUGCACACUUGUUUUCAUAUAAAAAUAUGGGCUGGCGGCCGAGAUGGGGCAAACGGAUGCGGCCGCGCGUUGAACGCAGGACCACCGCAUCCCAAAACAGGUCCGGACACGAACAAAAUCCGGAUAAAAUAGAUGUUCGUUUGAGGUCACGCGAUGGAGUUGGCCUUAUACACAAACGGCCAUUGGCAGCCGCGAGGCGAGGGCGCGCUGUGCAGCCACCAGUCCCCACAUGAUCUUCCGUCGCCUCCGCUGGACUACAUGAUGAGCGGCGGGGCCCGGCCGCCGAUGCUCGCGGGAUAUCCGGGCUCACUAUCCGUACGUCGCAGUUGACCGGCCUGUGGGCUGCCGGCUACAUGCGCCGUCACAUGCCUCCAGUGUAUUUCCCCAAGAAAGAUGCCCGAUCACAUGAUACUGAAUCUAUAGUUGCAGGGUGGAGCAUCGCACGUAUAAUUAGUUUAUGUGCUGCCCACGUGCGACCGGAACGUGCAUGCAUGGCCCUGCAUGGAAACAUGGUAUGGGUUGUCCUAACAACCUCGUUCUAACCACAUUGCAUGCAUUGCUAGGAGCACUUACCGUCGGGACAGCAAAUCCGACCUCUUAAACGAGCGUGGACGCGUUCACAAACAGUGACCGGCCGAGGCUCAAAUUUGCUCCUCCGCAUCCGAGUUUUUCACAUUUCAUCCCCUAGUUUCGUAAAAGAAAUACUACGGGCUCGUUCUGAAACUAUCCAGCUCCAAACUUCUCAAACUCUGAGAGUGGCUCCAGCCCGAACGCUUUUGCUCCAGGAAGCUAAAUCCACAAAGCGAUCCUGGGCCGUAGUGUAAUUUGGUGAAGUGAGGGAAUCCCAGCUCCACGUUUUCUCAAAUCUGGAGUUGCUCUUAUUUACCAGCAGUAUGCCAUCGCAAAAGAAGACGGUUUGCACCUGGUCUUCCUCGCUCAAACAGGUAUGGUCCACCAGCACCUCGCAGAUAUCUCCCCCUCUUUCUCAUGUUCCCACCGGCACGCCCGCGUCCCCCUUCGCCGGCCUGAACCUCCCUUCCGUUUACAGGUUCGGCCUUCCUAGGAAGAUUCCCGCUAGUUCCCGUCCUCAUCGCCGCUAGUCCCAUUGUAAGCGAGGGGCGGCGACCCCACUGGCGCCCGAGCAACCCUACCAAGCCAUGGGCCGAAACGGCCUCCUUCGGCCAGUUCAAGAAGGGGCGCCCAACAUACCAAGCGAAGGAAGAAGUCAGGACAACGCCGAACGCUUUUCUGUUCGCCAGCUAAAGCGUGAAGCUGGAUGGAGAAGCUGGAUUUUCAUAUUUUGAGAAGCUUGGAGAGGUUCAGAACAGUCCCUACGUACUACCCUAACUAAGCUUCAUCGUCGGAGAUGUCGACGGCGUCGGUGCCGGGCGGCAGCUAGAUGGUCGCGUGGGAGGGCUCCGACUCCUUGUCCUCAUCCGUAGACGCGAGCAUUUCGUCGAAGACCAUGGUGUGCUCCGCCUCCGCCUCCUGCAGACGGCGACGGUUGGCCUCCGCCUCCACUUCUGACCGGAGGGAAUCGAGGAUCGUCUACUGCUCCGCAUGCAGAUCCGCGUCCCCGGCGUCCCCCACAUCCCCCUCCUCCUCCUCCUCCUCCCCCAAGUCCUCCUCCGGAUUCACCGCGUCCGGAAGCAGCCCCACGGUGAUUCGGGCAUCGCGCCUUGCCCGAAUCUGCUCAAGGAGCUGCAGCCGGCGCUCCGGCGUUACAUAUGGGUAGCUCCUUACUCAACGGCGUAGAGGCAUGGCUACUAGUGGUGGCGGACGACGAGUGAAAAAUGGCGGCGAUGGCGGACGGGAGGGGGGAAAUGUGGACGGUUAGGGUGUCGGUGCCGGCGGUCGGCUUAAAUAGCCGGGCUAGGCACUGCGCGGCCCGCUGAAGCGGUGCCACACAGCGCCAUCGGUCCAACAGAGAAGACGACGUUCGGACCGCGGGGUUUCAUAGUGUUUUCCCCCUGUGGGACCCCAUCAUCAGUCUGCCGUGGCGGACGCGCCCGGGCUCCCCCAUAUCCACCCCAUAUUUGGAUACGAUGAGUGCCGGUCAACUCGGGUGUUUGAGACUCGUUUGAGGAGCUCCCCUGGGUCGCAUUUUCGUGACCGAUCACUGACCGGGCCGUCCGCCCGGGCUUUUGUGGCCGGUUUGGGGAGCUCGGUUGUAGCUGCUCCAACACCCUUGUUGUAUCUGCAUUGCAGGCACCGAUUAUGCACGACAUUCGUGAUUAUUCUAUAGAUUAUCUAUUAUGCAUCUCUGAAUAUUUGAUCUUGAGUUUCUGGAUGAAAACCAUAAAUCAGACUCUUGUAGUGACUAUUAAAGGAAUUGCUAGGAGUUUGUUUGGACGUGAUGUUUGGAUGAAAACCCACUAACUGACCUUCGAUGGUUGGAUUCAGCGAUGACGGCACUUAUAUGUUGUUUCCGAGGCGUUGCCGUUGGAGAACGUUCCUCGUAGUCCUUGUGUUGUUAAAAGAUAAUUAGUGCCAUUGAUCGUUGUCUUGUCGCUUUGAGGUCUUUUCUUUUCCUCCAUCUAAGCAUAGUUAUGGUCCGGUAUGGUAGACAUGUGAUUAUUUUUGUGUGUGUGUUACUGUUGAUUGUGUACAUCCUAAUGGUGUGGAGGUUGUGUGUAUGCACAUUAUGUUUGUAUCCUUGAGGCAACAAUAUUACUCAAUAAAAAGCAAUCUUUACCGUAAAAGAAAUCUUUAUUGUAACAUAACAUGUUUAGCUAGCUUCUUGUACCACAUUAUCUUUUUGCAACUAUUGUUAUGUGCGAGUGCCCUGCCAUAGAUACAACGAUUGCUAAAAAAUGGAUGUUCCACCGUAGGUAGAGUAAAUUUACAUUUGGAUGCAUGAGUUUUUCCUAAAUACAGGAAUAGUUCCAAGGUGCUUAAUCAAGACAAUAUAUAAUUACAAACCGCACACUUUAGUCAUCCCCUCCAUAACAACCUAUCCGCUGUCCAAAACUUGAACCUAGGAGGCGCCCACGGCAGAAUACUGGUAUACCGAGGAUCAUGGUGAAGUUCAUACCAAGAAAUUUGGUUUCGUAGAUUGAGGAGCCGGGAUACUCGCCUAGAGUAGUAAAAUGAGUGCUAUGACAGUUCUUGUCCAGCUCGUCUGGAGUAAAAUGAGUGCUAUAAAGGCUCUACCAAAGAUUUGUAUAAUCUAUCUAAUUUGUGUAGAUAUUUUGUGCUUGGAAAUGGUGGAUCUUCAACAUAAAAAAGAUUGCCCAUUAAACUAGGUUAUGUUGUACCUAAAACUCUGCUUCGAAGCAUGAAAAUGGUCAGGAUCAUGCUUUCUGAAACAUGUACGAUUUUAUUUGUAACUUUCAGAAAUUUGCUAUGAGUUCACUUGAAACUAUUUUCGGAAACUUAAAACAUAAAACCUGCUUUAAACUUAGUACUAUAUGCAGAUAAUUUCUGAAAGUGUUCCUACCUACGUGCACUUGGCUGAAUUUCGUGUUUUGACCCUUUUUGCAAACAAAAUCAAGAUCUGACCCUCGUUCGAAAAAAAAUCGGGAUUUGACCCUUUUGCUACCGCCAGAGCCCCUGGUGGUAGGGUUAGACAGGCUACCGCCAGAUACCCUGGCGGUAGGGUGUGACGGAGGGAGACGGGGGCCGUCACCGCGCGCUGACGUGGAUAAGUACCUUACCGCCAGACAACCAGGCGGUAAGCUGUCUAACCUUACCGCCAGGGGCUCUGGCGGUAAGGUGUGGCAGGGUUUUGCCGUGCAUGCCUUCUGUAACGAGAUAUGCAAGCGUCCUGGCGGUAGGUUCACCCUACCGCCAGGGCUCACGGCGGUAGGUUGUCUGACCCUACCGCCAGGGAGCCUGGCGGUAGGGUCCUGUGUUUCGUGUAAAAUUUUGUAGACAUAAGAAGUUUGAUCACAUCCAAAUAGUGUGAUCACAAUUUCAUAGAAAUAUGCAAGGGCCCUGAACAUAAGAACCAAUAGGCACAAUUUCAUAGACAUAAGCAUAAUUAGUUUUGCCAUUACAGAUUAAGAAACAAGUACCAAAUAACAUAGUUUGAUCAUAAUUUCAUAGACAUAAACAUAACAUAGUUUGAUCACAAUUUCAUAGACAUAAACAUUACAUAGUUUGAUCACAUCCAAAUAGUUUCACGAAGCCAAAAUAGGUAGCAAUCAAACAUGACGAUCAUCAGCAGCCACACGCAUAUAUAGUUUAGAUGAUAUCGAUGACGAUCAUCAUCUUCAAGCCUUGACGGUUGGUCUUCCUGAUAGUAAUAAGGAUGGCCUGUCCAACAUGAAGAUUCUUGUCAACGAGGAAGCUCUUCCACCCAUCUGUGCUUAAAUGUGUGCGACCGUCCGUUUCCACGCUGUACGCACAAGUAGUGACGGGGUCCCUUGCGGUAAGGCGUAUUCCAGCAUAGCCUUCUUCAUCAGCCUCGAUGCCACAACUCUCAGAUAGGCUCUUUGGCAAUUUCUGAAUAAGAAAAAUAUAUCAAUUGAUAAGUAUGGAUUAUUUAAACUAUUAACAAUUCCUUGGAUUCUACACUAAUAACAUACCAUGACAUGUCGAUCGAUCAUGGUACUUGUCAGACGGGUCACGAAUGGCGCCCCGAUCAACUCAGCACGUGGCAGAAAGUUGUCCCAUAGGUUGCACACCUCCCGUUCGCUCAGCCUCACUCUUUGAGCACAGAUGGCUUCCUCAAGUGGGUCUUCAUAGUCAUCAUCCUCAUCAAGUGGUGGUGGUGGCGCCAUGUUCCUUAUAUAAGCAUUGAUUGGAUAAAGUUAAUUAAACAUCAAUAUUUGUUCUAAUGCAAGCAAAACAAAUAUCUACAAUAUUCACACAAUAAAUCAUCACAUAUGGCUAUAAGAAAGACUAAACCUAGGGUUCAUCAUAUCAACUAGAGAGGGUUCCUCGUAUGGCUAUAUGAAAGACUAAACCUAGGGUUCAUACAUUUGCAACUAUAUGAAAUAGAAAUACACACAUUUUCACACUAUGCAUUAACAACCUACCAAUUUUGCAAAACAUACAUCUUCACAAAUUUGCAAUACAUUAACCAUCUACGAAUUUUGUUAUGCCUUUAUCCUCACAAUCUUGCAUUCAACAUACAGAAAGAUUUCUUAUAAAAUUCAUAUAUACAUGACAAAAUAAAAUGGACCAACAUAUAUGCAUUCACCAACAUAUCCUCACAUAUCUUGCAAUUGUUUCACCCACACAUCCUCACAUAGGCCUACUACUAAAUCAUAUACUCCUAAACAACUAAAACAUCAUAAAAAAAUCAACACCAAAACCUAGGUUGCACCUAGUGCCAAAAAUAACUUCAGAAAUAAAAAACCAUCGCGAAAACUGAUUGGAGGGAAUGGAGGAGCUUACCGGCCUCUUCGAUUUGCCCCAAAGAUCCGCGAAAAUGGUGGAGGGAAGAGGAAGAUCGAGGGAGGGGAUCGGGAUGAGGAGAGAGGCGGCGCUCGACUCUGUUCGAGUCGAGGGGAGGAGGAAGAACGGGCUGGUGGGUGGGGUAGGGCCCGCCCGCAGCAUCACUUGCCUCUUCGGUACCUACCGCCACCACCUCGGGCGGUAGGCCACCGAACCCUACCGCCUCAGACUGUGGCGGUAGGCCCUUUCCCCUGUCAGUACACGCCGACGGCCGUCAGUCGCCGUUAGAGGGCCUACCGCCACUGAUGAUGGCGGUAGGACGUGCAAACCUACCGCCGGCCCUCCUGGCGGUAGUCAAAAGGGUCAGAUCCCGAAAUAGUUUCAGACAGGGGUCAGAUCUCGAAUUUCUUUGUAAAAAGGGUCAAAACACGAAAUUUUGCCCGUGCACUUCAGCAGGGCAUACAGCCAUGACUCGAGAUGCCCCUCAGCAAGAGCCAAAAGAGAAGGCAUCACACUUUGAGUACAUGAUGAUGCCCCUUUAUAGUUCAAAAGUUGCCUGAAUGCAUGACGUCUCUCCAUGUAGUCGCAUGACUAGAUUCAGAACCAAUAGACACAAUUCACAAAGGACAGAGCAGCAGCCUCUCUCUAAUUCAGGUGUGAGUGCUUUUAACUUUCAGUGAGAUUUUGAUUUCAUUGAAUUUCAAUAGAUACUGAAAGAAUUACGUUUUAGCCAAAAACAUUUCAUGUAGAACUCAAAUAUUUUUCAAAAUAUUUUCCAAAAAGUUCAAAUAUUUAAUUGAAUUCAAAAGAAUAUUUUGGUGAUUUGGCUGAAGUGCAAACCGAAAUCACUGAAUUUCGAUGAUUUCGGUUGGUGCUAAAAAUUUUCUGAAACUGAAAUUGAAAAACUUGUGUGACCGUGCAAGCAAAGAUCAGCCGGCGCAGGACAAAAGCAAAAUGAGGCCAUAGAUAACUACAAUUGACAUCCCUGUUUAAUUAUUACGACAAUUGCAUUACAAAAUUGGCGUUCCAGGUCACCCGAGAGACCACCACUGAAAGCGACUCUAUCACAUCAUCUUCGCAAUUACAAUUACAUGACACAACAAAAGUCGAAUUAUUACGACAAUUGCAUUACAAAAUUGGCGUUCCAGGUCACCCGAGAGACCACCACUGAAAGCGACUCUAUCACAUCAUCUUCGCAAUUACAAUUACAUGACACAACAAAACCUAAAAGCGUCAGCCAACUGCCACGACACUGAACCAAAGUCCUUCGAGAAGAAAAUAAUAACCCGAACCAACUCUACACUAGCUACACAACACGAUCCACAGCUCCUGAACCCAAAACUUCAGCUUCUUUUUCUUGUUCGACCUCUACUUCUAAUUUGGAAUGUACUACCACAACAAAAGUCGAAAUAUUACCUGACGGCUACCUGACCAUGCAUGCUUGCCAUGUCCAAGCGGCGGCCAAAGUGCAGGGGCAGCAGGGCACAUGGUACAACGAUCCUAGCUUGUACCACCAAGUCGCCCAAAUGCCACCCAAAACCUGACGAGGCUAACACCUGGUAUGUACGUACGUUUGGGAAAACUCUGCAUCCGACCCCCGAUCGAUCGAUCGAUCUAGGGGUAUCAGAUUUGUGCGGGUUAAUCCUCACUAAGUUUUCUCUAAUCUGCAUUGGUUUGGGAAGCUUGCAAACCGAAUUACACGAGACCUGAUGAACAUGUUAGUGGGGGGCUGCUGAGGAGGAGGAGUCUGACGGAUGCUGCCUUCAUUCAGAACGGUUUCUGCAGGUACGUGAGCAUGUCGCCGAACGCGGCGGCGUCGCGGGCGAAGGCGCCCGGCGAGGGCGGGUCGAAAAUCAGCGAGCCGUCGAUGACGAACCCGUCGUCGUCUAUGACGCCGCCCCAGUCGUCGCCCGGCCACCCCCCGGCGAGGCCGGCGGCGUGCUGGCUCUCCGCGUAGUCCAUGUCGCUCGGGAAGUCGGGCGACGGCGAGGACAGCGCGCGCUCCGAGGAGCUGGAGUCCGUGUGCAGGCGCGGCAUGGAGUGGUUCGAGUUCGAGUCCCGGUCCGCCGACCCGGACCGGUCGAAGCAGAGCAUCUCCGUGGCCGGCGGCGACGGCUGCUGGUAGAACCCGUAGUCGGACAGCUCGACCUUCAUCGCUGGCCCAGCGUGGUACUGGCCUUGCCGCGGGAUCUUGGCAGCCGGCGGCGGCGCCGGCUUAACGUCGGCGACGUCGGAGUCCGGCGUGUCGUACCGCUCGAUGACGCCCUUCUUGUUGUAGAUUCGGCAGAGCACCCAGUCAUCCAGCUGCAAAGAUCAGGAGGAGAAAAGUCUCAGCGACGGCGAUAGAUCGAUCGAGCAAGAUUUUUUAUUUGAAAAGUAACUAAAGCUAGUGUACGUGUACGUGGACGGGAGAUGGGGAGGGCGGGCGAUGAGGCGGGCGCCGUUGUCUCCAUCCCGUGGUGCGUGAGCCAUGACGCCAUGCGACCGCCGCAAUUGCUUUCCGCACGUCGCUGCCAAACUACAGGCUGUGACGAAAGGGACAACUUGAGCGUGCUGCAACUUUGACCCUUUUCCCUUGUUCUUUUUCGCAUGGCCACGACGCACCUAACCUGCCAAUUGACUUUUCUAAAGCUAAAAUACAGCUUGCUAUUUCAAGAAAGAUCUCUCGCUUGAUUUCUAUACUAAAUGCACGGUAAAUCUCUCGCUAAUGCUAAAAUAGGAAGGGAUUAAACGAGACAGCCAAGCAUCAGCGCAGACUGACAGAGAGGGGACGGGGGCGGUGGGCAGGCAGGCAAGGUGGUUACCCUGAGAGCGUUGUUGGACUUCUUGCGGGCGGCGGCGGAGCGGUCGACGUCGGCGAGGCGGUACUCGUGCAUGAUCCAGUUGGUCUUGACGCCCUUGGGGGGCUUGCCGGCGUAGAAGACGAGAGCCUUCUUGAUGGCCACGGGGCGCGGCGACCCCACGGGCUUGUCGGCGCCCGUGGCCUUCCAGUACCCGGUCCCGGCGGCGCGGUUCGGCCGCGACCCGUUGGGGUACUUGCGGUCCCGCGGCGAGAAGAAGUACCACUCCUUGGAGUCCGGCCCGCCUCCCGCCGCCUUCUCCGGCAGCCUCCACGGCUCGAACUUGUACAGGUCGACCUCGGCGAUCACCGGCGCGGCGAUGGGCAGGCCGCCGCACUUGCGGCACAGGUAGUACAUCACCAGCUCCUCGUCCGUGGGGUGGAACCUGAACCCCGGGGGCAGCUGGAGAGCGCCGUCGAAGCCGUAGUCCAU